rnacentral:lncRNA from 1 species
AAAAAAAUACUCACUUGUAAGUCAUAUAACUAAAAAAGUGGUGUUGUAAUGAAUUUAAAUUUAACAAAAUGAUUUUAAUGAUUAAACUUGAAUUUUGAAAUCUGAAAAGUAGAACUAAAUUUCUAAAAAAAAGUACAAGGACUAAAUUAUAAAUUUACAAAGGAUAGGGACUCCUAGCCUAUUUUAACCUAAUAAUUAAUCUAAUUAUAUGAUGAUAUUUAAAAUAAAAAAUGAUAACUAUUUAAUUUAUCAAAAUAUAUUUUAAAUAUUAUAUAAUUAUAUUUAAAUUUAUAAUUAACAAUAAAUCCUUUGUGUUAAAUUAUAAAUUAAAAUAAAUUUUAAAAAUGAAUAUAAAAUAAAUUCUAAAGCAAUUAUUAUAUAUGCAUAAUAAAUAUUCAAAGUUACAAAAUUUAAUUUUAAUUAUUACAUAAAAUAUAUAAUGAUCCAAUAAAUUAACUUAAUAUAUGAAAUCAAAUUUACUUACCAAAUUUGUUAAACUUUGGGUUAAUGAAAAAUUAAAAUUUGCAUAUAUUUAUUGUACCCAUAAUUCAUAUGAAAAAUAUCAUGAAACCCUCUUAAAAUAAUAUUUCUUGUUAAUUUGAGAUAUUUUGAUGAAUAUUAAAUUAUUUGAAUUAUGAAACUGAUCAAAUAGCACGACUUUUGUAUUCAUUUUUAGUAGCUUCUAAAACUUUUAUAACAAGACAAAAUGGGGUAUAAAAGGGUACAUGGACUAAAUUUGGACAAUUUGUUAUCAUAUUUUAACAUUUUAUGAUUUUUGUUAGAAUUUUUUUAUUAAUUACUGAUAAUUAUUAUGAUUUUUUAAUAAUUUUUUAAUAAUUUUUGAUAAUUUUAUAUUUUUAAAUAAUUUGUUGCAACUUCUUAAUAAUUUUAGCAUUUUUUUUAUAAUAUCUUGAAGGACAUCUUCAAUGAACUAACAAAUAGAUGUCUAUAUUCUAAUAUAUUCAAAUAAACUAACAAAUAGAUGUCUAUAUUCUAAUUUAUUUUGCCAAUCGCAUGUGUCUAUUAACAGUUAAAUCGAUUAAUGACGGUUUUCAUUAUCAGAAGGGCGUAAUUUUUUUUAAUCAUUAAAGGCUUAAUUGACUUGAAUCUUUUAUGAAUUUAAUUGAUUUUUCUAAAAAAAAUUAAAAAUUCUUUAACUCUUAAGACUAAAUAUAAUAAAUAUAUUUCAAUAUUUAAAAUUUAAUAAUAAAAAAGUUCAAAGGUGAAUUUAGUAAUAUAAUAGAUAAUAAAGAUUAUUUUUGUUAAUUUAAAAAUUUUACCGAAAUCCAAAUUUGUGCCUUAUAUAAAUUCUAGAUAAUAAUUCAAAUAAAUAAAAUUUAUAUAUGUAUCAUAUAACCAUAAAUAUUACCUACAAAUAAACAAAAAAUAUUACAUAAAAGUCCAUAUACAUAUCAUAUAAUAAUAUUAAUUAUGUUUAUAAAAUUAUUAUAUCUUAUAUUUUUUAGUUAUGUUAUAUACAAUUUUCUAUUACAAUAAUAUAUAUAAUUUUUUAUCUAUAAGAAGUGAAUUUGUAGGUGUUAUCAUAAUGUUAAAGUAAAAGUAGUUAUUAGGUUUGAAAUAUAAUUUAUAAAAUAUCAAAAUUAUUUGAAUCUAUUUAAGCUCACUUGCCCAACUUGAACUGAAUCUGAAAAAAUCAAAGGUUAAAAAAAUCUAAAUUUGAAAAGGCUUGAAUUUAAAAAAACUUGAGCUUGAAAAGAAUCUAACCCUGAUAAAAAUUUGUGCCUAAAAACAAUUGAGUCCGAGCUAAUCGAAACUCGAAAUAAUUUGAAUCUGAAAGACAACCUAGUCCAAAUCUAUAUGAGCUCAAAUAUAAUAUUUCACUAGUUAAAAAUCCUAAUUAAUUAUUCAUUUUAGUGGCUUUUAAAAAUAAAAUAAAAUAUUAAUUAUACUUUUAUUUUUAUUAAUAAAAUUUAUUUUAUGUAUUAUCUAUGGAAAUUUUAAAUUUCGAAUGGCACAUAGCACUUUAGAACAAGUGAAUGUAUAACUUUAUUUAGUACCACUAAAAACCAUCCCAUGGUGGCAGUCAUCGUACAAAAGAGUUUGACUUUUUAUUUUGGGUAAAAUUUUAAAAAAAGUCCCUCAAAGAUAUUGCUUUGUUUAAAUAAGUAUUUAUAUAUUUUCUAUACUUAAUAAAUCCUUAUUAUUUUCAAGUAAAAGGUUAAUUUAUCUUAAGAUCAGUUUGGAGUUUGUUUGAGUGCAAAUUAAAUGUUAGGACUUCUUCAAGUAUUAAGUUAAAGAUUAAAGGUUUACUAAAAUAAAAAAAUAAAUAAUUGGUGUCUUAUAUAAAAAUUAUGAAUAUUUAUUUCAAUAAAAUAGUUCCUCUUAUUUUCAAUUUUAAGAUAAAUGUUGGAAAAAAGACAAGAUCGCAUAUCUACACUACCAUAUAUAUAUAAGAGGAAGACAUUCCUCAUUUUAAUUUUUGAUUAUACAAUAAUUAUCAAUUUUAUUAUUUAAUUUCGAAAUCGAGAGAAAUUAGAAACAUCUUUUUAUGUUUUAAAUUUUUUAUUUAAAUAUUUUAUUUUAAAUAAAAUAUUUAAAAAAUUAUAAACAUUAGAUUACAGCUAGCCAUACUAAAUUAUUUUGGUUUCUCCUAGUAACAACUAAAAUAAAGAUUUUGAGUGAGUAAUAAAUGUUAAAAAUGAACCAUCGAGUGGUGGCAAAGAGAUGAGUCAAAGAUGGGCGGUUCUUCAGUUUCCACAGUGUUUUUAUUACGCGACAGACACAUGGACUUUCACAAGUUUUUUGGGAAAAUUCCUUGUUUUAUGAGUAUACGUAAGAAAACACGUUGGGAAGUAUUGAAGAAAUGUAUAACAAAAACUAACAGACUUCUUUUGAAUAUAUAUAUAUAUAUAUAGCAAGAACUAACAAAAUUUUUUGACAACAUACAUCCUGUUUCUGUUUUCUUUUGUUGUUUCAGUUUUCAAAGUUGUAGUGUUUUUCCUCAAUUUAAAUUCUCGUUUUUUUCUUGGUUAAAACUAAGUUCUUUUUGCUUUGAUUUGAGCUCCUAAAACGUGAAGUUUUUGAUAAGUUUUGGAGGGUGUUAGCGUAUUUUGGUAAUGCAGGGUGCUGAUAUUUAUAGAGCUAGUGGUAGUUUACGGAGGAGUCCUUCGGCAUGGAUAAACAAUGACCUGGAGGUAUUUUCAAGGUCUUCUCGAGAAGAGGAUGAUGAAGAAGCUUUAAAGUGGGCAGCACUUGAGAAACUACCUACUGUUUCUCGUCUCAGGAAAGGUAUAUUGACUAGUUCUGAAGGUGGUGCCAGUGAAAUCAAUAUUCAUGACCUUGGGUGGGUAGAACGGAAGGCUUUGCUUGAGCGGUUGGUUAAAGUAGCAGAGGAAGAUAAUGAGAAGUUCUUGUUGAAGCUCAAGAACCGUGUAGCUAGGUAUACAACUUUUUCUUUUUAAUGUUUGGUUACUAGGAAAAUGCAAUGGAAAGAAUUAAAGAUCCAGUCUCAUGUAACGAUAACGGUAUGAAAUGAGUCCUUUUUUUUCAGGGUUGGCAUUGAUUUUCCCACAGUUGAAGUCCGGUUUGAACAUCUAAAUAUUGAAGCUGAAGCUUUUGUUGGGACCAAUGCUUUGCCAACAAUUCUUAAUUUCAUUACUAGUUUAUUUGAGGUAGCAACCUGGAAACAUACUCUCUACUUUUUACCAUUUAAGAGUUUUGUUUUCUUAGGAUCAUUUCUCAAGUUUCACUUUGUAUUGUAAAUUACAGGGUUUCUUGAUUGAUAUGGGUAUUCUUUCUAGUAGAAAGAAAAAGCUGACCAUCCUCAAUGAUGUCAGUGGCAUCAUUAAGCCGAGCAGGUAACAAUGGUGAUAUUAAUUUUUAUUUUUAUUAUGAAAUUAAAAGUUGUGGCGAUUCUAGAUUUACUCUGUCAUUGUUCUCAUGUACUUAUUACAGGCUGACAUUGCUUUUGGGUCCUCCAAGUUCUGGGAAGACCACUCUUUUGUUAGCUUUGGCUGGAAAACUUGAUCCUGCUCUCAAGGUGCUUGAGAAAUUUACCUUUUUCUUUUAAUCGCUUUCCUAUCUUGGCUUCUUGCCUUUUGCGUUAACUUCUUUGUCAUUGUUUUGAUAUCUAAUUUGAUAGUGGAAUUCUUUCGCAGUGUUCGGGGAAAGUGACAUAUAAUGGGCAUGGCUUGGAUGAGUUUGUGCCACAGAGAACAGCUGCCUAUAUCAGUCAACAUGAUCUUCACAAUGGAGAAAUGACUGUGAGGGAAACUUUGGCCUUUUCUGCAAGAUGCCAAGGGGUUGGAGACCGCUAUGGUAAGUUUGAUUGAUUUCCAGCCCUUUUGAUCUUUUUCCCACUAUUGGAACAAUAUGAAUGCUGUUUUUUUAAAACUUUAAAUCUUGAAAAUUUGUUGUUUUGGGGGUUUACAGAGCUGUUAGCGGAGUUGUCAAGAAGAGAGAAACAAGCAAACAUUAAACCUGAUCCUGAUAUGGAUGUUUACAUGAAGGUAAGAACUAAAAUGCCAUUGUACUAUAAACUAUGGAUUGACAUUUUCAUUCAUGACAACAGGAAAGAGUUGAUUGAUAAUCAGAUUUGGGAUUUAAAUUAAGAUUGAAUCUGUAUGACAAGGAUUUCCAUAUAUUUGAGAGAACCAUGUAUUCUUCAUCAUUUACUUGUCUUUCCUAAUAUUUCAGGCAGUAGCAACAGAGGGUCAGGAAGCAAAUUUAAUCACAGAUUAUGUUCUAAAGGCAAGAGUUAUAAAAAUUUGAAGUAUAUUGAAAGACUUGCAAGAAGCACUGUUAUAAAUGAAAAUUUCAUUACUUAUUGAGUACUUUGCUAUAAAUUUUAUAGGUUUUAGGACUAGAAGUAUGUGCAGACAUUAUGGUAGGAGAUGAAAUGUUAAGGGGUAUCUCUGGAGGACAGAGGAAGCGUGUCACGACUGGUAAGUCAUGAUAUCAAUUAAUCCAUUCAUUCGAUAUGUAAAUUUCCCUAAACUUUUUAUCAUGAAAUUUGAAUCUGUUAAACCAUUUAGGUGAAAUGCUGGUUGGACCAGCAAAGGUACUGUUUAUGGAUGAGAUAUCUACUGGCCUGGACAGCUCCACAACUUUCCAAAUUGUGAACUCCCUCAAGCAAACUGUUCACAUCCUUAAUGGAACUGCAAUCAUCUCUCUUCUCCAACCAGCUCCAGAGACUUAUAAUCUUUUUGAUGACAUCAUUCUCCUUUCUGAUGGCCAGAUAGUAUAUCAGGGUCCUCGUGAACAUGUGUUGAGCUUCUUUGAAUCUAUGGGCUUCAAGUGUCCGGAGAGAAAAGGAGUGGCUGACUUCUUGCAAGAAGUAAGUUUUGAUGGAGGUUUUGAUCCUUUUUUUCCAUUGGGACCAAGUUGCUCUUCUAUCGCAUUUACCUUGACUUUGUUCAUUUGCAGGUUACAUCAAGGAAAGAUCAACAACAGUAUUGGGUACAUAAAGAUCAACCUUAUAGGUUUGUCACAGCCAACGAAUUCUCUGAGGCAUUCCAAUCAUUUCAUGUGGGAAAGAAACUUAGAGAUGAACUUGGUGUUCCAUAUGAAAAGACAAAGAGCCACCCAGCUGCUUUGACAACCAAAAAAUAUGGUGUUGGAAGGAAAGAGUUGCUCGAAGCUUGCAUCUCAAGGGAAUAUCUGCUGAUGAAGAGAAACUCUUUCGUGUACAUUUUCAAGUUUAUACAAGUAUGUACUAAUGAAACUCGAUUCUUGUACUACAAUUAUCAAGGUUGAAACAACGACUUUUAACUUUAUUUUCUUUGUGCUACCAGCUAUCAAUAAUGGCAUUCAUUACUAUGACGCUCUUCCUGAGGACUGAGAUGAGAAAUGAUUCAAUUGAAGGGGGAGGAAUCUAUAUGGGGGCCUUGUUUUUUGGCUUGAUCGCAAUCAUGUUUAAUGGGAUGUCUGAGAUUUCUAUGACCAUUGCUAAGCUUCCUGUCUUUUUCAAGCAGAGAGACCUCCUAUUCUUUCCUUCAUGGGCAUAUGCUUUACCAACAUGUAUACUCAAGAUCCCCAUCUCAUUUUUAGAAGUUUCCUUAUGGGUGUUUCUUACCUACUAUGUCAUUGGAUUUGAUCCGAAUGUUGAAAGGUAAAGAAAAUGAAUUGACAAUAAAAAUAUCGAGGAGAACUUGACUAGUACCAUUUAUAGUAUAGUUGUUUGUUUAUUAGCUCUGAUCUAAAUUUAUGUGAAAGUGAUUUGUCUGGCACAGGUUGUUUAGGCAAUACCUCAUCCUUGUUCUGGUGACCCAAAUGUCUUCAGGAUUGUUCCGAUUUAUUGCUGCAGCUGGUAGAAACAUGGUUGUCGCUAACACUUUCGGAGCUUUUGCUUUGCUCAUACUUUUUGCAUUAGGUGGCUUUGUCCAAUCACGAGGUACAUAUGAGAAGUCCUAAAAAUAGCUCAAAAGAUUGAACUUUUGAUGGAAAAUGGAAUUUGUAAUUGAUUUUCUUUGUUCAAUGUCACAAUGUCACAGAGGAUAUAAAGAAAUGGUGGAUAUGGGGCUACUGGAUUUCCCCUAUGAUGUAUGGACAAAAUGCAUUGAUGGUUAAUGAAUUCCUUGGAAACCAAUGGAGAAGAGUAAUGUUUUGAAUUUGUAAUGUCUACUGAUUUCUGAAUUUCAUCUCCUAAUAAUCUAUUGAUAUUUUAUGUUUUCUUUCAUAUUGAAGACUCUUCCGGGCUCAAAUGAACCACUUGGAAUUUCAAUUUUAAAGUCUAGGGGUUUCUUCCAAGAUCCACGGUGGUAUUGGUUUGGAGUAGGGGGAUUGCUUGGAUUCAUAGUAUUGUUCAACUUCUUUUAUACUAUGGCGCUUGCCUAUUUAAAGCGUGAGUAUAGCUUUAUUGGCAGCUACUUAUAGUCUUAAGAACUUAUAUUUCUUUUAAAUUAAGUGUUAUUUUCUUACUCGUUUUUGCAAAUAAAUAUGCAGCUUUUGAGAAGAUUCAGGCUCUAAUAUCAGAAGAACUAGAAGAAAAAGAGAAAGCCGAAAGUAGCUCAGGUGGUUUAACUAGUUCAAGUAUUAGAGCUCAUUUAGUUUUUACAUUCUUGUGUUUGUGUACAAGUUGAUGUGUUUGUUCUAAAUAUAAUUGAAAUGCAGAGGUUCAAGAUGACACUAAAACAAGCAUCUCAUCCAAGUCAUCGUCUAUGGAUGAAGUAACCACUGGGAACAAGAAAAAAGGAAUGGUUCUCCCAUUUGAACCCCAUUCCAUCACAUUUGAUGACAUUAUCUAUUCAGUUGAUAUGCCGCAGGUAACAUAAACUUCCAAUGUAUGAAUAUCAUAUGUUUGUUCUUUUUAUGUCCUAAUAAAAGAGUGUAUUUGAUUGGAUUGAAACUAUACAGGAAAUAAAAGAACAAGGUGUCAAUGAAGAUAAAUUGGUGCUAUUAAAGGGUGUUAGUGGUUCUUUUAGACCAGGAGUUCUCACAGCUCUCAUGGGUGUUAGUGGUGCUGGCAAAACCACUCUGAUGGAUGUGCUUGCUGGCAGAAAAACUAGUGGUUAUAUCGAGGGGAACAUCACUGUUUCAGGUUUUCCAAAGAAGCAAGAAACAUUUGCUCGAGUAUCUGGAUAUUGCGAGCAAAAUGACAUUCACUCUCCUCAUGUCACUGUGUAUGAAUCCUUGCUCUAUUCUGCUUGGCUUCGACUACCGAAAAAGGUCAAUGCUGAAACCAGAAAGGUUGGCAUUCAUUGCAUCCUAAGCCUUUUCAAGUCUCUUACUCUACUUUGUUACAAGUUAGAGGUUUUUACUGAGGCAAUAACACAUUAAUGAUCCUAAGAGCAGAGGCAAACGAAAUAACGCAUUUUCCUAAUGAUUACUUUGGCUUGAAUUAUAUUGAUGUUUUAUUUCACCUUGUGUUAUUAGAUGUUUAUAGAUGAAGUCAUGGAUCUUGUGGAACUGAAUCCAUUAAAGCAAGCACAAGUCGGUUUACCUGGUGUAAAUGGUUUAUCAACCGAGCAGAGGAAAAGGCUUACUAUAGCUGUUGAGCUUGUGGCUAACCCCUCUAUCAUCUUCAUGGAUGAGCCAACUUCAGGGCUUGAUGCAAGAGCAGCUGCAAUUGUUAUGAGGACAGUUAGGAACACAGUGGACACUGGAAGAACAGUUGUCUGCACCAUUCAUCAACCAAGUAUCGACAUAUUUGAAGCAUUUGAUGAGGUGAGAAGUGAGAACUAUGAAAUAUUAGUUUGAAAAUAAGUUGGUUCUUUGCUUAAUUGUAUUACUGAGAAAACAUGCCAUUGCAGCUAUUCCUUAUGAAGCGGGGAGGACAAGAGAUAUAUGUGGGGCCAUUAGGACACCAUUCCAAACAUCUUAUUGAUUAUUUUGAGGUGAGAUAAAAUGAAAUACCAAAAAUUACAAAGUUUGUUAACGUAGUCAUUUCCCUGUUCAUAUUUACUAUAUCUAUAACUUGAUAUAUGUUCACCUACUUCAGGGAAUUCAAGGAGUUAGCAAAAUCAAAGAUAGCUACAAUCCAGCAACAUGGAUGUUGGAAGUUAGCACAACAGCACAGGAAUUAGCUUUAGGUGUUGAUUUUGCUGAUACCUACAAAAAGUCAGAGUUAUACAAGUAAUAAUCAACACUGCAAGAAUCUGUUUACUUUUAACUCAACAUAAGAUUAUAUGAGCUUGAAUUUAAAACUGAUGAAUGUCAAUUGUUUAGGAGAAACAAAACUCUUAUUAAAGAUUUAAGCAAACCGGCUCCUGGUUCAAAGGAACUCUAUUUUCCAACUCAGUUCUCUCAGCCAUUCUUGACUCAGUGUGCUGCUUGCUUAUGGAAGCAACGGUGGUCAUAUUGGCGCAACCCCGCUUAUACUGCUGUGAGAUUACUUUUUACUACUGUCAUAGCAUUGAUGUUUGGGACACUAUUCUGGGACCUCGGCACUAAAACGUAAGCUAUAACAAGCAAGUACAAAUGCUCAGCUUCAUCGUUGGACUUUUAUCAUAUUCAUAUAUCUAUUGUCAUAUUGUAAAUUUACAGGAGAAAAAGGCAAGAUCUGGCCAAUGCAAUGGGUUCAAUGUAUGCUGCUGUUCUUUUCCUUGGUAUCCAAAAUGCUGCAUCCGUGCAGCCCGUGGUGGCUGUUGAAAGGACAGUCUUUUAUAGAGAAAAAGCUGCUGGAAUGUAUUCUGCCAUGCCAUAUGCAAUUGCUCAGGUAAGUCUUUUUCCUUUUUUAGUUGAAGAGUUCUCACUCUGGAAAGAAAAUUGUUUAAAAAUAGGUGCAUUAGAAUUGACUUUCACAUCUUGCAAUUGCAGGUUUUAAUCGAGAUACCUUAUAUUUUUGUUCAAGCUGUUGUGUAUGGCCUUAUAGUGUAUGUGAUGAUUGGGUUCGAAUGGACUGCUGCCAAGUUCUUGUGGUAUCUCUUCUUCAUGUACUUCACCUUAUUGUACUUCACCUUCUAUGGCAUGAUGGCAGUGGCUGUCACUCCAAAUCACCACAUUGCAGGCAUAGUUUCCUCAGCAUUCUAUGGAAUAUGGAAUGUCUUCUCUGGAUUCGUCAUCCCACGCCCGGUAAGUGUUGUUUUCUCAAGUUCUUAAUAUAUUCACUCAUUUUCCGGACAACUAACUUUUUCCCCACUCCUUAAUUUAUAGAGAAUUCCUAUAUGGUGGAGAUGGUACUACUAUAUUUGCCCAGUAUCUUGGACCUUGUAUGGGUUGGUUGUUUCACAAUUUGGAGAUAUUCAGGAUGUCCUUGAGAAUGGUCAGACGGUCGAACAAUACUUGAGAAAUUAUUUGGGCUUCAAACAUGAAUUCAUUGGAAUUGUAGCAGUUAUAAUUAUUGCUUUCACAAUACUCUUUGGUGCAAUCUUCACUGUCUCCAUAAGGUUGUUUAAUUUCCAAAUACGCUAGAGUUUUCUUUCAAUCUUUCUAGUGUUUAGCAGAUCCAUCUUUAUAAUGCUAAGAUAUUAGAAAAGAAGCAUGUCUACACAUUUUUUUCAUUACAAGCUACAAUUUCUUACUUCCAUUGUGACAUAUGUAUACCAUUAAUCCAUGAUUAAAAGUUCUUUUGUUUUUAUUUAACAAAUCCAAUGCAGUCUUAUUCUUUUUUUUUUUUUCAUUUCUGUAUUUGUAAAUGAUAAAAGAAGCAACUUCAUGGCUGAAGAUUCUUUUUAUUGCUAUGAGAACUCGUCUUGUCCAAUUAUGAUCAAAUCCAAAUUUAUCGGUAAACCUUUGAUUAAGGUUUCAAAAAAGAAAAAAAAAAUUCGAAUCCAAAAAGUUUAAUAAUUUGAAUUUGACUCCAAUUCUGAGAUCAGUUGAUUUUUAUAAUAAUUUAUACUUAAAUAAUUAUAUUGAUGAAAAUUUUUAAAUGAAUUUAAAAGAAAAUUUUGUACUUGUUAAUUAUUUGACCAAAUAUUCAUCAUAAUGUUCACUUUUCAAUCUGAUAAUUGUGUAUUUAUUAAUUGGUAUUAUUUAUAAAAUUAUGCUACACCCAAAAUAAAUUAUUUAACAAAUAUAUUUAUAUAUAAAAAAUGAGGCUUUAUUUUAAAUGAAAAAGUAGAAAUAUUAAAAAAUAAUAUCAACAUUUUAUAAGAAUAUUAUGUUUUAAAUAUAAUAAUUUGGGUUGAACCCCAAACAAUUUAUUUUCCAUCACAAUUAUCAAAAAAUAAAAAAUAAAAUAACAGGUCAAAAAUUAAAAUUAUAUCUUUUUUAAUGGACUUAUUAUUGAUGGAGUUGGAUAGAAAAUGAGAUGAUUAUAAAAAGCUUAAUAGAAAAAUAAUAAUAUAAAAUAAAAAGCAAUCUCAACCGACAAUUAACAUCAGCUGUAGAACAGGUUCAAGAGAUCUUGCAUUCAAAGACUUGGUCUACACCAAUAUGCCCCCCCUCAAGAUGCUUAGUAUGCGGCAAUGUCUAGCUUGAAUAGAUGGCGAUCAAAUGCUGGUUUCUCAAGUAGCUUGGUGAAUGUAUCUAUUAACUGAUCAGCUUGUUGGGGAUCAACACGUAUAAACAACAAAAUAGAAAAUGUGGAGAAGAUCGAACACAAAUUUUACAUAAAAAACUCUUCUGAAGAGGAUAAAAAUCAUGGGUAAAGGAAGUUUCGACUUUUCACUAAAUGAAUAAACAAACAAUAGUAUAAUAUAGAAAAAAUAAACUUAAAUGUACUAAACGUACAAAUCCAGACCCCGAAAACAAAACUAUAACUCUUAUAAAGUUCUCCAAAAAGGAGUAUAAAAUUCCCUCAAUAUUUAUUACAAAAAACUCUUGUCAAAACUUAUCUGUGACUACAUCUUGUUGCCUCCCCCUUCCCCCCCCCCCCCAAAAAAAGCUCUACAGUACUAGUAAUGGCCUUUUUAAUUGGCAUCACAAAGUAAGGAUACAAGACCCCUUCAAAUAGACUAAGAUUAGAGGUCUAAUCAUUCUAAAAUAUCCUUAGAGUAAUUAGAGUUUAACUGAGAAAAAUAGCAGAGUUUAACUGGGAGAAGAAACUUGAUUUAUGUGGGGGAACAUGUUGCAACGUCCCCAUUCAUGUUAUCACAACAUCGGGAAACUUCUCGUCGUGACAUCAUCGUCUAUUCGGCUGAAUAUACAAAGUACACCCCACAAGUAGCAUACAAAAGACCAAAUUGCAACUGAAGUGAAACUCCACAACAAUAUGUUUCAUUCGGUGCCAAGUUCCAUACCUUUUACAACAAGUGACCCAACUCACCAAAUUAGCAACUUCACUUUGUUAUCAAAGAUCUGGAUCUCUCUUUUAAGUUUUCCUAUUACAAACAUAGCUUGAAAACCAAGUAAAUUUCCUCGUUUUAGCAUUCAAUGCACUGUCGAUUAUAAGUUCCUUAAUGAAUGUAUAAGUGCUAAAACUCUCUAUAGAAAACUUAUACAAAUCUCAAAUAUUUAAACUACUUUCAACUUACUAACAUACUAUAUUAAUUACAAUCAAUCUUCAUUGGAAAGUAGGAAGAUAAUCAACACGGAGAAUAUCUUCAAUAAGUCUAGGAUAAGUCUUCAAAUCUUCUAGAUAUGUUACCAAGUUACCCGAUUCGAUCUAAUCCAAUCUCUUAAAGCAGUGAAGUCAAUUUUCUUGAUCCAAUCCAACGCAAUCUUUAAGAUAUAUUUCUAUAAACAGUUUGGACAUCAUAGAUGAGCUUGCACACACUGAAAAUAUUAGCAAAGAUCACAACUCAGGUUUUGUUUACAAAAAUUGUCAAUUUGUAAAUAUGGCAAGUUAUGAGGCUAAGCAGUGCUAGAUGUACUGGGCACUAGACUUGUUCAUUGGUCGAGUUACCCACCAAGCCUGAAAUUUGGGAGGGUUUGGGCAAAAUUAUUAGGCUAAAAAAAAUGAGCUUGAACAAAAAAAUUAGACCCAUUAAAAAUAUAAGCUAGGCUCGGGCUUGAACAUUCAAGGCUUGAGCUCGACCUGACCCGGCUUGUUUUAAGUUUAUAAUACUUUAUAUUAUAUUAUUUUUAUAUAUUAUGUAAUUUAGAACACAUUAAAAAGAUAAAUCUAUACUAAAUAUAUAAUACUAUUCUAAUGUAAAGAUUAAAAUAAUGUUAAGAUGACUGUAUAAAAAAUUUCAAAGAAAUAAAAAAUGUAGAAAAUUAUUAAACAUUAAUAUAAUAUAAUAUAAUAUAAAUAUUUUUUAAAAAUAAAAAUAAUAUGAGAGGGUCUAAAAUAGGCUUGGGUUAGCUUUUUGCAAAUAUGGGCGAGUUUGGACAAGUACAAAGUAUGUUAAUAUCAUAUUUAGGCCUGGCUCAACCUGAUUCAUUAUCACCUCUAAUGGGCACCAUGGUAGUAAAUUUUGCAUCGGUUCUGGUCAUAUUGACUGGUGCACAUUGUUCUAGUGCUAAAAGAGAACAAGCAACACUCCUUUCUGCACUGGUGAAAAUUUCGGUUGGUAUUGAUCGGCUGGAACAUGGUGUAUCGGUCAAUGCAUAAAUAAUAUUAAAAAAUAUAAAAUUCUUAACUAUUUAUUAUUAUGCUAAAAACGUAAUUGGAAGGAAUUGACUAAUAAAAAAAGAUUACACAGGAAAAAAAAUUAACGUUAUAUACUUUUACAUUUAAAAUAUAAAAAUAAAAAUAUAAUAAAAUAACCCAAUCACCUGGUUAUCAAAGGAAAAAAAAUCAUCACUCAUCAUUCAUUUCAUUUAUUGAAAAAAUCCUCUUACCCAUUGACUUUUUUUUUCUUGUUAAUUUUGAAUUUAUUGAAUGAUAAUUUUUAUUUGUAGAGUAUUGAUGAAUAUUUUAUAUUAUUGAUGGAUAUUUCAUAUUAAAAAUUUAGUUAAUAUCACUUAUUUAAUAUUUGUAAAUAUUUUUUAAAAUGUCAAGAGAUUUGAAAUGAUACAUUGAAAUAAAACGAUCUCGAUACUUCUAAUUCUAAUAAAAAAUGGUGCGUCCAUCAAUGCGAUACUAUCUUACUAAGUACUGCUCGUGACACUCGUCUCAUAACUGCCUUAACAUAAAUUAUUAACUAUGACAUUCAUUAUUUAUUACAAUAGUAUUAAUAUGUCAAUGCAAUCUUUUUAAUUAUUUGUUAAUAUAUUGAUCAUUUAUUAAUCUUAUUAAUCUAAAUCUUGUAAUUUAUUUAUAUUACUUAAAUGUAUGACAAAAUUAGUAUCACAAGUAAAUUCGACCUCACUUAAACAUUCAAUAAGGGUCCGUUUGUUUACAUGUAAAAGGUUUUACGAAAAAUAUUUUCUGCAUUUUCCUAUGUUUGUUUCACAAAAAAUAGUUUGGUCAAUGAAAAAUGACUUAUAGGUCAAGGUAAAAUAAGCUUUUUUUCCUGUCAAAAGACUUACCAUUCGAAAAGCGUAAGUCAUUUUCCGGAAAAGAGUUCAUCUAUAGAUAAUUUUAUUUUUUUUAUAAAAAUUAACUUAAAUCAAGCUUAAAAUUAUUAUAUUGAUAAUAAAUUUUAUUUUUAUUUUUAAAAUAUUUAAAAUAUUAUAUUUUUUAAUAUUAUUAAACAAACAUAUUUAAUUAUUUAUAUUUAGUCAUAUAAUAAAUUAUUAAUAUAAUAAAUAUAAUUUAUUAUUUUAAUAAAUUAUUUAAUAUUUAAAUUUUAUUUUAAUAAUAAAUUUUAAAAAUAAUAAUUUUAAAUAAUAUUAUUCACAUAUUAUUGAAAAUAUUCAAUAUUAAUAUUUUAAUAAUAAAUAUUUAUUACAAUUAUAAAUAUAUUAAUAAUAAAUGUUUUGUAGUAUAAAGUUUAAAAUAUGUCAUAUGUCUAUGUACACUUCACAAAUUUGUAAUUUAGUCUUUGUACUUUUAUUUUCAAGAAUUUAGUCCCUGUACUUUUCAAAUUUGAAAAUCAAGUCCAAUUGUUGACAUCAUUAAUUUUUUUGGUCAAUUUUUGUUGAUGCCACAUUUUUAAAUAAAAAAUACUCACUUAGUAGUCAUGCAAUUAAAAAAUGAUGUUGUAAUGAAUCUGAAUUUAACAUAAUAUUUUUAAUAAAUGCAAAAACAAUGUAAAAUAUAAAAUUAUAGAUAAAAGUAAAUUCAAUUAAACAAUGAAAAAAAAGAAAAUCUCAAAUAUAUGUUUAACAACUUUUAUGAAAUAUCUUUAAGAAAUCUACCAAACAAUAGAAAAUAGUUUACACAAAUUCAUCUAAACAUCAGAAAAUAUUAGCUUUUUCAGAAAAGUAAAUCAUUUUGCAGAAAUUAAUUUCAGUGAAACAAACGGAGCCUAAAUAUUAUUAUGGAGAAAUUUUUUGUAUAUAAAAUUUAUAAAAUAAGAUUUAAAAGAAGAAGAAUAUGUUUUGUAGUUGUGCAACAUGUACUAUUGGGUUGGUUUCGCCAGAUCAUUAUGUAUGGUGAAAGAUGAGUCAUAGACAAGAUUGAUGAAAUGGAGAGAAAUUUAAUUAGUUUGUUUCAACAAACUUUAUUCUUUGUACAACGAUUAAAAUUAUUAAAAACAAAACACAUGAUUAACAUCCUUUUAAUUAUAUUUACGCCUAAAAUGAUAAAUUGAACCUGCUCCUCGCUAAAUUUCAAAUUUUGAUUAAUAAAACAAGAUUGAGUUUAAUUAAUUAGAAUGAAUACAAAUUAAUGAAGAUAUUUUUUAUUCACUUGAGUUUGGAAAACACAUUAUAUCGUUUAAAACAAUCAAUAUUAUCAUCUUCUAAUAAUUUUGAUAAUGACCUUUUUUAUAUUGACAUGUUGCCUUAUUUGAAAACAAAUAAAAAAUAUUUAAUGAAUAUGCAUAACUUUGCGAUUAAAUACAUACAAACUUAAUAGCUCCAAAUAAAUAACAAAUAUCAUUAAACUCGACUAUAUUUUAAAAAAAGAAAAGAAAAGAAAAGAAAGUAAUUGUUUUUACUUUAUGGUGUGUUUAUUAGUAUUGCAAUGAAGAGAAGAAGUUGUAUGAAACUGUAAUUCUACGUCAUCUUUAUCCUUUUUGAAUAGGAGAAUGACAAAUCAGAUUUUUCUUUUUAUUGAAAAAGGAUAAAAAUGACAUGGAAUAAUAGUUUUAUGGAAAUAGAGGGAUGGUAUGAGAGUAUAAUUUGGUUGAGACCUAACAAAAAAAACCAUUAAAAUAUUGAGAUACAAGGGCUAUGCCUAUGAAGAUACAUGCAUUAACAUGAAAUCACACUUUAAUAUUAAAGCAUUAAAAUAUCUUCAAAAAAACAUCAAGUAGCCAAGUCACAACAUAAAAAACAAAAGAGUGAGACGGUAAAUGCUUGUAGAGGAGUUAAAUUUGAAAACUUGGACUGUUACAUUUUUACACGGCUCAAAGGUUCCCUUUGCAUCGUUGCGUUUUAAAGUCUAGAGACGAAGAUGCUAAGUUCUCCUCUUUGGUACAAAAAAAAUGCCCUCACCCCUUUUAACUGUUCCUUGCUUAUUCUUGUAAAAGAACCUCUCCUUAACUUCCCAGGGAGUUCAUCUUUUAAACUAGAAAGAUUUCCCCCAUUUCCAUCUUUUCAACCACAUCUACAUGUAAUAUUAUAUUAUCUACGUUAUAAGUUAUAGAUAUAACCAGUUAACCAUACACAUAUAUAUAUAUAUUAUUUAAUUUAAAAGUUAUAAAAUUAACUUUUUCAUUUUAUAUAGAGUUAAAAAUAUCACAUGGCACUAAACAGAUAUAAGUUGAGAGUUAAAUUUGUUAUUAUAUUGAUUUUUUUAAUGUCAUGUAAUAAUUUUAAUAAGAGUGAUAAAAAUGACCAAAUUAUGUAAUGUGGGUGCUUAAAUUGCAAAUUUUUUUUUUAUUUUUGGUGUCUAAAAUAAAAGUUUUUUGAUAAUUAAGUGACUAUAUGUAUAAUUUAACCUUAAAAAAUGCAUAUAAUAAAAUAAUAGUUUAGGUAAAAAAAUGGGGAAAAAAAAAACAUUACCUACCGGUACUUAGUACAUUCAAGGAUUUGCUAGAAUUUUAUUAAUUUGUUUGUUUUUUUAUUAACACCUAUGGUCCUUUAUAAGAAUCAUGAAACUUGAAGAAAUCUUAAUCUUAUCUGGGUUUGAAGGCAUUAAUUAUGGGUUCCGAAUCAACGCCCACUCUUCCAAUUCUAGAUUUCUCCAAUGCAGAAUUGAAGCCUGGAACAGAUUCUUGGUUGGUAGCAUGCAAAAAGGUUACACAUGCACUUGAACAGUAUGGUUGUUUUAUAAUAGAAUACGAUAAAUUUCCAUUACAACUUCACAAUCAAGUGUUUUCCCUCUUGGAAGAACUGUUCCUUCUCCCAACAGAAACGAAAAUGAAGAACCGAUACGAAAAGCCCUUGAAUGGCUAUGUCGGACAAAUCCCCAAGCUACCUCUCCAUGAAAGCUUGGGCAUCGAUAACGCUACUUCUAUAGAGGGAACUCGGUUCUUCACCAAUUUAAUGUGGCCCCAAGGAAAUGAUCGUUUCUGGUAUUCAUCAAAAAAUUUUCUCUCUCUCAAGUAUGUUUUGAUUUGUUACUAAUUGGGUUUUCUCUUUAUUGCAUUGCUACUUAGUGAAUAUAUUUCCAAGUAUGCAAAGGUAGUAGCGGGGUUGGAUCAAAUGGUGACCAGAAUGAUAUUUGAGAGUUAUGGUGUGGAGAGAUACCAUGAUGCUUAUACUGAUACAACAACCUACCUUCUACGGCUGCUGAAGAAUCGAGCUCCACAGCAAAGUGAGCCUACUCUAGGGUUUAUUACUCAUACUGACAAGAGUUUUACGACGAUACUUCAUCAAAACCAAGUCAAUGCUUUAGAGGUUGAAACAAGGGAUGGGAAUCGGAUUAAUGUUGACUUCUCAUCUCCUUCCUCCUUUGUGGUCAUUGCGGGCGAUGCACUCAUGGUGAGUCUGCGUAACAUAUUAUAUGCUACUUGUAAUCUUACUCUUCCUACUGAUUAUCAUUGUUCUUUUUGGUGUGUUAAUUAAUUUAGGCAUGGAGUAACGACCGGGUACUUUCUCCAAGACACCAAGUAGUAAUGAGCGGGAACAUAGACAGAUAUUCACUGGGGCUAUUUGCCUUCAACAAUGGAACAAUUCAAGUGCCUGAAGAGCUUGUUGACGACCUACAUCCCCUCAAAUAUAAUACCUUCGACCAUUUGGGGCUCCUUCGCUUCUAUCGCACAGACGAGGGAUACAACUCCAAAUGUCCUAUUAAAGCCUAUUGUGGUGUUUGAUUUUCUUUAUAUAUAUAUAGAUAUAGUUGAUGUAAUAAUAGAACUUUGUCGUGUGAAAUCUCUAAUGUCUAGUUCGUAAAUUCCUAGGUGUGGCUCUGGUUCCGCAUAUGUCCUCAAACUUGUAUGAAUGCUGCAAUGGCUUUGUAAACUUUUAUAUUGCAAUAACAAAGGACUUCAAAAAAUUGGUAGACUUCACUUUUACUGCCGUUAUGGAUUAUCAUUAUUUUCUCUUUUCUUUUAUUCUGCUUCUCAACUAGGUAACAAAUAAUAAAGAAUUUAUCAGCAAAAUUUUGAUAUGUUGGAAAAAAAAUAAAUUUGAAAGAUUUUGAUUUAACAUGAACAUAUAAAACCUACAUGCAUGUGAUACACAAACUAGUUGAAAAUUGAAGAAGAAUUUCAUACUUAUCACCAAAUAAACAUAUGGUCCUUCAAUUAUAUUUCUUUUCUCGUAUUAGUAUUUCAACCAUCAUUUUAUUUUAUUAAAAAAUUAUCGAUCGAUGUUAUGACAACUUUUUCAUUUUAGGAAUAACUUAGACAGAAAUAAUAAUUUAAAUAUGAAAGUGGGAUAAACAAGUUUAAAUGCUAAAGUAAUAAAAAAAUAAGAAUUAAAUUAUAAAUUAAACCACUUUAAAAUAAUCAUAAGUAGUAUUUAUGUGUAAUUUAUUUACCACACAAGUUGUAAUAUAUUUGAAAUAAAGGUUUCUAAAGGCGACCCAAAAGAAUAAAAGGUAUACAGUGCCACUGACAAAUAUGCCGAGACGAAACAUAAAUUAGAGACUUAAAACAAAGGCACAGUAAUGUCUAAUUACUGGUAAAAUCAUGCUGUGAAUCACAUUUUCCUGUUUUUUUUUUUUUAGGGGUGAUCAUCAGAUUUUGUCUUUUAUGUUAAAAAAAAAGUGUUACACUUAUACUCGAAUGUGUCUCUUAAGAAACUCAAUAUGUGUCCUCCAAUAAAACUGACACCUCAAUAAAUCAUGCAUAUUCAACUCGCUAAACAUUGAACCUUAAUUAAGUAAAUCUCAUAUGUAUCGCAUAUUUUUGCUAAGCAUAUAUGAGGUUGACAUAAAAAAAUUUAGAGUCAUUAUCAAUAAUUUUUAAACUCAUAUCAAAUAUUAUCUCCGAUCAUAAAACACGCUAUGUCUUUUUCUUCUUCCUAACUCUUCCUCUAAAAACAUUUUAUCCCAAUGACUCUCUACCUAAUCACCAUUAAUACUAAAAAAAAAAAAAAAAAAAGAUGGAGAAAAGCGAAAUUAAUAUGUAAUAAUGUUGUUUGGUUUUCCAUCAAUUCAUAUGAUAUUGUUUAAUUCUUUUUCAUUGUACUUUUUAAAAACGUGGUACUAAUAAUUAUUUACAAAUUAUGUUUAAUGAAAUAAUUGAUCAGCUUCAAUAUUAAAUUUACAAGUAUAUGUUCAUGCAAAAUAUUGCCGCAUUGCUUGCUAUAUAGCGACUUGCUACUACAAUAACAAUAAUUUUUUUUAUAGAAUAAUUAAUGUAACACAACAGUGUUAUAAUUAUGUCGGCAAUUUUAACUUUUGUUUAUUUUUUUAAUAUAUUUCAAGACAAGAUUAAUUACUAAAAUAGUUAUUUUUGUUUGUCUCAAGAUUAAUUAUUAAAAUAGUUAUUUUUGUUUGUCUCAAGUUAUAUUUUUGUCAUUUAUGUUUGAAAUGUUACGUUUUAGUCACUUACGUUAUCGUAUUAUAACAUUUUAGUCAUUGAACAUUAAUUGUCGUCACGUUAAAUUAUCAUUUCAAGCAAAUAUUUUAAGUUAAAUUAUACAAUUGAUCCCUAUAUUUUUUUCGUUUUGAGAAAUUUAAUUUUUUCUUUUAUGUUCUUUGAACUUUCCUCUCUUUUUUUAUUACUAUUUUUCAUUCUCUUUUCCCUCUCACUCUGUUUGUCUCCCUUUUCAAUUUCUUUUAAUUUAGUUUUUCUAUAUGACCGUUCUCUAUACUUUUAUUUUUUUGAGCAAUUUAAAUUUUUAUUUUUAUUUUUUUUUCCUUUUCUCCUUCCUGUCUAUUUUUCUCUCUUCUCAUAUUCUUCACUUCAGAAACAUAAUAUUUACCCACCAAAUAAACCAAGUUCUUGUUUCUUUCACAUGAUUCUUAAAUUGGAUUUCACUGAUCAAAACUGAAUAUCAAUAAUUCUUAAUCAAAUUUAAUUUGAAUACAACCUAAUUUUGAGACUAAAAUUGGAUCUAACUAAUCAAUAUAAAAAAAAUCAUAUCUUUAAUCAAAUCUAAACAUAAAUUGAAUUAUUUAUAUUCAAAAUUAAUUUUUUUUUCGUUUCCAAACUUUUAUAGAAUUAUGUAGAUCAUUUCUUUUUUCUUUUUAAAAAUGUUCUGACUAAUAAAAUUAAGCAAACGAUAAAAUUAAUUUAAACCUUCUUGGAUAUUCCCAAGCAAACUUGAUUGGAAGCCAAGCAUGGAUGAACCGGAUAGAGAAAGAGAGCAUGGAACUAAACUGGUCUGGGUAAAGUUGAGGGUAAGUUUCGCAUGGUGGUCGUUUUAGUCAUUGAGAGUGUAGAGCUCGUUUGAAGAAUCUGUGAAACAACGUAGUUCCAAGAGGGCGAGAAUGUUGUAGGUAAGAUAGAUAAGGUGGUCGUGGGGUUGGUAAGGAGGUUAAGAGAAUGGGAUCAAGAAACUUUGUUGAGGGUAGAUUGCCAUAAGUUACAGCUGGCGAGGUCUUCAAGUGAGGCUAGCUUGUGGACUAGGUCAUUGAGAUAUCCAAAUUGGUUCAUUAAAGAGAUGAUGGACGAUAAGUGUUUAUAAUUGUGGGGCGAGAAUAUACGAAACAAGUUUUAUUUUGGCUUAAGCUCUCACCUUUUUCUUUCUUCAUAAAAAUAAAAAAGUUCUAACAAAUGGAAAAUAUAGGAAAACUAUGUUAAAAGAGAUGGAGAAGGGAGGGGAAUAUAGGGAAAAGCUUAAGAGAAUGGAAAAUAAAGAAAAAAAAAGAAAGUUAAAAGAACAUAAAAGAAAAAAAAUUAAAUUUCUCAAAACGAAAAAAUAUGGGAUUUACUCUAAAAUUUUUGUUUGAAAUGAUGAUUUAACGUGACAUAUCAGCUUACCAUUACAUCAUUAAUGACAAUUAAUAGCCCAGUGAUUAAGAUGUUACAACACGUUAACGUAAGUGAUUAAAACGUAAGAUUUUAAACAGAAGUGACUAAAAUGUAAGUUAAGGUAAAUAAAAGUGACUAUUUUAGUAGUUUAUCCAUUUCAAGAUUUAUUGACACUAAAUGAAGUGAUUUGAUUUGUAGUAGGGGAGUAGAUUACAGAGUCCUUAAUUAGUGAGAUAUAUAUAUAUAUAUAUAUAUAUAUUUAUUCACAGAUAAAAAAAUGGUUGAUUUAUUAUGAGAUUAUUGAUUUUAAGGGGAUUAUUAUGCAUCUUUAUCCUUUUAAUAUGUGAAAGAUUACCUUGUUGAGUUUAACCACUCAAAUUAAGUUUAUAAAAAAUAUAGAUUUUAGACUUUGAUAAAGGUUUCACACUUAGAGCAUCAAAUCUAUUCACCAACAAGUUUUUUUUUGUUUUUUUGUUAAGAUGUAUGUGUAGGAUUGUCUCUUUCAGUGAAAAGAAUAUUGGACUAAUAUAAGUAAUCUUUUUAUAUAGAGAGUUAGUAUUUGGUAAAUUGGUAAUAUAUAUUUUUUAAUUUCAUAUGAAAUUAUAAAAAUUUGUCAUGUGUCUUUUUUUUUAAAUAUAUUACUAUACACUAUAAAAUACUUGUCAACCCCUAACUUUAUUUGUGAAAUCUAAAGAUUUCAUUUUGGCUCCUGAACCAUACUUAAUUUCUCAUUUUAACAUUUAAAUUUUUUUUUUCGUUUUGGUAAUUGAACUAUCAUACUGUUAUAUGUUUUAAUUAAAAAAAACUAAUUAUGCUAAAAAAUAUUAGUUAGCCGUGGCAUUUUUUUAACUCUACAACAAAUUUAAAAAAAAUGAUUGAUAUAUUUUAAAUUAAACCUAAGUUAAAUAUAAAUUAAUGUUGAAAAAAAAAGUUAUAAAGUUGUCAAAAUAAUAUUAGCAAAAAAGCACAAGUUAUACAUAUAUAUAUAUAUAUAUAUGUAUAUAUUACUUAAACUAUACAAUGUUGUUAUGUACAAUAUCCAUAAAUCCUUCUUAGCUGAUCGUAAAAAUUGAUCCUAACGGAGAUGGCAUCAUUAUUUUUUAACUUGAUUGAUUGGUGAUUAAAUUAAUAGUUAGGCCUGCAUUUUGUGCCUAGAGGUGUGCAUGGCCGGGCGGCCCGACUCGGCCCGAAGGCCCACCCGAAAAAUGGGAGGAUUUGGGUAAAAAUAUAGGCCCAAAAAAAUGGGCUUAGACAAAAAAUGAGGCCCGUUUAGAAAAUGGGCCGGGCCUCGGGUAAGAUUUUUUUGGCCCGGGCCCUACCCGGCCCGAUUUUAAUAUUAAAUUAUUUUUUUUAAAAAUUUAUUUUUAAUUUAAAGUAACUUUAGUAUUUUAUUUUACUCUUUUUGUUGUUUUUAAUGUUAUUUUAAUAUUGUAAAACUUUUGUUAUUAAUAUAAUUUAGUUCUUAAUUUAAUUUUAAUUUAUUUCAAUUUUUCAAUUUUAAUAUAAUUACUUUUUAUUUUAUUUUUAAUUUAUGUAUUAUUUUAAGAAUUAUUUUAGUCUUAUUUUUUAUUUGUUUUUUGUUUUAAUAUUUGUUUUUAUAUUUUAAAUGUAUUUGAUUUAUUAUAUUUUAAAGUUUUUUAUUUAAUAAAAAAAAGCAAUUUUUUUUAAUAUGGCCGGGCCGGGCCCGGCUGGGCUCGAGCCUACCAUUUUUUUCCCGGGCAAGGCUUGGACAAAUUUCUAGACCCAUAUUUCGGCCCGGACCUUGUAAAUGGACCAAAUUUUUUAUGGGCCUAGCCCGACCUGGCCCAUGCACGCCUCUAUUUGUGCCCCAGUUGAACCCAUUCUUCUUUGGUCCCCCAAAGGCUCUAUCAGGCUUAAGAAUAUAUAGUAUAAUUUGGAAUAGUUGUCUGAGAAAAAUAAUAAUUUAUAGUACAUAGAUAUUAUUUAUCUAUUCAUCUCUUAUUGAGUAAACUUUCCAGGACAGGACAUUGUUCGAAGAUGGAAUCUUUUCUCUCCCGAUUCUUAAACCUAAAAUAAUAUUUCAUUGAGAUAAUAUUCUUUUUUCAGAUUUGAUUUUAUUGUUGGAUGGAAAUUGAUCAUCAUCUUUCAUUUGUCCCCUAAGUAUACAAACAUCAGCUCAGCUCUAUAAAUGGUUCAUUCUUACAAGACAGUUCUUCAAACCUAAUAGUACUACAUACACAAAAAAUUGUGUUUAGAUCAGAAAUGGGGUCCCAAACUCCUCUAAAGCUCCCAGUCAUUGAUUUCAGUAAGCCAGACCUAAAAGCAGGCAGCAAUGAGUGGGAUUUGGUGAAAGGGCAAGUCCAGCAAGCACUUCAAGAGUACGGUUGCUUCGAGGCUUUGUUCGACAAGAUCCCUCUCCACCUUCGAGAGGCAAUAUUCGGAUCCUUGCAAGAGCUUUUCGAUCUCCCUUUACAAGCCAAAAUUCGGAAUGUUUCCAAUAAGCCUUAUCAUGGUUACGUCGGCCAAUACCCUCAAGUCCCAUUAUAUGAAAGCAUGGGCGUUGAUGAUGCAAACAUUACUGAAAAAGUUGAAGCCCUGACUACUACCUUAUGGCCUCAAGGGAAUUCAAGUUUCAGGUUCUUUCCAAUAAUUUUAAACCAAACUCGGCUUAACUUUUGCUUUUAAUUUGUCACCUAAUGUUUCCUCUUUCUUGACAGCAACACUAUACAAUCUUUCUCAGAACAAUUAUCGGAGUUAGAUCAAAUUGUUAGAAGAAUGAUAUUGGAGAGUUUUGAUCUUGAAAAAUAUAUGGAUGAACACAUGGGUUCAACCAACUACCUGCUCAGGGUAAUGAAAUAUAAAGGGCCAAAAACCACUGAAACAAAGCUUGGAUUAAACAGUCACACCGACAAAAACAUUGUGACAAUAUUGUACCAAAAUGAGGUUGAGGGAUUGGAGGUUCUGAGCAAACAAGGAGAAUGGAUCAAUGUGAAACCCUCCAAACACUCUUUCACUGUUAUGAUCGGGGAAUCUCUCUAUGUAAGUCUCUUCUAGUUUUAACUAAUUUGGAUCAUCGACAAAAGAUAAUAAAUUUAAUUAAGUUCAUAUCAAAAUUUGUGCCAUGAAUGUUGCAGGCAUGGUUAAAUGGUCGACUGCACGCUCCUUAUCAUCGUGUCAUGAUGACCGGGGACAAGGCAAGGUACUCAGCCGGACUGUUUUCGGUCCCGAAAGCAGGUUACAUAAUAAAGGCACCAGAUGAGCUAGUGGAUGAAGCACACCCUUUGCUCUUUAAGCCCUUCGAUCACGUUGACUUCUUGCGGUUCUACUACACGGAGGCUGGUCAAAAAGCUGAAUCUGCUCUUAAAGUUUUUUGUGGUGUCUAGUAUUUGAUUUCUCUUUACAAUAGUUUCUUACUUGUUUAAUAUCGAUGAUCAAACCCUUGUUAAAUAAACAAAUUGUGGGAUGAAAUAAGGGUUAAUUUAGCUUGUUCCUUUUUUUAAAUUGAGCUUCCGUUAAAAACUAUAAUGUGUAAAAUCCAAAUAAACAAACAAUUAUGAAUUGAAAGCAUCAUAAAUAUAUAAAAGUUGAAAAUCAAAUAUAGUUGGAAAAAAGGUGUUUCUAAGAACAGAAGCAUCACAAUCAAAUUAGUGUCUGAGAUGGUGGGGACUCUUUCAAGCCCCAAUCGGAAAACAACAAAUAAACAUAAUAUAAAAAGGUGCGUAACUUACUCAAUGAGAUAUAUCUGCUCUUUUCAACAGUUACAUAAAGUGAACUUGUAAUGACCCGAUAGUCACAGGUAAUCGAAAAGUAUAUUUUCGGGUCUCUGUUUUCGUAAAACGGAUUCGUAAAUAUUUAUUUAAAAUAAUUACGAAGUUAGUUGGUUAGUUAAUUAGGUUAUGGUUAGGUGAAUUAGCCUGAAUUAAGAGUAAUUGGGUAAAAGGAUUAAAUUGAAAAAAAAGGUAAAAGUUUAAUUAUAAAUUAGAGAAAAAAUGAAAGGACUAAAUAAGAAAUUAAACCUUAAUUAACAAGUGUAUGGUGAUUGUGUGUACAUGUGUAAAAAUAAAAUACAUAUAUAUAAUAAUAUAUGAAAUAUUUAAUAUUUAAGUAUAUUAUAUUAUAUUAUAUUAAUAAUAAUUAGAGAAUAACUAAAUAAAAUAAAAGAAAGAAAAAGAAUUGAAAGAACAUAGCAAAAACGAAACGGAGAAGGAAAGAAAGAAAAAAGGAAAGAAAAGGAGAAAGAAUGAGAAUUAGGGUUUCAAGGUUUUAAGCUCAAUUGAUUAGUUAACUUAGUUUUUCUUUUUUUCUUUUUGUAAUUUUUAUGUUUUUAGAAUUUUGGCAUUAAAUCCUAUACAACCUAUGUUGAAAUUUUAGAAAUUAUUAAAAUUUUAGAUGUUGUCCAUGUUGAAUAUUUUAAGUAAUAAGGACUAAAUUGAUAGAAUUUUAAGUUAGAAAUGAAAAAGGGAUUGAAUUGUAGAAUAAAUUAUAAGUUUUGAGUAAUAGGGACUAAAUUGUGAAAAUUUUAAAAUUUAGGGAUUUAAGUGAAAUUAGAGAGUUAAAUCUAGUCUAAAGUGAAAUUUGUAUGAAAAUAAAGAAUUAAAUGUAAAGAAAUAAAGUUAGUCUCAGUUUAGGGACUAAAUUAGAAUUUAGGCAAAUAUUGAGUAAAAAUUGAAAUAUUAAAUAUGAGAUUGAAUUGUGUUGUAUUGGUGAAUUUUUUAAUUGUUUUAAUUUCGUAGCUAAAUUCGUACCGAAACCCUCGACUAAAAUGGGAAAAGAUAAAGUCGACGAGGAAUAGCUCAAAAUUUUCGGUUUGUAUUUCUAUAAUCCGAAUUUAGUUGUUAAUUGUUAUAAUUUUUAUUUAAUGUAUAUCGUAAGUGUUGGGGUGAGAAUUAUUAUGUUUUGCAAUUGAAAUUGAUUGAUUUAGUAUGUGAUGAAUUUAUUGAAGUUAUAUUGAUUGAAUUGUUUUAUAUAUAUAUAUUGAAUAUAUUGAUUAUUUGAAUUGAAAUGAAUAUUGGUUGUAUUUGAAAAGUGAAUUAUAAAUUGAAUGGAUUGAUUUUUGAAUUGAAAUGAUUGCAUGUGUAAUUAUGUGAUUAUAUGAAAAAUUGAUAUUGGAUAUAGAUUGUUGUUGAAUUGUGAAAUUUAAACCCUAUUAACUGUAUCGGGCUGAGUCAGAUAUAGAUGGCAUGCCAAAGGAUUGGAAGAGUUCAGGAAUUUUUUCGACUUCAAGUCGAUGAGACAUUGGAUGUCAAAUUAUUACUUCAGAUUAAUUUGAUGAGGCACUGGGUGCCAAUUUACUUCGGUUUAGCCGAUGAGACACUGGGUGUCAACUUAUUGCUUCGAAUUAUCCGAUGAGGUACUGGGUACCAAGCUGGUUUGUUUUGGUUGGAUCCGUGUAUCCGUUCAAGCCCAAGUCUUGUUAAUAGGCGUAAAUGAAUAAUAAAGUCUUACAAUUGAUAUUGAAAUGAAAUGAUAUGAGUAAUGGAAGUGAUAUAAUGAAUUGAAAAUAGAAUGUGAAAUAUGUUGACAAUACAUGGAAUAUAUGAGUUAUAUACUUAUGAAUUAAGUAUGGUAUGAAAUGAUGUAUUCAUGAAUUGAGUAUUGCAUGACUGAUGCCAUUGUACGAAUAAAUAUGGUUGAUAUGUGAAUAAUCAUUUAUAUAACAAUUGUGUGAAUUAGGAUUUUGUUUAAUAAAUGAAAAAUGAUAGUUGUGAUGCUAGACAUUAAUAUGUCCUUAUAAUUAUAUAUAUUAUUUUUAAAUAUUCGGAUUAUAGAAAUACUAUUGAGUUUUUACUCAGUGUACGGUUUUGUUUUCCUUGCGCAAAUUAGGUACAGUGAUUUUGAAGAGCUGUAAUUGAGGUUGUAAGCAUUCAUCUUAUCACAUCUCCAAGUGCCAAGAGGGUAUGUUUCAAAAUUUUAAAUAGAAUGACAUGUACUUAGGAAGACCAAGUAUGUUCUAAGUAGUAGGGACUAAAAUAUAAUUUAUAAAAAAUUGUUUUUUUAAUAUUCAAAUAUAUUAGUGAUUAGCCAAAAUCACUUUGGCACCAAAUGUAAUAUUCCUAUAUCAGGUUCUUUGGGUCAAAUCGGGUUAGGGGUGUUACAGAACUUACUCAAUCACACCCUAUGAUAAUUUACCUCACACUUGUACUUUGAAAACUUGAUACUCUCAAUAGUAAAUUCAUCCCUUAAGAAUUCGGCAAGUAAAACCACAAUACAAAUGACGAAAGCUCUUUACUGGGCUGACACUGAGAGACGAAAGCUAGGGGAGCAAAUGGGAUUAGAUACCCUAGUAGUCCUAACCGUAAACGAUGGAUACUAGGCGUUGUGCGUAUCAACCUAUGCAGUGCUGUAGCUAACAUGUUAAGUAUCCCACUUGGGGAGUACGUUUGCAAGAAUGAAACUCAAAGGAAUUUAUGCGGGCUCGCACAAGUGAUGAAACAUGUGGUUUAAUUCGAUGCAAAGCAAAGAACUUUACCAAGGCUUGACAUACCGUGAAUCCUCUUGAAAGAGAAGGGUGCCUUCAUGGACACAGACACAGGUGGUGCAUGGCUAUCGUCAGCUCAUGUCGUAAGGUGUUGGUUUUUACUAUCAAUAUACACUCAUAAAAUAAGGUUCCUCACUUAAAAUAGAUUAAGUACUGAAUUCUCUUUGUACAAUUUCCUAUACAAAUCUCUCAAUUAUAUAGAAUUUAUUCAGACUUGCUCAUAUAAGAAGAUCUAUCACAAUUCCUAUAAAACAACCACUACAUAAACCAAAUACAAUAUGAUAAUAAUGAACAAGAUAAACAAGGAUGCUUGGCAGUUAAGUCAUUAGUGAUUCAAUCCAAUCUAACUUCCUUGAUUCAAGGGACUAGAUAAAUGUAAUCUUAUUCAAUCCAAUCACCAAUAAGGUUCCCCAAGUAAUAUGAUCUUUCAUAAUAGGCUAGAAAUCAUUCGUACAAUCAACAUAGCCAAAUAAUCAGUUCAAUAAAUUGCCAACAACUUAAAUAUAAAAAUUGUCUCCAUACAAAUUUGGUGGACAAGGGAGUGGGGACUCCCUCUAAUAUCAAGUUACUAGUUUCAUAUUUUUCAACAAAUUAAUAUCAUUAUUUCAAUAAUAAUCUCAAGCGAUAAAAUAUUAAUAAUCUAACCUCCAGCCAUGGCACUUGAUUGGUGUAGAAUUCGCAUGCUUAAAAUACUUUCAGUAAAUCAUAACCAUCAUAGAGAUGGAAUUGGUUGAAUGAUUGUCUCUAUUAAAUACCUCUAAUUUUUUUUUUUCUAAAAGUUAACAUAAAAUUUUCAGAAAGAACAAAAGAGAUAGAGAAGAGUGGUUAUUAUCAAACUUUCUCUCACCUCAUUUAACCUUCCACAAAAAUAUGGUAUCAUAAAUUAACUCAAUAGCAAUUUUAUUAGAAAAAUAUUUAAAAAUUAAUAUUUAAGUAUUUAAUAAAUAUUAUUAAGUAAAAGUAAUGAACUAAAUUUUAAAUGUACGGAGUGUAUAGGAACUUAGAGCAUAUUUUAACUCAAAAUUUUACUUUAUAAUUUGGUACAAAUAAAUAAUCAACCCAACAUGAAGUGUAGACCAAAUAUCAUAUGUCUUUGUUUUUUAUAUACGUGCUAAAAGAUGAGUAAUAGACAAGAUUGAUGAAGGUUUAUGAAUGGAGAGGAAGUUAAAAAGUUUCUUUCAACAAACAUUAUUCUCUAAUUAAAUGUCCUAUCAAUUAUCUAAUUUGUCUGGUUUUGUUCACAUGAUUGAAGAUACAUUAUCACUAUUAUCUAAUGAAAACAUGAUUAAGAUUAUUUUAAAAAACACAUGAUUAGGACUCAAUUAUAUCAUUUUAACGAUCCUGAUUGUAAUUAUUUUAGUAAUAAUAUAAUAAAUUACGAAACGAAACAUUUCAGCUCUUCUUUCUUGCAUUAUUUGCAGCCCUAAAAUGAUAUAUUGAACGUGGUCCUCUAAUAAUAUUUUUUUAACGUGGCCCACUAGUUGAAAUGGUGCUCUAUUGGGCUAGAAUUUAUAUAUACAAACAAAUAAUAAUAGAUAUCAAAAGUUGAUUAAUAAUUUAUUCAUUAUUUAUACUUUAAACCGCAAAUUUGAGUCAAUUAUGUCUUUAAGACAUUUUUUUAAGUUUCUUAUAAGGGUAUGGAUGGAGAUGCAUAGUUGUAGGUAUAAGUCCUAUGGUUUUUGUAAUGGGCCAAAUCUGCCCGGGCCCAUGUAAAAACAAAACAAACAAAAACACAAAAAAUAUAUAAAGCCCAAUACAUGACCCAAAAAACCAAACUUAAUAUCCUAGCCCAAUAAGCCCAAUCCCGAAUAGCCCAAAAAGCCCCAAAACUUCAACACUUUCGGGAACCCUAGGUCACCCUCUUGCGCCGCAACAGCCUCGCAACGACCGUAUCACCUCCGUACCCUAGCCUAGACCCGUACCCGAGCGCCAACGCACAGCCCCGUGCUCCGUACCUGCAAAAGAAAACAAACGAAAGCAGCAACAAGCCAAUACAAAAGCAGAGGACAAAAAUUGUUGUUUUCUUUAGUUAUUCGGCUAUAAAGCCUUUGAUUUUCGAUUGUAAAAGGGGACUCCUUUUUUAAAAACGGAAUAUACGCACAAAAAAAAACUCAUUCGCAUAUUGAAUAGAAAGAGAUAGCAAAGAAAAGGUGAUUUGAAACGCAUUAUAUUUUUGUUCUUCAAAUCUCCUUCGUCUUUUUUUCUUUUCGUUUUGUUUUUUCUAGUAUAAUGAAAUAAAGUAGCUAUUUUACCUCGUGAAAGUAUCAUGGAUUCCGUCUGCUUCGUCGAUAUCGGAGUGUAGAAGCUAUUCCACGGUCGAAAUUGUCGCCCCUUUGAAGCUCGAAUCUGUUCGUCACCACUGAUAGGAGCAGAUCGGCGCUUAGAGGGAUAGUUUUAGGGGCGAAUGUGGAGGAAAUAAAAAGAGAUCUAGGGUUUGCUAAAUGAGAAGAAAGGGGGGCUAGGGUGAUUCGGCCAAAUUUGGCUUAUUUUUAGCCUUUUUAAAAGAGUAAAAACGACGCCGUUCAAAGGGGGAAGGGUUCGCGCGUCAACCCGCUCCAGGACCCGUACCCACGCCCUUAUACUUCAAAUGGGUUAUUUACGAUAAAAGUCCUUCCCUUUUGCAUGGUUAUUCGAUUACAUGCAAUUUGCUUUAUUUCUUUUUUUGAAUUUAGUUCGGCAAUUUUGGCGUGUUUGCGCUUUGGUCCGUGCCUCUGUGCUGCGUUUUAGAGCUGGGUUUAUUCUCAGUUCUGGUCCCUGUAUGCUGGCGCGCUUCGCGCAUUGGUCCUUCGUGGAAUGUUUUAUUCGCAAAUCAGCCGUUUUUUUGUUUUAAUUUUAUUUGAACUAAUUUACCCAUACACUCAUGUAUUUUAAUAUGCUUUGUAUGUUUCGUAUAAAUGUUUUAUGUGUGCUAUUUUAUGUAUACAUAUAUACACGUAUAUAGUUUGUACUAAAGCUUUGUUAUAAAUGUAUAUAUAUACUAUUUUCAAUUUCAUAUUAUUUUCCUACACAUAGUUUUCUUCAUAUACAUAUGUAAGUAUGCCUUCAAAAUUAUUAUAUAAUUUAUAAUAAAAUUAACUUCAGCUUGCAUGUAUUUCUACACUUUUACAAGUAAUUAUUUUUAAAAGUUAUACGUAUAUACUUAUAAUUGGUAGAAUCAUUAUUUUUUUUAAGAUUAUAUCAUAUUACACAUUAUUAUUAUUUGUAAUAUAUUUUAAACCUUUCAUAUCACAAAUCCUCGUUUUUCAAAACCAUGUUAUUUAAUGUUUUGGUAUGAUAUCCGAUUAAAACAUUCAUUUUAUAAUAUGCAUUAAGUACAUAUCCCUAGUUCUUUUUACGAAUAGAUUUAAAAUGCAUCAAUUCGUUAAUUUGCAUGUCGUAUGAAUUAUUGGUUCAUUAGAUCGUCUUUGUUCCGACAUCGUUUUAUACCACUUUGACUUUUAAAUUCUAUUUGUUCUACAUGUAUUUUGUGGGUUGUUCUAUACUGUAGCAUAUACAUUAUUAUUGCAUGGUAUUCAUCUUAUUGAUAUGUCAAUUGUCAUUCAUAUGUGAUUGAAAUUAGGUCAUAAUUUCUAGCUAAUUAUAUUUAAUUGCUCAUUUUCUUGGUUGAUCGAUAUUCUCAUUCAUCAAGUAUGGUAUCUUAUAUGCGCCUAUUAUCCCAUCUCAUCGUUUUCAUUUGGUUUUUCAAAAUGUGGUUUUAUAAAAUCUAAUUUCUACGAUUAGUUUCAUCUCAUUUCAAAUCGAAUUAAUACGUUUUAAAGCUAGUUUUAUAAGCAUUCAUUCAAAAAUUCUUCAAAAACGAAGACGAGAUUCGUUGUUUGGCAAUUCGCGGAAUCGUGCCCUAACGUGUUGGGUUGCAAUUUCGCGUUUGCUCAAAAUAACCGAAUAUCACUUCAAAAUUUCAUUCAUGUCUUUUAAAAUUCUUCAAAACGAAGACGAGAUUCGAUAUUUAGUAAUUCGCGGAAUCGUGCCCUAACGUGUUGGGUUACAAUUUUGCGUUUGCUCAAAAUAAUCGAGUAUCCCUUCAAGAUUUCAUUCACAUCUUCCAAAAAUUAUUUAAAACGAAGGAAAUAUUCGACAUUUGACAAUUCGAGAAUCAUGCCCUAUCGUGCUGGGUUGUGAUUUCUUGUUUGCUCAAAACGAUCGAACAUUCAUUUAUAUUCUCACUCAUGUUUAUAAAAAAUACUUAAAAAACGAAGACGAUGUUUAAUGUUUGGCCAUUUGAGAAUCGUGCCCUACCGUGCUGGGUUGCGCUUUUUCGUUGGUCCGAAACAAUUGAAGAUCCCUUUGGAAUUUCACUCACAUUUUCUAAAAUCUUUCAAAAUAAAGGCGAUGUUCGAUUUUGGCGAUUUGAGAAUCGAGCCCUAUCGUGCUGGGCUACGUUUUUUCAUUUGUCCAAAAUAGUCGAAUAUCUCCUCGGAAUUUCACUCAUAUUUUUUUUAAGGUGAGGCAAUGGUCAAUGUUUGGAAAUUCGAGGAAUCGUGCCCUACUGUGCUGAGUUUCAGUUUUUCGUUGGAUUAAAUAGUUGAGCAUCCUUUUGUGAUUUUCAAAUUAUAAAAUUUCAGACUUCGAAACAAAAAGAUUUUUGACAAUCAACUCAGGUUAUUCAACUUUUAUUAAAAAGAGCCACAUUUCAAAAAACAUUUUUUAGACAUAAGGAUAGUAUUUAAUUGAUUUGGUACCAAUUUUGGGCGUAGUGAAGGUGCUAAUCCUUGCUCAUGCGUAACCGACCCCCGAGCCCGUUUUCUAAAAUUUUCGUAGACCAGAGUCAUUGUUUUAAUAAAUCGCAAAUGUUCUAUUAAAAUAACCAAAUUCUUAGGUGAUCCGAUCACACCCAAAACAAAAAGAUCGGUGGCGACUCCAUGCAUUUGUUUUUCAAAAGACGAUUUCCCCUUUUUUUAAAUUUAAAAAUUUUAAAUCGAGGGAUGGUUUUGAUAGUUUUAAUCUUAAAUUUAGGAUUAAAUUCGUUUAUGUUUUAUUAUUAAUAAUUUUACUAGUCUUUUCUUUCUUGUUUUGUAUUUUUAUCAUUUAUUUUAUUAUAUUUAUAUUUAUUCUUUAAUUAUUAUAUAUAAAAAAAAAGAGAGGAAAAAUUAUAAAAAAAACCCUUUGUUAUAUCCAAUUCCUCUUUUUUUUUUUCAGUUUUGCUAGGCUUUUAUUAACAAAAAAAUCCAAUACAACAGGGCAAUUACAGCCGAGCAAAAAAUAAGGCAGGUAUAGUGACACCAAACUUCGCAAGUGGAUCAGCUAACCCAUUUGAUUUCCUCAAUAUAUGAUGAAAAGACGCGUUCUUAAUAGAUCAAAUCAGCCCAUCGAUCUCAUUAAAAGUCUUUCAUAGUCUCCAUGGACGAGACUCCACAUUGCGUACCCACGAAACUGUAACAAGAGAAUCUCAUUCAACCACCAAAGACACCUAUUCUCAAGAUAUAUUAUAUAAUAUUGCCUGUUGAUAUAUCAUAUAAUAUAUUAUGCAUAUGCAUAUGCAUAUGUGAUAUUAUUAUUAUUAUUAUUAUUAUUAUUUUGAUAAUUGGAAGUAGGGUGAGAUUGCUAAAUAUUGAAUCCAAACUCACAUACCAUAACACAAAUGUUUUUAUCAUUAGGUAAAUCAGUUGUUAGCAUAUGACAUAUUAUUAUUAGUUUCAAACUAUAUGUUAUAUCUUUAAUAUAUUAUAGUUUUUAUACAUGCGUCUGUUUAUAUAAUUUUAAUUUUGUACAUAUGCAUAUGUUGUAUUAUUACUUGUUUCAAAUUAUAUGUCAUAUUAUUUAUAUAUUUGAUUAUUUAUAUUGCAAUUUUUAUAUAAAUAUAAGUUUUAAAAUAUAAUUUUUACAUACAUACGUAUGUGACAGACUUGCUAAUAUUAUAUAGUAUAUAUUAUAAAUUUGCCUGUUGAUAUAUUAUAUAAUAUAUUCUAUAAAUAUAUUUGCAUGUAUGUGUGUGCGUUUGGAGCUUGGGAGAUAGAUAGAUCUAUAUAUAAAUUUAUAUUACAUGUAUGGGGUAUAUAAAUAUAAUAUAGGUGAAAUUACCUUGAAGGUCUUUAUAUUAGAAGAUGGAUUAUUUUUUGUCACAUCUAUUAAAAAAGAAGAAGAUAAAUUUGUAUGUUAGAAAAAAGAAUGUAAAUUGAUCUUUCUAUUAAAAAUUUCAUAUUGCUAAGAGAUGAUUUGAUUUUUUUCAAAGUUUUUUAUGUAAGUGGCAUGGACUUAAAGGAUGAGUAGGAUUAGAUAAAAGUACCAUGGAGGUCUUUGUACUAGGAGCUAGAUUGCAAUUUACAAUUUUCUCUUCUGCUCAAAAUGAUUAGCAAAUUAGUCAUUGUACAUUAAAUCAAAAAGUAAUUUGAUAUUUCUGUUAAAGAUUUCAUCUAUUUCUACUUUUAGGUGAUGACGUGACUGACAGAGCAACCAAAUAGUGACACAUGGUGUGCCAUGUGUGCCUCAUUCUGAUCUGGCAUAUUUUGCCAUCUCAAAAAAUAUUUAAAAAUUAAAAAAUCUGAGAAAUAAAUAUUCUUUAAAUAAUUAUUUUAAAAAUUACAUCCAAUAUGAAUCUAGACAAAUGGUCACCCAUAUUUAAAUGAACCUAGGUAAAUGGUUGUCCAGGUUCAUCUUAUGUGUGGUUUUUGAAAUAAUUAUAAAAAUUAUAGAAAAUUAUUUUAAAAUAAUAAAAUUUAUAAGAAACUAUAAUUUUUUUAAAAUUAUUAAAAAUGUCUAGAAUGAAUUUGGACAAAUUGUUGUCCAGGUUCAAAUAAGACUAGACAACCAUGUGUCUAAGUUAAUUAUGAAGUUGUUUUUUUAAAUAAUUAUACAAAAUUAUGUAUAGAAAAUUAUUUAAAAUUCAUUAAGAAUUAUAAUAAAUUAAUAAAAUAGGACUCAUCAACUUGAUUAACUAAAAAUAUCAACUAGAUUACGAAUAUGUGGGGGUUUAUAUUUGAAUUCUUUAAACAUGCUGUAACACCCCAAUACCCGACCCGACCACUGGGUUCAAGUUAUAAGGUGUCACAUUCAUUACCAGAGCAACUACAAUCGAUAACAUCUAAUUCAAUGUCAAUAUACAUUUAAAUACAAUUCAUGCUAACUAAACAAUGCAUUAUCAAUUAUAGGCCUUAUAAAAGCCUACGAAAGCUCUUUUAUUAACCUAAGGUCGAAAUGGAUCAAAUUGUAAAUGUUACAAAAUUUUGAAUUGAUGUUGCGACUUUAGGGUUUUCCUCGUCGCGACGUGACUCUCUGACUAGUGUUCGUCAUGACCUCGAGGCUACGUUGUCACAAUGUGAGCCCUAAACUAAUUCUUGUCACGACGUUCGAGGUACGUCGUCGCAACUUGAUACUUGCAAUUCAAGAACUCCAAUUUGGUACCUAAAUGAACCUUACCAAAACAUCAUCAACCAUAUAUAUACUAAUCUCAAGACUUCAAUUUCAGCCAUUCCCCAUUAAAACAAGCCUAAAAUACCACGUUCAACAUUAACACAUCUUUUAUAAACAUGUACACUAAUCAAUUCACAUAAUUAACACAUAUGCAUUUACAAUAACCAUUUGUGACAUUAAACAAAAUGUCGCUAGGUACAUGCCUUAAGACCAAAAUGAAAUACACUUUACAAACUUUGUUGAGCCAGAAAUGGUAGUCUAGAUGCUGACUUCAAGUCCCGAGGCUUCGAGGAAUACCUAAACCUACACACAAAGAAAACAAAUCGUACACUGAGCAAUAGGGCUCAAUGGUACUUUUAUGAUUCAAAAUAGCAUAAUAGCACCAUAAAUAAGAUAUAAACAUAUGUCAAGACAAUGUAUGAGAUUAUGCACUCAAAAUCCAAGCCAUUGUGUUGCAAAAUAUCAAUCAUUCUUACCAAUUUACCAUUUAUUAAAACAUACAUAUAUUCAUACUUAAUUAACUUAUCCAAAAUCACCAUGAGCAUGACCAAUUCCAUAUAAUUUUCCAAUUAUCAAUAUUUAACCCUAUACCCACUCAAUAGCAUUCAUGAGUCAAAUGCUCACUUUUAGUUGCCUUUGCUAGCAUGAUGUUUCAUACCAUAUUUGAUCUAAUAUCAUUUACCUGAUCAACUAUCUUUCAAUCCCUUUUCCUAGAAUCGUUUGACUCAUUCAUGCUCGUUUUCGACCUCUAGGGCUUGUUUUCAAACAUUUUAUACAAUAGCUCAUAUGCUCUUUCUAUCACCAUUCACAUAAAGUAUAAGUGAGGCCUUAUCAUUAAUUAUACCAUUUCACAAAGUCAUUUGUUAAUCUUACCAUUCAUAACCCUAUUAACACAACUUGGAAUUGAACGGAUACACCAAUCAUCCAUCCAACACACCAAAUGGGCACCGAAGUACAUCAUCGGAUAAACCAAAAAAAGGUAAAGUGGCAUGUAAAGUUUAUGCUGGCACACAUAGCGUAUACUAGCACACGAAGUGCAUACUGGAGCACGAAGCGCAUCCUGGAACCUGAGGUUCAUCUUGGAGCAUAAGCCCAUAAUCUCGUACACAAUCAAAACCUAUGACAUGCCAACUAUAUCUAACUCAGCCUGACUAGUUAAUAAGGUACCAAAGUGCAAUAAUAAUAUACCAUGUACAUAUAGCAUUUCACAUUCAUUUGUAUAUCCAUAGCCAAUUUUGUCAUCAAACAUUUAUAAUUCAUAUCAUGUUAUAUGUAUGUAACCUAUCUCAUUUCAAUUUUCGUUUUACCUAUCACAAUUCAAAUAUUUCAAGCCAUUUUCUAUUUUAUUCAUUUUAGUCUUUUAAUACGAUAAUUUAUAUCACAACUAAUCAAAAUCAUUCACAACCUCAUCAUUUACUUGCCUUAACAUAUAUUGAUGGUCACUAAACUAACUAUAAAUAAGACUAAGGCAAACGCACCUAUCGAACAAUAGCAUAGUUAUGGUGAGUAGGGAAUAUCGUAUUCUCUAGGACUAAAAGUACUAGUAAUUACCGUUUUUCUAUUAUUUCGCCAACAAAUUGGAGCGAUUGUUUUUAAUCUAAAAUUAGUAAAAUAAUCUAACUAAGAACGCAGCAGAGAAUGAAAUAGGAAAAUAAUCGAAGAUAACCAAUGAGAUAGACAAUACCUAGGAAAGAAUCCACCUAGACUUCACCUAUUAUUCUGAAUCUGAAUUAAAAAAUUUAUUCAUUUGUGUCUUGAUCCUUAGAAAUCCCUAAAUUAUGUUAAUAUCUCUUUGGAGAGUAAGAACAACUGACUCUAGGUUGAUUAAUUGAAAUCUCUUUCUAAUUAAACCCCUAUGUCACAUUAACUCGAUCUAUAAAUUCCCCUAUUAGAUUUGACUCUAAACCGGUAGAUUUAUGUCAUCCUAUUUCUAGGAUUGCAUGCAACUCCACUCAAUUAUGCUAGAUUUACUCUUAAACAAGGACUUUUACUCCAAUAAAAUAAGCACAUUAAACAUGAAUUAAUAUCCCAAAAAUAUUAAAACACGAAAUAAGCAUACAUAAUUGAGAACAAGAAUCAAGUAUUUAUCACGUAAAAAUAGAAAUUAAAUAAUAAGAUUCAUCAUAGGUUUCAUCCCCCCUAGGUAUCUACGGAAUUUAGUUCAUAAUCCUAAAUUGAAACUUCUCAAAGUUAGGAUAACCACAAGACAUAAAGAAACUCAAUAAAACUCCGAAAGAAAUUAAAUGGAGAUCUUUGAUCUUGAGGGAGAUCCACUUCUAAGUUGAUUCUGAUGGCAUUCUUCGAGUGUUUUCUUCUAUCUUCUUUGAUUGUCCCCUUAGAUCUUCUUCUAAUUGGUAUUUAUAGGCUUUAGAAUGCUCAAAAAGCCUAAAAAUUGGGUUUUUUCGCGUAUCUAAGAAGCAGGGUGUGAUAUCGACAUGGGCUGGCACAUAGGCGUGUAGCCAGCCCGUUUGGCUCACACGAGUGUGUGGCUAGUCCGUGUGGAAAUGCCCAGGCCGUGUGGAUCCUGAAAACAACUCUUUUGUCUGAUUUUGGCUUAUGUUUUGCUCCUUUCACUUCCGUAUGCUCACCUAAGUAUAGAAACAUGAAUUUAAAGGAUUAGGAGCAUCAAAUUCACUAAUUUACAUAAUAAAUCAUCCAAGAACGCAUUAAGAAUGGGAUUAAAAUAUGUUACUUUUACAGAUUAUCAUAUAUUCAUCAAAUUAACACAUAUAAUCAAGAAUUCAAUCUAUUCUAAAUCAUAGAAGUACAAAUUGAGGUUUCGCACGUCACUCGUCAACGAUUUUCACUUUUUCUUUCCCUCACGGCUGUUUGGUGUUGUCAUUAGCUAAAAAUCAUAAAACAUAUCAAAUUAUAAAUUUCCAGCAAACUCAUAAUCAAAUACCAAAUUUCACAUGUUUUGCAAAUUAUUCAAUUUAGUCCCUAAAAUGAGGACAAGCAUAACUUUUAAUUUAAAGCCUCGGAUUAGAAUCUGUUUUCAUCAAAACUCAUUAAGGACUCUUUAUUUUACAUUCCUACAAAAAAUUCAUGAAAAUUUUUUAUUUUAUUCAAUUUGGUCCCUAAUGUAAGAAAUUUACAAUUAAGCUUUACAAUUUAGUCCUUUUCAUAUACUAAGAUUAAUUUCUAAUAAUUUCACACCAAUUUCAUUCAACUUUCAACAAUGGAAACUUUUAAAACUUUAACAGUAAAACAAAUUAUUACAUGGACUAGCUAAAUCAAGCUCCCAUGACAUCAAAUCUAUAAAAGUUAAUGAAAAAUGGCUAGGGACUUGGAAUUAGAGAUUGAAAGCUUCAAACUAUAAAAAAUGGUGUUUUUCUCUUAGGUUUCUUCUUUUUUCGAUUGGAGAAGAUGAAUCUAUCUUCUCUCCUUCCACUAAGCUUCCUUUUAUACAUGGUUUAAUAGUUAAUUAAGCUUUAUUUACUUAAUUAAUCAUGUUUUCUUAACUAUUAAACUUUUAUUUUCUUAAUUUAAUUAAUACAUGCAUGAUCGUCUACUAGAAUAUAAUUUAAAAGGUUUAUUAACCAUUUUGGCCAUUUGGAUUAUUGCAAUUUAAGUCAUUGAGCCUUAUUAUAAUUAAAAAUCUAUAGUUAUUGGACUUUUACGAAUUAGUCCCUGAGCUUUAAUUUCUCACAAUUUCGACUAAAUCUCUUAACCAAAUUUCAAUUCAUCAAUAUACUAAUUUUUUAAAUAUCCCUAUUAAAUAUUUAAGGACUUGAUUUACGAAAAUGGAGUCCUAAAAUUGCAUUUUUCGACAGCACUAAAAAUUGAGUCGUUACACAUAUACGUUUGUAUAUAUAAUUUUUAUAAUUUUUAAAAAUUUUAAAAGUUAUUUAAAUUUUCUUAUAAUUCAUAAUAAUUUUUAAAUAUUUUUAUAAUUAUUUAAGAAUCCACUCUAGAAUGAACCUAGACAAAAUGUUGUCCAAGUUCAUUCGAGCUUGGACAAACAUUUGUCUAGGAUCAUUCUAGACAUUAUUUUUAUUAAUUUUAAAUUUUAAAAAAUUAGGAUUUUUUUAAAAAUUUUAAAAUAUUGUCACGUCGGCAUGAGGUACAUGAGACAUGCCACGUGUUAGUGCUUGGUUUCUCCAUUAGCAACAUCAGCAUUUAACUGUAGAAAUGGAUGAAAUUUUUAACAAAAUGACCACUCUGCUCUUUGAUCUAAAGUAUAAUGACUAAUUUUCCCAUUUUUUGAGUAGAGGGGAUAAAAUGCAACCCGACUCCUAAUAUAAGGGCUUCCCUAGUACUUUUACCUAAUAUUAUUCAUCAUUUUAUUCGAAGCCACUUAUAUAUAAGAGAAAAAGCCAAAUCAUCACUCAUUACACCAAAAAUAUUUUUUCUUGACAUUUAAAAAACGUUACAAAAACAACACAAAAAGUCAUGAAAAGGUAGUUUUAGAGUUUCGUGACAUUUUAGGUGAAAUAUUGGAAAGCGUAACGCAUGAAAAGUAACAAAAAAUUUGUGACGCUUUAAAAAUGUAAAAGAAAUGCACUUUUGUGACAAUUUUAAACGUCACAAAAAGUUAAAAUGUCACAAAAAAAUGUUAUAUUUUCUUUCUCUUAUAAGUGUCAUGUUGACCAACCAAAAUGUCAUGAAAAGCUUAUCUAUUUGCUGAUGUUAAAAACGUCACGAAAAGUUAGACAAAAAAAGGUCACAAAAUAUCUAACUAUUUGUAAUGUUUAAAAAUGUCAUGAAAAUUUAAACAAAGAGGACACAAAAUAAGUAUUUUUAGUUACUUUUAUUUCUAAUCUAAAGUAACAAUAUAAUUAUAAAAACAUCACAAAAAGUAUAAACUCAUAAUAUAAAAUAAAUCAUCACCAAAAGUCAUAAUAUAAAUAUUAAAAGUCACCAAAAGUCAUAAUGUAAAUAAAGUAACAAAUUGUAUACAAUAUGAAGUACUAAGCUCCUGAACCUUAGAUUGGAGGUCAUGAACUAUCCACCACAAAACUAAUAGAAGGAGUAUCUUAAUCGGGGGUCUCUGAAGGCAAAGACAUAUCAACACCUUGGGAAGAUGAAGUACUACCCCUUGGUUCAAAAGAUGUUAUAGUGUUAACUAUCUUUCCCAUCCUUUUUUAUAUCGAACAUGAGAGCUUGACUUUAGAAGGAUGGCUUUGAAAGGCAUCACUAUUGUCAUAGUCCAUAGUAGAGAAGGAAGUGGGUGAUAGGAAAAAAUGGUGGGGUAUGGCUUUUAUUCUUCAUUGUUUUCUCUGCAGGAAACAUGAUAAUUAAACAUAGAAUAGACAUGAGUACCAGCCAAUUAUGAAAUUUCCAAUGAAAUGAGGUUUUAGCAAGAUGGAUUUACUACAAUACUUGCACCCAAUAAUAUAUAAUUUUGAAAUUCCCUCAAAAAAUAAAACGAAACAGAAAUAUAUAGAAGAAAUAAUAAUAAUAAAAUAGAUUUAUAAAUUUUCUUACAACAAAUCAAGAAAAUACAACUUCAAAUGGGGAUAACAAAUGAGGCAACAUGAAUAAUAUAACUCAUAGAGAACAAAGACAAAUUUUAUGACCUAAAGGCUUUCAAUAAAAAAUGACAACUUGUUCUUGGUAAGGUAAUUCUUUAGGAUGGCACAAGUUAUUUUUCAAAUUAUAUUUAUGCAAAAUUCAAUCUCAACAAAAUAAAAUAAACUUGAAAUAAAAAUCCCUUCAACACACAUAUAUACAUAUAAAUAAACCAUGCUUUUCAUAUGACGUUUAUCAUAGUCAAGAUAACCGCCAUUAAAUUCAACACUAAUAUUAAAAUUAAUUAAACCAACACGAACAUACUCCCAAAAUACAAUUUUUUGCCAUAAUCAAUUUCUAUCCAAUUAAUAUAUAUUAUAUCCAAUGUUUGGGUUUGAUUUGUUGGUUGUUGUCAUGUGAUGUGUUCUAGUUGGGUGGUUAAAUACUUAGUGUCUCUGCUUGUGGUUCCAUGCUUGUGUAAGGAAUAAUUUUUUUUUUAGCAAGCUUGUAAAAGAUUUUAGAUUUUUAUUAUACUUCUAAAAAUCUGGUUAGUUAAAAUUGGGAUAAGAUUUAAAGGAAUAAUUUAUUGUUUUAUUUUAUUUUAUUUUAUUUUCCUUCCCAGCCUAGUGUCACGUUUGACUUCUUUUAUUUUUAUUAUUAUUUCAUUUUAUUUUAUUUUGUUUUGAAUUUCCAAGUAAUCUGCUCCUUUUUUUUUCCCACGUUUGUUUCCUCCUUUCCCGUUUUCACGCCUCCAUCUACCCUGCUGUGCAAUCGUUCUAUUUAGUUCCUUUCUAUUCUUUCUUUUGAUUCUUGUUCUUUUGUUUUGUUUCUAUUUUUAUUUUGGCUGUCAUAUUUUUGUUAUAUUUUAUUCUUUCCUCAUGAUUUCGAGCUCGGGUGUUGGGUAAGAGAUCAGUUCGUCUAUUGUACGUUUGGUAUUUUAUUUUAAUUAUGGGUUGUUAUGUUCAAUAGAACAAGGGGUUGUUCACUAGGUUUUGUUUGCAAUUGCAUCGUUGUGCCUUUAGGAGAUGAUCAAGGGGUGUUUGGUGUUCCUCCAGAGACUUAGGAUUUGUGUAGUGUUGCUCGUUUAAUGGUAAGUGUACAGAUAAGUUUGUGUAGUGUCGUUUAAGCUCGGUUGUGGUUAAUUCUUGGUCAGAUUUCAUGAAUCAUUACUAAAAUUGGUGGUGUUUAUUUGACAUGUUUAGGUUUUGGAAUAUUCGAUUUUGAGCAUGCAUUAGAUUUUUGACCUAGGUGUGUAACGAAAAACACGAAAAUAGCGAUCAACAAAAGCCGAAAAACUGCACAGUCGGUGCCACACGGUCGUGUGCCAAGCCAUGUGGUAGGCCGUGUGUGACACACAGUCGUGUGACGGACCGUGUGAUGGAUCGUGUGUGACACACUGUCUAAGCCGUUUGGGUGUGUGGGCUACACAGACGUGUGGGCCCAAAAUUCUAAAUUUUUUCCUAAGACUGUAAAUAUUGUGUUGAUCGAUCGUAAGCCUUUCAUAGGGUCGGUAUGUUAUAAAUUAAGCCAUAAAACUCAAAAUCUGAUCAUAUGUUAGCGUAAAAUUAGAUAUAAAUAUGCAUGUUUGAUAUGAUAUAAGAUAGGUAAUAUGCUAUGAAUGACCUGAGAAAUGUUGUGUAUGAUCUGAUAUCCGAUAAACAUAAUUUGAGUUUGAUAUUGAGCGCGUAUGAAAAAUACAUGUAUGACAUCUGAUAUUUUUGUAUGUGCAUUUAGGUUGGGAUGGUAUAUAUGAAGUGUGAGCAAUAUAAUAACUUGUCGUAUUUGGUGUCUCAACCACACAUAUUUCUAUAAAUCUGGCAGCUAAGCUGCAAAUAUUCUAAAAAAUGUCAUAUUGACACUAAGCGGUGUGUAGGGUUGGAUGGGUAUUUAAUACCUUAUAUGGUGCGUAGAGAUGAUCAGAGAUGAUGUGUAGCGGAUGAGGGUAGGAUUGAAAAUAUGCAUCUGAUUCUAUUUUUGUAUGUGAUAUAUGUUUUAUGUCUGUUCUAUUAUGAGAUAUGCCCGAGAUUUAAUCUAUGAUACUGAUUUAAUGAGUUACACACUGAGUUUUGAAAACUCACUUUCUGUUUGUCUGUCUCUUUCAAGUAACCCUUAAACUUAGACGAAUCAGUAUGUUAGGAGCUUGGUUAUAAUAAUUUGGUAUAUUUGAUUUUUCUUAAAUUUGAAAAUAAGGUGUUUCAUAUAUUUUGGACUACUUGGACACCUAGGACUGUUUUAGGUUUGGACUUUAUUAUUAUUUUGUCUAAAAUUGUUUAACCGUUUUUAUUGAUGAUGCUCAAUUUUCCUACGAAGCAAUGGAUUUUCAAAAUAACAAAUGGUGUUUUUUUCAAAAUCUAACACAUUAAAGAUUUUCGCUCCAAAGUUAUACGUUUUAGAAAAUGUAAACAAACAAAGUUUCACAAAACGGGAAAUAAAGAUGUGUUUUCAAAUAAACCGAAUUUUUGCAUAACAAAAGUUAACGAUGCUUUUCAAAUCAACGAAUUUCCAGGUUUUAAAACAAGUCUACAAUAACAUCUCUAAAUUUGGCCAUAACAUUUAGCCCGAGUUUAAGGUGUUACAAGGUGUCUUAAAUAGAAGAUGUUAAUAAGUUUGCAAGAGCCUAAGUUGUGAAGAGGGUAGCCCAAAUGCACUUCAAUUGAAGAUCAAGCCCAUUUAAAGCUCAUUUAGAUCACUUGAAGACUUAAUUACUUUAUUUUUAUUGGCUUAAUCUGUCAAUGGCUCAAUUAAGACGUUUAUUUUUAAGCCCAAUUUAAUUUGUUUUCUUGUAAAAUUUGGUCCAUAUACAACUAUCAUAAAGCUAACCAAAUUCAUUUAGUAUUUUAUUUCUUCCUUUUAAGUUUCUUAUGAAGUAAGAGUUACCUUUCUUAGUUGCCCACAUAUUAGUCUACAUUUUAGGGAUUUGUUUUUAUUUCUUAGCCAUCAUAAUUUUAUAGGUUAGUUUUUAGGGAUUUGUUUCUCUCUUUUUUUAGCUCGCUUUUCGUAUAAAAAAGGGUAACCACCCACCAUAGGGAGCACCUAACUUUGAUUUGAAUAAAAGUACUCUUUGAGUUCUUCUCCUUUGCAAGAAAUAUUUUCUUAUUUGUUUUAGAAGAGUUUUCAACUCAAUCUUAUUUUGAGAUUGUUGGUGAGAGUUAUUCACCCCUCGGUUUGCCAAGUUAUCUAGCUUGGAGGGUCAGUUAAAGUCAUUAGUGGAGUUUAUUGAAGCUUGUUUUUCGAGGGGUUCCAUUAUAUAUCUUUCUUCCCUAUCUCGCCAUCAUCAUUUUUAUCAUUCUUCCAUCUUUCUUUAUUUAUUCUUAGUUUUCUUUUUUUGAAGAACAAUAUUUGACUUUUCUCCUUCAAAAAUUCAUAAAAAAAAUAGCUAAAUCUAUCUCCACUUAUUUCAAUCUCCUUCUUUUCAAAUCAAUUAUAUUUUCAUUCUUACUAAUCAUUUGUUUGUUUAAUUUUCAGAUUCAAAUUCUAAACAUUUUCAGCAACUUGGAAAUUGAUCUAUCCACUGCCCUUUAUCAUUCGGUAUCAAAUUUUGGAAUGCUUUUUGUAUCCUUGGUGUGCUAAGAUUGAAUUCAUGUCAGUUGUUACUUGGAUGCCUCCCAAAGAUGUUGUUACUUUAUAUAUACUAAAGCGAUAAUUUUUUUUUAAUUUAUAAAUUUACUUUGUAAUAUUAUUUGUUUUGGUAUUUUUCAUGGUCGUUUUACGAUCCAUGUUCGAAGUUCAUGGCUGCCUCUUCAACAAUGUCACCUCCAAAGUUCGAAUUAGUAUCACCCCUUAGGAAUACAAUGUGCCUUACCAUUGCAUCCAAUACUUAUGGGUCAGAGUUAAUUUUUUUAAUUUAUAAAUUAUUUUUUAUAUAAUAAUCAUCAUUAUAUUUUAGAUUAUUCAAGAGAUAAUAUAUACAAACUUUAAAUAUCUUUUUAAAUUAAAAAGAUUUCUAUUUCAUUAAAAAUUAAUUAAUAAAUUGUAAAAGUUACUUAAGUUUUUUAAAACAAAAUUAAAAUAUAUAAAUUUGAAAAUAAAAUUACAAAAGAGAAAUGAGUUUUUAAAAGGUUUUUAGGUUUAUUUUAUUCUCAUAUUUUAAAUUUUUAAAUUUUUUUUACAUAAAAAAAUUACAUAAAUUUUGAAAAGUUUAUGUAACCUUUCAAAUUUUAUUUAUUUAAAAAUUUUAUAUGAAAAUAUAAUAAUUUAACAUAAAAGUUGUUAAUGUGUCGUUAAAAUAAGUUGUCCACAUUAGCUUUGGUCUCAGGCUUUGUAAUAUAUAUAUGUUAUAAGGGGAGGGAUUCAUUUACGCUGAUGUAAAACUAAAGUUAUUUUAUAUUUUUUUGUGUAUUUUUAUACAAUUAAUUUUUAACGAUCCAACUAUUAAAUUUAUUUAUAUAAUUGUACUUGUUGUACAUGUAAAGUCUCGAGCGAAUCCGAUAUCUCUAUUAUAUUGAUUUAAAAUAUUGUAUAUGUUAAUAUUUAUUGAACAGUUGACUUUUUUUUUACCUAAAACAAAUAGUUAAAAAUUAUCGGUAUAUGUCAAAUUCAACAUACAUAACCUAUUUGGAUGAAAUAUGAUAGUUAAAUUACUAAAAUAUUAAUUGUAUAAAAAAAAUGAAAGACAAUAAAACAACCCCAAAAAUGUUCAAACUAAUUUCAAAAAAGCUUAGAAAAUGUUAACGAGUUUCAAAUUUCAUAUAUAUUUUUAAAAAUUUAUCCUUUUAUCUUACAGCAACUAUGAUAUAAAUUGAAAAUAGGUUAAUUAUGAAAAUCAUAGUUAAAAAAAUAGCUUAGAGUACAGGAGAAACAUGAAAUUUUUUUAUUUAUCUGAUUUUUUAUAUUUUAAAAUUUAUGGUUUAUCUUAUUAAAAUAUGAAAAUAGGUUAAUUAAAUAUGAGAAUCCUAUUUUGUUUUUUGGCAUAGGAGGAAAGUGCCAUAUUAAGGUAUUGUAUUAAAGUAUAAAUAAAAAAAUGGCAUGUAUCAUUAAAUACGGGAUGCUAUGUGUUAUUUAAAUAAUUGGUCCACAUCAAAAAUAAAUUUAAAACCUUAUAAAAUGGGGCAAAACACAUAAUUUAUUGUCAAGGAAUUAAAAUUUAAAAAUGCGGAUAAGGACAAACACAACGCAGCCGCGGUGUAUAAAGGUUGGGUCAGCUCAAAAACUGUUCACACAACAUCCAUCCUUCCCUACAUUCAGGAUGUUAUCAGUCAACUCCUGCGCGCCUUGUGAAUAUAUUGAUUGCGUAUAUAAUAAAAUAAUAAAUAUUAUUAAAAUUAUGGAAAUGAUGACGGAGACAUCAAAGGAAUUCUUGAAUGUUAAAUGACAAACUGUUCAUCAUUCAUAGGCCGGAAAGGAUAAAGGCAUAGCUGAACGCUGGAGCUGUGUAUAAAUUCUGCUCAAUCGCUGCUUCACAUCUCACCAUUCACAACACAAAAUUAAUUCACAAAUGGAUUCCCAAUCUCCUUUGAAGCUUCCAGUCAUUGAUUUCACUAAGCCGGAGCUAAAACCGGGCACCCCUGAGUGGGAUUUGGCCAAAGGCCAAGUCCAACAAGCCCUUCAACACUACGGUUGCUUUGAGGCUUUGUUCGACAAGAUCCCUCUGGAGACUAGGGAAGCAGUAUUUGGAGCCAUGGAAGAGUUAUUUGAUCUCCCCUUACAAAUCAAAAGUCGCAAUGUUUCCGAAAUACCUUAUCAUGGGUAUAUUGGCCAACAUCCUAAAAUACCAUUGUUUGAGAGCAUUGGCUUUGAUGAUGCAGAUGUUAUCGAAAAAGCCGAAGCCCAGACUCGUACAUUUUGGCCUCAAGGAAACCCAAGUUUCAGGUUCAUAAAGUCAUUGCACUUAAAAUAAUUUCCCAGUAAUUUCUCCUCAAUCUCUUUAUGAAUUUUGGUAUAUAUAUGUUUGUCUGUAUUGAUCAGCAAAACUAUACAAUCCUUCACAAAGCAAUUAACAGAGUUAGAUCAAAUGAUAAGAAGAAUGAUCUUAGAGAGUUUCCAAGUAGAGAAAUAUGUGGAUGAGCACAUGGACUCCACAGGCUACCUUCUCAAGGUAAUGAAAUAUGAAGGGCCAAAAACCAGUGGAACGCAGGUUGGACAGGUGCUCGCACAGAUCAGGACGUAGUGACCAUUCUGUACCAAAAUGAGGUUAACGGAUUGGAGGUACAGAGCAGCAGCGGAGAAUGGAUCGGUGUCAAACCAUCCAAAGACUCUUUCAUUGUCACCAUUGGGGAAUCUCUCCAUGUAAUUAUCAUUCCAUGUUUUUUUUUUUUGUCAUAAUUGAUGAAUUAAAUGAAUUAGUUGGGUUGGUUUGUUAAUGGUGCAGGCAUGGUUAAAUGGGCGAUUGAAGGCUACUUAUCAUCGAGUGAUGAUGAGCGGAGACAAGCCAAGGUAUUCGCUUGGAUUGUUUACAGUCCCAAAAGCAGGUUACAUGAUAAAGGCACCAGAAGAGCUAGUGGAUGAAGCACACCCCUUGCUCUACAACCCCUUUGAUUACGCUCAAUUCUUGGGCUUCUACUUUUCCAACGAGGGUCGAUAUCAAUCUGGUCUUAAAGCUUAUUGUGGUGUCCAACACUAGGAUAGUCAUGUAAUAAUCAAAAUAAUAAGUUUUAGGAUAUCUUUAUCGGUGUGUUUCUACAUCGGUGCUGCUACCUAGCAUUGACAAGCUUUAGCGGUACUCAAAAACUGAGGUCUCUAUUUUUUUUUUAAUGGAACCCUAUGGGCUUCUUGUGAUGGUUGCAAGUUAUUUUAUUUCUUCAAUAAUCAAUCAUAUCUUGCUUUAACGGUUAGGUGCUGAUUUUAUGGUAAUCUCACAUGCAUUCUCUAUACUAGAAUUGAAUCUGAAAAAAGAAUCCUUUAAAUUUUUUUUUUCGAAGUUAAUUAUAUUUUAAAAGAAAAACAAAUAAAAAAAUGUGUUGUAAAUUCAUUGAUAAAUGGAGAUCCGUAACUCCCUCAAAUUUAUCCUAUUGUAACCCCUAAAGAAUGAAUGUUCAUAAUCCCUUAAUGCUUUGUAACUUAUGGUAUUUGAAGCCAUAUAAAUUGAGGGCAUGUACAAGCUUAUUGUAUCCUAAGUGAAAGUCAAAUCACCAUUUCAUUGCUUUAUCUUUCUUUCUCUCUUAAUCUUUGUAUUCUUCUUUUAGUUUUAUAAUACACUAUCAGCACACAUCUCUACAAGUUCAUAAUGAAGUUAAUGUCAUUGCAACUAUAUAUAACUUGCCCGUAAAGCUCCCAUUGAACUAUAUAUGGUAUACAUAUUUUCAUCAUUGUUUUAAUUUGUUCAUCUUAUUUCUAUAAAAAGAGAAUUAUUCAAAGCAUACAAAUUAAUUUUAUAUACAUAUUUUAAUGAUAAUGUUAUGAAUAUUUUAUUAUUAAAUGGAUGUCCAUUAAGAUCAAUAUAAGUUUUGAUAUACUUUAAAUUCUAAUAGUCAUUAGAAGUAGAGUUCUAUUUCAUUUAUACUUCUUAUGUCUAUAAAUAUAGAUUUUGGAGAAUCAUUGUAGAUUAUUUCUGUAACACCCCUAACCCGUGUCCGUUGUCGGAUUAGGGUUACGAGUCAUUAACGAACAAAAAUACAUUUACGAACAACCACACUCAUAUAUAUAUAAGUCAUAUCCAUAUAUAUAAAUUAAAAAAUAUAUAAAUUCAAUUAAAUAAUAAUCAUGAUUUCAUUAAACAUAAUAUAAUGUACAAAUCAGAUUAAAAGCAACUCAAUAAUAUUCGAAUACCUAGAAGAAAUCAAACCAUUUAUAUCUUAUUUUACUCUAGCACAUCUUUAACACUUUAAAAUGUUUACAUAGUACUUUAUUCAAUAGCAAAAACAUACAAUAUUAUCAACUUUAUUGAAUGGUCUUAUAAAUAAGUCAUAUAGUUAACUGUAAUUUAAUAAUGAACCUCCAUCCAAAAUACAUCAAACAACUAUGUUUAUUCACUUAAACCAAAUCCGUAUAUUCAACAUCAAUUUUAUAUACUUACACCAUUUUUGUAUACGAAUAACAAUUUCUGCAUAUUAUUACAUAAUUUAACAAGAAAUUAUUCAUGCAACUUAAUACAUUAUAACAUGACUAAUCAUGUAAUUAGGGUUUUAGUUACAUAAUACGAAUUUGCCUUAGUUUCAAAGCCACAUUUAACAAAUAAAUUCAUACCACAUAAUUGAUUAAAACAAUCAUGGAACAUUUUUCCUAACUCAAUACCUAGCAUAGCCGAAUCACAAAUUGUAAAAUAUUCAAAACAUAAAUCUUGCAUACCAUGUUAUAAACAUAUCAAAACAUAUUUAUAUCAAGUUCAGAUAUAGCUAAACAACUUUAGAUGCCAAUUCACUUAUAACACAUUAACUAAUUACAACAAACUAAUGCACGUAUAUACUUUUACCUAUGCAUAUCAUAGCCAAACCAGCCACACAUUCAACCAAAUUCUUUAACCAUUCUAAAACAUAUAACACCAUUCAUCCAUAGCACAUCACACUAUAACCAAGAAUGAAUUCAAACACAACCAAGCAUAACCGAAUUUAACAUAUAAAUUAAGCCAUUUUUCAUGGCCUAUAUACAUAACCCAAGGUUCAUUAUUUCAAAAUGUAAUCUAGCCUAUACAUGCCAUAAUUCAAGUUCAACCUUUUAAGUACCGAAACAGUAGAUAGUGUGAUGAACUUUGCUGAUGAUCCCCGAGCUUGUAACGUGAAUCCAAAAUCUAUAAAACAAGGUAAACAUGUACACACAGAGUAAGCUAACUUAGCUUAGUAAGUCAUAAGCAAAUAAAUAGCACAAUGAUAUAAAUAUCUCAUUUUAAACUAAACUAAAUUGUAUUAAAGAUAAAUGCUUAACCUUAAAUUACUAAUACAUAAUUAAUACAUUUUCAUACACAUUCCAUAGCAAAAAUUAACCAAAUGACAUUCAACUUUCAAAGCUAUGAAGUCAUUAUUUAAUCAUUUAUACAUAUACUCAUGAAAAUAAGCUCGAAAAUCAUAAUAAAACAUUAUGAACAUGUACCUCUUAUUUGGCCAAAUAUGCAUGGUCAUAAUUACACACAUAUAUAUAUCAAAGGCCGAAUAUUCAUACUAAAUUCACAUGAAAUCCACAUUUGCAUUAUACAUAAUUUGUAACAUGUUUCAAGUCACAUACUUACCAUAUUUCAAGUAGACAACAAGCUAACCCAUACUUGUCCAUUUAGCUCAUUUUAUACAUUCGAUCACAACUUAGCUUUACCCGAUGAACCAUUCGGAAUUGGAUAGGACACUAGGAUAAUCACACAUAUCGUACAAUGCCAAUGUCCCAGACGUGGUCUUACAUGUAAUCACAUAUCGAUGCUACUAUCCCUAACAAGGUCUUACUCGCACACAUAUAUCGAGAUCACAUAUUGAUGCCAUGGUCUUACUCGCACACAUAUAUCAGAAUCCUAUGUCAUGACAUAUGUAUCCUAACUGUUCCUAAGGUUCAUACGGGGCUUUCGGACGUCGUAACUCGGUCGAAACGAAUUCGAAAAUAUAGUAACCAAGCUUUUUCAUGUUCGGCCAUAACAUAUAUAAUUUCAUAAAUUUCAUUUCAGCAUGUAUAUUUAGUAUUUAAUUAAGAUUAAGUACGUCUAUUUGCUUAUAAACUUACCUCGGACGACACAAAACGGAACAGGGCAGCUAGUCGACAACUUUCGUUUUCCCUCGAUCCAGAUCCGAUUUCUUUAGUUCCUGAUCUAAACAUAUUCAAACUAAGCUCAUUCAAACAUAUUUUCAUUCAUUUAAGUCCAAAAACACAUAAAUGGGAAAAUUAUCAUUUUACCCCUAACAUUUACACUUUUUACAAUUUAGUCCCUAUUACACUAAACACAAAAUAUGCAAAAUUUCCCUAUACCCAUGUUGGGCCGAAUUUUACCCAUGCUUAUACAAGUCCAUAUAUUUCAUUUAUUUCACAUUUUAUUCCCUCAAAUUAUUAUUUUUUCAAUUUAGUCCUAAUUACUCAAAAUCAUCAAAAACUCCAAUACAAAACAUGUUAAUCUAAAACAUAUCUUUCAUUUUUUUAUAAUCAAACAACAAAAAUCACAAACUCUCAUCAAGACAUAACUCAAAAUAUUCAUCAAAAUAAAAAAUUCAAGCACGGGUUUUGUAGUACUUGAAGCAACGAUCUCAAAAACGUAGAAAUUAUCAAAAACCGAACUGAACUCUUACCUUGAUUGAGCUUGAAUGAAGUCGAACCCUAGUUCUUUUUCUUUUUCCUUCUUAUUUAUGUUUUCUGUGGAUAAUAAUAUAAGAACAUGGCUUUAUUUAUUUUUAUGUUAUAAGAUAUAAAAUAACUUAACAUUUAUUUUACCUUUUUAACCUUAGUUAAAAACAUUAUACUUUCACUUAUAAAUGUCCAUUGUCGUCCACCCAUUUUAAUAAUGGCCUAGUUACUUCAUAAAGGCUUCCAUUUAAAAAUUCAAUAGCAUAUUGGCCCUUUAUACAUUAAACUACCAAAUUUUUAAUUUACGCAAUUUAGUCCAUUUUAUUUAAUCGGACACUCAAACAAUAAAAUUAAUUCACGAAAAUUUCACACAUGCUAAUUCACAUACAAUAAACACAAAAAAUAAUUUUAAAAUAUUUUUCUGACUCAGAUUCAUGGUCCCGAAACCACCGUUCCGAGUAGGGUCUAAAUCGGGUUGUUACAACUCUCCCCCCUUAAGGAUUUUCGUCCUCGAAAAUCUUACCGGUGAAUAGGUUCGGAUAACGUUCUCUCGUUGCAUCCUUUGGCUCCCACGUUGCUUUCUCAACUCCGUGUUUAUGCCACAGUACUUUAACUAACGGAAUUUUUUUUAUUUCGCAACUCUUUAAUCUCACGAGCCAAAAUACGAAUCGGUUCUUCCUCGUACGUCAUAUCGGGCUUAAUCUCAACCUCAGCUAGACUAAUCACAUGUGAGUGAUCAGAUCGAUAUCUACGAAGCAUCGAAACAUGAAAUAAAUUAUGGAUCUUUUCUAGUUUAGGUGGCAAUGACAGUCUAUAAGCAACUGACCCGAUACGCUCUAUAAUCACAUACGACCCAAUAAAUCUCAAACUCAAUUUGCCUUUACGACCGAAUGAGUAUUUUCUUCCAUGGUGAAAUCUUCAAGAAGACUUUAUCUCCGAUCUGAAACUUUAUAUCUUUACGUUUCAAGUCCGCAUAUGAUUUUUGACAAUCUGAAGCUGCUUUCAGACUUUCAUGGAUCACUUUUACUUUCUAUUCAGUUUCUCUGAUCAAAUCGACCCUGUGUAUCUUAUUUUCACUGAGCUCAGUCUAAUACAAUGGUGUAUGACAUUUACGAUCGUACAAAGCCUUGUAAGAUGUCAUUUUGAUACUCGAUUGAAAACUUUUAUUAUACACAAAUUCAAUCAGAGGUAGGUAUCGUUCCCACGUACCUUCAAACUCGAGAAUGUAACAUCUCAACAUAUCCUCAAGUAUCUGAAUGAUUCGUUCAGACUGACCAUCUGUUUGCGGAUGGAAAGUAGUGCUGAAAUGCAAUUUCUUACCUAAUGCAUCUUGCAGUUUCUUCCAAAACCACGAUGUAAACCUCGGAUCUCUAUCCGAAACAAUAGAUAUAGGUACCCCGUGUAAUCUCACAAUCUGAGAAACAUACAAUUCAGCUAGCUUAUGAAGUGAGUAGUCUAUACGUAUCGGAACAAAAUGAGCUGAUUUAGUCAAUCUAUCAACAAUAACCCAAAUUACAUCUUUCUUGCUUGGUGUUAACGGUAAACCGGAUACAAAAUCCAUAGUAACUCUGUCCCAUUUCUACUCCAGUAUCAUAAUCGGUUGAAGCAAUCCAGAAGGUACCUGAUGUUUAGCUUUUACUUGUUGACAGAUUAAGCAUUUUGAAACAAAGUCAGAAAUGUCUCGUUUCAUACCGUGCCACCAAUAAAGCUGCUUCAAAUUAUUAUACAUCUUCGUACUACAUGGGUGAACAGAUAACCGACUGCUGUGAGCUUCAUUCAAAAUCAUCUAAAUCAACUCUGAAUUCUUCGGGACACAUAUUCAGUUUUUGAAUCUCAAACAGUCAUCAGCAUCAACUCGAAACUCUAAAUCAGCAUUUGAAUAACAUUGAGCUCGUUUUGCUUUCAACUCAUUAUCAACCUUCUGGGCAUCACAAAUUUGUUGAACAAAUAAUGGUCUUGCUUUCAAUUCAGCUAUUAUUGAACCAUCAUCAGAUAGCCAUAUGCGCAUUCAUUACACGCAAAGCAAACAGUGAUUUUCAGCUUAAAGCAUCAGCAACAACAUUAGCCUUUUCCCGGGUGAUAGUCAAUUACAAGCUCGUAGUCUUUUAGCAAUUCUAACCAUCGGUGUUGUUUCAAAUUAAGAUCUUUUGAGUCAUCAAGUAUUUCAGGCUUUUAUGAUUAGAAUAAACAUGACAUUUCUCACCGAACAAAUAGUGGCGCCAAAUUUUCAAUGCAAACACGAUAGCUGCCAAUUCUAGGUUGUGUGUCGGAUAGUUCUUUUCAUAUGGUUUUAACUGUCUUGAGGCAUAAGCUAUAACUCUACCUUCCUGCAUCAAAACAUAGCCCAAACCAUUUAAAGAUGCAUCACUAUAGAUAACAAAUUCUUUACUCGAUUCUAGCUGAACUAGCACUAGAGCUUCGGUCAAAAGGGCUUUCAACUGAUCAAAGCUUUUCUAGCACUUUUCUGACCACUUAAACUUAACAUCUUUCUGUAAUAGCUUUGUUAUCGGGGCUGCAAUCAUAGAGAAGCCUUUCACGAACCGUCUAUAAUAACCAGCAAGUCCCAAAAAGCUUCAAACUUUAGAAACAUUCUUAGGAGGUUUCCAAUCGAGUAUAGCUGAAAUUUUACUCAGAUCAACCUGAAUACCCGAUCCUGAUACAACAUGGCCUAAAAAAUUGACUUCGCUUAACCAGAACUCACAUUUACUGAACUUUACAUACAACUGUUUAUCUCGCAAAGUCUGUAACACAAGUCUCAAAUCUUCGGCAUGUUUGGUUUCAUCACGAGAGUAGAUCAAAAUGUCAUCUAUGAACACAACCACAAACCAAUCCAAGUACUGUCUGAAGAUCUGAUUCAUCAAAUCCAUAAAAAUAGUAGGUGCAUUAGUAAGUCUAAAAGGCAUAACCAAAAACUCAUGUGUCUGUACCUCGUUCAAAAAGCAGUCUUUGGCACAUCAGAGUUUUUAACUCGCAAUUGAUAAUAGCCUGAUCUUAAAUCUAUCUUCAAAAAAUGUUGUAGCCUCUUUCAGUUGAUCAAACAGAUUAUCAAUCCGUGGCAACGGAUUCUUAUUCUUUAUAGUCACCUUAUUGAGCUGUCUAUAAUCAAUGCACAUUCUCAUAGUUCCAUAUUUCUUUUUCACAAACAGUACUGGUGUACCCCAAUGAGAGAAACUCAGCUGCGCGAAACCUCUAUCUGUCAACUCUUGCAACUGAGCUUUCAAUUCUUUUAAUUCUGUAGGUGUCAUUCUGUACGGAGCUAUGGAUAUCGGGGUCGUCCCAGGCAUUAACUCAAUACCAAACUCUACCUCCUGAAUUGGUGGCAAACUCAGUACUUCUUCAAGAAACACAUCCGGAUACUCGCACACAACAAGUACUGAUUCAAUGUUUCUUUCGGCCACUUUAUUGUCAAGCACAUAUGCAAAGUAAGCUUCACAGCCUUUUCUCACAUAUUUCUGAGCUAACAUAAAAGAAAUCACUGCUAGUAACCCAUUCAGAUCAUUAGAUUCAAUCUGAAUAAUCUCAUCAUUCUGGCACCGUAAAUCAAUAGUCUUUCUUUUACAGUUUACAACAGUAUCAUGCAAAGUUAACCAAUCCAUACCCAAAAUUAUGUCGAACUCAUCAAAUGGAAACAACAUCAAAUCAGCCGAAAACACAAAUCUUGAACUAUUAAAGGAGAAUUCUUACACACUUUGUCAACCAUAACACACCGACCUAAGGGGUUUGACACUCUAAUCACAAACUCAGUAGACUCAACUGGUAAAGUCUUACUGAAUACUAAUGCCUCACACACAUAAGAAUGAGUAGAACCAGGAUCAAUCAAUGCAAUUACAUUUGUAUCAUAAAGAGUGAAUGUACCAGUAAUGACAUCUGGGGAUGAAGCCUCCUCUCGUGAGCAAAUAGCAUAGGCUCUGGCAGGUGCACGAGCCUUAGAUCUGGCUGCUGCAUCUUUAUUCACUCUCUGACUGCCACUCGUAUUACCCGUAUUUCUGGGUGGCCUACAUCGAGCUACAGUAUUACCCGAUCUCGUAUUCUAUACUGGAUUUUCUUCAGCUAAUACUGGGCAAUCAUGAAUAUAAUGAUCCAUCGAUCCACAUUUAAAACAGGCCCGAUCAUGCAAUCUGCAACUACCAGGAUGUCGUUUGCCACAAUGUUUACACUCGAGUUGAUUUGAUCUGACAUUACCCACACUAGCUACUGAGGUAGCUCUUGAGCUCAGAGGUGGUCUACUCUGAUCUUGUCGAGAAUAACCCGAAGUGGAUUUUGAAUGGCUGAAAUCAUCUCUGAACUUCUUUGGUACCGAUUAGAAUGACUUACCAAAUGUUCUUUUACGUGCAUCUCUAGCUUCAAAGUCAUCUUUCCUUUUCUCUUUCCUGAGCUCUUCAGCUUUGCAGGCUUGCUCAACCAGUACUACGAACUCUUUUAUCUCAAGUAUGCUAACUAACAGUUUAAUGUCUUCGUUCAGCCCAUCUUCAAAUCUUUUAGACAUUAUGGCUUCGGUAGAAACACACUCUCGAUCAUACCAACUGAGUCUCACAAAUUUCCGCUCAUACUCUGUCACAGUCAUACGACCCUGUUUCAACUCCAGAAAUUUCUUACACUUCUGGUCGAUAAAUCUCUGGUUGAAAUAUUUCUUACAAAAUUCAGUCUGAAAGAACUCCCAGGUCACCUGCACUUUCAGAACCACUGAUACUAAGGUAUUCCACUAGUGAUAUGUUGUGUCUUGAAGCAAAGAUAUAGCACAUUUCAAAUAUUCAUCCGAAGUACAACAUAGCUCAUCAAACACACAGAUAGUAUUAUCAAGCCAGAACUCAGCCCGUUUAGCAUCAUCAUCAUCAGUAGCUUUAAACUCUUCAGCCCCGUAUUUUUUAAUUUUAUCAACAGGUGGCUUAUACAAUCUCAACGGAUCACUUACUUGACGUACAGCAAGAAUCGAAGAUGGAUUAGUCGGGGGUGGAGGUUGUUGUGCAGCCAAGUUAGUCCAGAUAUACUGAGUAAACCAGUCAUUCAUCAUUUGGUAAAAGGCUUGCCUAGACUCUCCUUCCUAGUUAGUCGACAUCGGUCGAGAAUCAACCGAAGAUGUUCCUUGCGCGGGAGCAGGCACUACACUCUCGACAUCAUCGGCUACAGCUCUGUCGGGAUCCAUUUACUAUAUGAAAACACAUUUUCAAUUGUUAGAAGUCAUCAUACUAUCACAGUAUAUAAUAUGGCAUGUAUAGCUAAACUCACACCGUUAUAUUAGUCCUAGAAUGAACUAAACCGUAGCUCUGAUACCAAUAAAAUGUAACACCCCUAACCAAUGUCUGUCGCCAGAUUAAGGUUACGAGGCAUUAACGAACAAAAACACAUUUACGAACAAUCACACUCAUCUAUAAGCAUAUCCAUAUACAUAAAUUUAAAAAAAACAUAAAUUCAAUUAAAUAAUAAUCAUGAUUUCAUUAAACAUAAUAUAAUGUACAAAUCAGAUUAAAACCAACUUAAUAAUAUUCGAAUACCUAGAAGAAAUCAAACCAUUUAUAUCUUAUUUUACUCUAGCAUAUCUUUAACACUUUAAAAUGUUUACAUAAUACUUUAUUCAAUAGCGAAAACAUACAGUAUUAUCAAAUUUAUUGAAUGGUCUUAUAAAUAAGUCAUAUAGUUAACUGUAAUUUAAUAAUGAACCUCCAUCCAAAAUACAUCAAACAACUAUGUUUAUUCACUUAAACCAAAUCCGUAUAUUCAACAUCAAUUUUAUAUACUUACACCAUUUUCGUAUACAAAUAACAACUUCUGCACAUACUCUUAAUAAAAUCAAUCAAAAACUUAUUACAUAAUUUAACAAGAAAUUAUUCAAGCAACUUAAUACAUUAUAACAUGAAUAAUCAUGUAAUUAGUGUUUUAGUUACAUAAUAUGAAUUUGCCCUAGUUUCAAAGCCACAUUUAACAAAUAAAUUCAUACCAAAUAAUUGAUUAAAACAAUCAUGGAACAUUUUUCCUAACUCAAUACCUUGCAUAGCCGAAUCACAAAUUGUAAUAUAUUCAAAACAUAAAUCUUGCAUACCAUGUUAUAAACAUAUCAAAACAUAUUUAUAUCAAGUUUGGAUAUAGCUAAACAACUUUAGAUGCCAAUUCACUUAUAACACAUUAACUAACUACAUCAACCUAAUGCACGUAUAUACUUUUAUCUAUGCAUAUCAUAGCCGAACUAGCCACAUAUUCAACCAAAUUCUUUAACCAUUUCUAAAACAUAUAACACCAUUCAUCCAUAGCAUAUCACACUAUAACCAAGAAUGAAUUCAAACACAACCAAGCAUAACCGAAUUUAACAUAUAAAUUAAACCAUUUUCGCAUGGCCUAUAUACAUAACCCAAGGUUCAUUAUUUCAAAAUGUAAUCCAGCCUAUACAUGCCAUAAUUCAAGUUUAACCUUUUAAGUAUCGAAACAGUAGAUAGUGUGAUGAACUUUGCUGACGAUCCUUGAGCUUGUAACAUGAAUCCAAAAUCUAUAAAACAAGGUAAACAUGUGCAACAGAGUAAGCUAACUUAGCUUAGUAAGUCAUAAGCAAAUAAAUAGCACAAUGAUAUAAAUAUCUCAUUUUAAACUAGACCAAAUUGUAUUAACGAUACAUGCUUAACCUUAAAUUACUAAUACAUAAUUAAUACAUUUUCAUAAACAUUCUAUAUCUUGGCCGAAUACUCACAUAAGCAAAAUUAACCAAAUGUCAUUUAACUUUCAAAGCUAUGAAGUCGUUAUUUAAUCAUUUAUACAUAUACUCAUGAAAAUAAGCUCGAAAAUCAUAAUAAAACAUUAUGAACAUGUACUUCUUAUUUGGCCGAAUAUGCAUGUCAUAAUUACAUAUAUAUAUGUAUCAAAGGCCAAAUAUUCAUACUAAAUUCACAUGAAAUCCACAUUUGCAUUAUACAUAAUUUGUAACAUGUUUCAAGUCACAUACCAUAUUUCAAGUAGACAAUAAGCUAACCCAUACCCGUCCAUUUAGCUCAUUUUAUACAUUAUAUCACAAGUUAGCUUUACCCGAUGAACCAUUUGGAAUUGGAUAGGACACUCGGAUAAUCACACAUAUUGUACAAUGUCAACGUCCCAGACGUGGUCUUACAUGUAAUCACAUAUCGAUGCUACUAUCCCUAACAAGGUCUUACUCGCACACAUAUAUCGGGAUCACAUAUUGAUGCCAUGGUCUUACUCGCACACAUAUAUCAGAAUCCUAUGUCAUGACAUAUGUAUCCUAACUGUUCCUAAGGUUCAUACGGGGCUUUCAGACGUUGUAACUCGGUCGAAACGAAUUCGAAAAUAUAGUAACCAAGCUUUUUCAUGUUCGGCCAUAACAUAUAUAAUUUCAUAAAUUUCAUUUCAGCAUGUAUAUUUAGUAUUUAAUUAAGAUUAAGUACGUCUAUUUGCUUAUAAACUUACCUCGGACGACACAAAACGAAACAGGGCAGCUAGUCGACAACUUUCGUUUUCCCUCGAUCCAGAUCCGAUUUCUUUAGUUCCUGAUCUAAACAUAUUCAAACUAAGCUCAUUCAAACAUAUUUUCAUUCAUUUAAGUCCAAAAACACAUAAAUGGGAAAAUUAUCAUUUUACCCCUAACAUUUACACUUUUUACAAUUUAGUCCCUAUUACACUAAACACAAAAUAUGCAAAAUUUCCCUAUACCCAUGUUGGGCUGAAUUUUACCCAUGCUUAUAAAAGUCCAUAUAUAUCAUUUAUUCCACAUUUUAGUCCCUCAAAUUAUUAUUUUUGCAAUUUAGUCCUUGUUGCUCAAAAUCAUCAAAAACUUCAAUACAAAACAUGUUAAUAUAAACAUAUCUUUCAUUUUUCAUCAUCAAACAACAAAAAUCACAAACUCUCAUCAAUGGCAUAACUCAAAAUAUUCAUCAAAAUCAAAAAUUCAAGCACGGGUUUUGUAGUACUCGAAGCAACGAUCUCAAAAACGUAGAAAUUAUCAAAAAUCGAACUGAACUCUUACCUUAAUUGAGCUUGAAUGAAGCCGAACCCUAGUUAUUUUUCUUUUUCUUUCUUAUUUAUUUUUUCGGUGGAUGAUAAUAUAAGAACAUGGCUUUGUUUAUUUUUAUGUUGUAAGAUAUAUAAUAACUUAACAUUUAUUUUACCUUUUUAACCUUAGUUAAUAACAUUAUACUUUCACUUAUAAAUGUCCAUUACCGUCCACCCAUUUUAAUAAUGGCCUAGUUACUUCAUAAAGGCUUCCAUUUAAAAAGCCAAUAGCAUUUUGGCCCUUUAUACAUUAAAAUACCAAAUUUUUUAUUUAAGCGAUUUAGUCCUUUUUAUUUAAUCGGACACUCAAACAAUAAAAUUAAAUCACAAAAAUUUCACACAUGCUAAUUCACACACAAUAAACACAGAAAAUAAUUUUAAAAUAUUUUUCUAACUCGGAUUUGUGGUCCCGAAACUACCGUUCCGAGUAGGGUCUAAAUCGGGCUGUUACAAUUUCUAUUGAUCAAUAAAAUACAUCUCUCUUUUACUCUAUCAUUUUCUUUUUUCUUCGUUAUUUACUCUCUAUCUUUUUAUUUUAUAACAUAUUAUCAGCAUGAUGAUUCUCUAUUUUCUUUUUCACUUUAAAAUCUUUUGAAGUCUUCAUCUCCAAGAUGUUAAAAGAUUCAAUUUCAAAAUAGAUCAUGGUUCUUAUUCCCAAUCUUCGAUUUAUCAUUGUACAAGCAUGAGUAAAGUAUAGAAUUAGUAAGAAACUUUUAUAUUUUGAUAUUAUUUUCUUUUUCAAUUAAGGUAUGACUACUACUAAUUUUUAUUUAACAUAAAUUUCACAUUAUAAUCGUAUUUGAUUUUUGCCUCUCUAGGUUCAUUUUUUUUAUGUAAAAGAUAUAAUUGUUGGUUAGAUAUAUUUGCUAUCAAUAUGGUAUAUAUCACUUUUUGAUAACUUAUUUUUUUAGGAUGAGUCCUCUUUGAUUAGAUUAUUUCAUGAGUUAUUUCAUGAGUUAUUUUUUUGAUAUCUUUUAUCAUGAGUUAUUUCAUUUCUUUCAUAGUUGAGUUAUGAUUAACUUAUAUAUCAAAAUUGUUAAGUGAUUUUUUUUGUGCUCUAUUAAUGAAUAAAUCAAAAUUGUUAAGUGAUUUUUUUUUUGUGCUCUAUUAAUGAAUAAAACAAUUAUAAUCCUCUUUGACUUAUUGAUUUAUUUUUUUUUAUUUUUAAAAUAUAUAUUAUCUUAACAUUAUUUGUAUAUAUGUCAUGUGAGACAUUAUUUUAUCUCAAAAUUGGUUUCCUACUUUUAGCCAAAUUUUGUGAAAUUAUUGAAUUAUAGAUAUUUCAAUCAAUUGAAAUAGUUUGAAGUAGGUGCUUGUCGAUGAAGCAUUAAUAAAUUAUAUAUUUUUGUGAUUUAAAGCAAGUGCUUGUGGAUGAAGCACUAAGAAUUUAUAUAUAUAUAUUUGUGAUAUUAUUUUAAAUUAUGUGAUUUAAUUAUAGGUUAUGAUUAAAUAAAGAAAGAUAUGGCCAAAAGAAUAUGAUAGUUUUAUGAUUAGAUGCAUUUGAAAGAUCUCCUGACGUUACAAGUUUUUAAAAUCAUAAGUAUAACUCUACAAUAUUCAGAACAAGUUCUAAAUUAAAUUCAUGUGGAAAAAAAUUAUUACUGAUGAGAACUUGCAAGAGAAAACUUAUUCAACUUUUCAUGCUUCAAAUGUGCUCUUACAGUAGCAAUAUCAUGAAUAUUUUCUUCAAGAGUUAAUAUCAUGAUUACUUAUUAUUGAACAAAAGUUUUUAAUCACGAAACCUAACCAUUCCUUGAAGAGAAUGUAACAAUAUGUAAUAGUUUCAAAAGGCAUAAUCUUAGACAUGGAUGUUUUAAGUUGGACAGUAAUAAAAUUCAAAGGGGAUGGUCUUAAUAAAAUUUCUCACCACCAAAAGUGGAAAAAUGAAGAAAGUAAGAAAAGAACAAGAAUUCUUAAGAACUCUUUAAGGAGUGGAGAUAACUUAUAUUAUCACUAUGGUAUGGAAAGUCAUUAGUUGCAUACCUGUCGUACACCUAAACAUUUAGUUGAACUCUCAAACGGAAAGGAGACAAUGCGAAAAUGAAUAAUAAGAAUGGUGUUGAAUCAAAUUUGGCAUACCAGAUUGAUCAUUCUGAUGAAUUUAAACAAUAAAAGGAUAUUAACAUUUUCUUUAUUAUGGUGAUCAUUUUAAAUAUUAGUAUGUCAAUUUUAGGAUUUUUUUAUAAUCCAUAUUCAAUUUUAGGAUUUUUAUAUAAUCCAUAUUAAGGAAUUUGUUGCUAGAAUUUAAUGUUAUUGAUAUUCAUUACUAAACUUUAAGUUAAUGACUUGAUUUUGAUAUUUAUAUGCAAUCUUAUAGUCAAUUUUUUUAGGAUUAUAUGUAUUUUGUUAAAGACGAAAUCUUUAGUAUAAGUUGCAUUCUUUUUUUGUGAAUUGUGACGCUCAUUGUUUAAUUCCUGGAUAUCUUACUAGUAAUAUUUCUUUUCGCCAUUAGAAGUGAAACAAGAGAGAUAAAUAAGAGAACAACAAGAGUUCUCGGUAAUAUUAAAUGUAAAAUUAGUACUUGAACUUGUCCACUUCUCCCAUAUUGGUAUCUAUGGUUUUUUUUGUCCCAGAUUGGUACCCGAACUUUUUUUCUGUUCACUAGUUUGGUACUUGAGCCUAACGACGUUAAAAUUUUGUUAACAUAGCAAUGCUGGCCACUUGCGCACUACCACGUGUCACACUCCCAAGAACCUUUUGGCCGGUGUUUUUUUACCGUGCACUAAUUUUGCAUAGAACUUAUCCCGCCUUCUCUCUGUUUGCCGGAAUACGAAACUGUAUCUUCUUCAUCCUCUUGACUUCACCACAUACCUUCUAUUCCCUUAUCCCUUUCCCUUUUGGUUUUUUCUUUCCCUUUCAUCACCAUUACACUGUUAAUCCCUAUCCCAAUAUCUGGGUUUUUGAAGGAAAAUGUAACACCCAGAUUUAUUAAAUCCUGUUUUUACGAAUCAUAUCAUAAAUAAGUAUUUGCUUCAGUGGUUAAUUGGUUGAUAUGUACACCUUAAAUCUUGAGUUCGAGUCUUAGCAUGAGCAAGAUGGUUUUAUUUUUUCUCCUUUAAAGCAUCUUAAUGGUAGAGUUUGGAGUAAAGUUGAAUUCUGAUGAGUGGGUUAGUUGUAGAAGUCUAUUUAGCAGAAUAUUUUAUUUUUAUUUGACUUUAUAUUUUCCUUUUUUCCCCAAAAAUUGCGCCAUUUUACUUCAUGUUUGUUUCCCUAAAAGAACCCACUAUUCACGUUGUUUUUUUUUCAUGUGCUAGUUUCUUUAUUGUUUGAUUUCUUGGUUUUUGUGCCUUCUCUUCAAUUUUUGUUUGUCUUUCUAUUUUGAAUCUUGAUUUUAUUCCUUAGAUUUUUCUAUUACAAUUGUUGGUGGUCGUUGCUGCUAUUCAAUUGUCAAGUAAGUGCUGAUGUUUUCGAAGUUUGGCUUCUUAUUUUUUUUUGGUUAGGAUGUUGUGAUUUUGUUGUGAAAUAGGGGCAUGAUUCAUUUAACCUAAUCAUUUACACACUGUUAGGUGGGGAUCGAGAGCAGUGGUUGUUCUUCCAGCGCUUUAGGAUUGGUGUGGUAGCGGUUCGUUCAACGAUAAAUACGAGGAUGUGUUUUUGUAGGGCCAUUUUAGUUCGAAUGUGGUUGAUUAUUUGUUAAAUUUCAAGAAUUACUACUGAAAUUAGUGGUGUUAAUUGUUGUUUUAGGUGUGGGAUUGUUCGUGUUUGGGAUUGUUUUCUGAAAAUACAAGGUGUGAAAUAAGAAACUCAAAAAAUGGCGGUCGGCAAAAGCUGAAAUUAGGGCCUGUCGACGCCACACGGUUGUGUGGCUGACCAAGUAGUAGGCCAUGUGUAACAAGGUUACACCAUUUUGGGUCGUGUAGGCCACAUGAGUAUGUGGGCACAAAUUUUAGAAUUUUUUCCUAGGGCCAUACAUGUCAUCCUGAUCGACUAUGGGCCUUCUGUGGGGUCAGUAUAUGUUUGGUUAAGCCUUAAAGCAUGAAAUAUGAUAAUCUCAUUGUAUGAAUUUGACGUAAAUAAUGUUUAAAUCCAUGUAAUGUAAUGCAAAAUGUAUUAUCUGUUAUGUAUAUACAUGUUUAUUAUCUGUUAUACGAGCUAGCUUAAUAUAAUAAUUAUGGUAUCUGAUAACUCUGUUAUAUCUGGUUUUUUUUUUGUAUCUGACUAUGGAGCGGGAUAUGUAAUAUGUGGAGGAAGUGUUCUGUGUGGGCGAUAUCUCGUCAUUAUACUAGCAGCAUAACUGCGAUUAUUCUGAAAGGUGUCGUAUAGACACUAUGCGGUGUGUAGGGUUGAGUGGGUGUUUUAUACCCUACGUGGUGUGUUGGGAUGGUCGGAGUUGGUGUGUAGAGGAUGUGGGUAGGACUAUGCAUAUUUGUAUCUAUACGACUCUGUUAUAAAUCUGAUUUUGUAAAAGACUUAUGUUUGCAUCUGUUUUGCUAUGUGAUUCAAUCUGAAUUUAUGUUUAAGUAUGCGUUACACAUUGAGUUAUCAAAACUCACUCUUUGAUUGUCUAUUACUUUCAGGAAACCUUUAGGCUUAGACGGGUUAGUGUGACGGGAGCUCGGUUGUGUCCACAAUGCCGUAAAACUAUUUUUACUUUAAUUUAGCUUACUUAAAUUUCAAUUUUGAGAGUUUUAUAUAAUUUGGACUCUCCAGACUUUUGGGAUUGUUUUUGGUUUCAGAUUUUUUUAUUUUGGUUUUCUAACAUAAUGUUUGAUAAAACAGUUUUUACGAAAAAGAUAAUUUUUCUAAAAAUAAUGAUUUUCAAGGAAAUAACUCGAUUUACCAAAAGAUAACGUUUUAAGAAACUCCACUAUGAAAUAUUUGAUUUACUUGAAAGACGUAAACAAACAACGAUUUUAAAUUAAAUAAGUACAUCCACACAUUUUCCAAACAAAUCAACCUUACUAAGUAACAACGAUUUACGAUGAUUUCAAAUAAAAAAGAAGUUGGAUUUAUAAUGUUUCUUUGUAACACUUCUAGAUUCGGUCGUAACGUCUAAGUCGAGUUUAGUAUAUUAUAGAAAACCAAAAAGAGAAAGGAAUAAUAAUAAUAAUAAUAAGAAACCUCAUUCUUUUUCUUUCUCUAUUUUUAAGUGAUUCAAUUUUAACCUUUCAUCUCUUUUGAUUCAAUUUAUCAUCUCAUUUUUUUUAAAUGAACCUAUUAUUCUUUAUUAACCUAACCCAAGACGGAUUGAAAAAAAUUGCCACUUACAAAGCUGUUGAGUUCGUUGAGAUGAGUUCGGGCACAGGUCCAAUAGCCAAACAUGUCAUGGAUCGAAUCGGGGAGUUGCUCCAACAAGGCAUUGUUCAUCUACCACACCAAAACCCUUUUGAUAAUACUCCGACAAGGAAUUGAAAAAAAUUUCCACUUACAAAGCUAUUGAGUUGGUUGAGUUGAGUCCGGGCAGGGGUUUAAUCGCCAAACAUAUCGUGGAUCGAAUCGGGGAGUUGCUCCGACAAGGCAUUGUUCAUCUACCACACCAAAACCCUUUUGAUAAUACUCUAAAAUGGCAUACUUUUAUGUGUUAAUUACAUAUAUAUUUUUAGUAUGAUCGUACUAAUUUGGGCUGUUUAUGGUUCUUUUUUAUCUUGUAGGGACUAAAUUGAAGGCAAGAGGAAAUUUGGAGACAAAAAGUGUGAAUUUAAAGACAAAAUGGGUCAACAUGUGAAAGAAGAAAGAAGUGGUGCCAAAAAUACAAAGUGUGGAAGGCUUGGGGAAAAAAUUCAAAUAAGAUAUUUAUGAACAUAACACUUUAUUUAAAUUUGAAUUUUAGUUUUAGGAUUAUUGUUAGGAUUAUUAUGAUAUCGUUUAGGUUUAGUUUCAAAUUAUAUCUUUUAAACAUUACCAUCCAGAGUUUAAAUAGGAACAAACUAGGUUUUUUAUGUACUAUAAAUAAUGGAUGGAGUGGCAUAAAUAUUCACUCUUCACUUCUAUAAAAAAACUCCUUCCCCCUAAGGCUCUUAGCUUUUUUGUUUCUUUUUCAAUAAAAUUCCAUUUCAUUAAAACUUGUGUUUUUUCUCGAAAAGCAUGAGUCACUAAACUCAUCUAGCCAAAAGUUAUCAAGACUCCUCCAAAAGAGUUCAUGAGGCUUAGAACCCGCACUUAGCGUUUCUCAAUGAGUAUUCAUCAUUUCUCUGCAUUACGGGAUUGAUGCUUCCUUUCAUGUCCUUCUAACAGUAAUCUUUUCAUCUUGUGCAAAGACGACCGAUUUGUAUGUUUUAUGAAGGUUGCACAGUCGAUUCGCUAACUUAUUGAGUUAGAGGUUGUCGAGCCCAAGAGACAAAAUGACGUGGUAUUCGCCAUUAGGAAAUGAUGAUCUAGUGUAAGACGGUCCCAUAGAAUUGACAGUUGGCUAGAGUUAGGUUCCUCUAGAUCACAAGGCUAUAACCUAAAUGGAGCUGAUGGUCGUAGGCAUCCUCUUCCACUAUAACUAACUUAUUUGGUCAUGAGAAAAAUCACCUAAAAAGCCUAUGAUUGAACCAAAGGAUGAUCGAGAUAACUGGAGGUUGGAAUCCCUCAAGAUUGAAAAACCCCUUUCCUUACUCUAUUUCUUUUUACAAUUAAAAUUUCAAUUUAUUUAAUUUCAACUUAUCCAUAUUUCUAAUUUUGUUUUUUUUUUUAAAUUUUUUCCAGGUCAAACAUUUUUCUUGGGCACAAUUGUGCCCAAUGUGUAGGUUCACUACCAUCACCCACUUAUCACAGAAGCAACUUGAUGAUCGUUUUAUGAAUCACUAAAUUAGACUACGAUCACGACUAAGGAAAGCGCACCUAUCGAAUGGUAGUAUAACUAUGGUGAGUCCAGAAUAUCGUAUCCACAAGGACUAAAAGUACUAGUAUUAACUAUCUUUCUAUCAUUUAGCCUAAAAUAAAAGGGAUUUAUUUUAAUCUAAGAUUAACUAAACUAAUUAACUAAUGAACGCAACAGAGAGUGAAGGAAAUAAUCGAAUAAACCAAUGACAAAGACAAUACCUAAGGAAGAAUCCACCUAGACUUCACUUAUUAUUCUGACUCUGAAUUAAAUGAUUUAUUCACCUGUCUUGAUCCGUAGAAAGCCCUAAAUUAUGUUAAUAUCUCUUUCGAGACUAAGAACAACGGACUCUAGAUUGAUUAAUUGAAAUCUCUUUCUAAUUAAAACCCCUAUUGUCGCAUUAACUCGAUGGAUUCCCUUAUUAGAUUUGACUCUAAUCUGGCAGAUUUAUGUCGUCCUAUUUCUAGGAUUGCAAUCAAGUCCGCUUAAUUAUGCUAGAUCUACUCUUAAACAUGGACUUUUGCUCCACUAAAUAAGCACAUCAAACUUGAAUUAAUAUCUUGAAAAUAUUAAGGCAAGAAUUAAUAACACAUAAUUAAGAAUAAGAACAAGUAUUUAUCAUGUAAUUCAGAAAAUUAAAUAAUAAGAUUCAUCAUAGGUUUCAUCUUCCCUAGGUAUCUAAGGAAUUUAGUUCAUAAUUUUGGGGGAAAACAUCUCAAAAAUAGCAAAACAACAAAACAUAAAGAAACCCAAAAACUUCGAGAGAAAUUGAAGGGAGAUCUUCAGUCUUGAAGGAUAUCCUGCUUUCGAGUUGAAUCCGUUGGCGUUCUUCGCAUAAUUUAUGCUUUCUACUCCGCAUGCCCCCCUUUAGGUCCUCUUCUAGUGUGUAUUUAUAGACUCCAGAAUGCUCAGAAACCCUAAAAUUUGGGUUUUUCCACGAAACAGGGAAGCAGGGUGCGAAAUCGACACGGACUAGCACAUGGGCAUGUGGCCAGCCCGUGUGGCUAGCUCGUGUGGCUUACAUGGGCAUGUGGCCAACCUGUGUGGAAAUGCCCAGGUCGUGUAGAUCCUAGAACAACUCUUUUUGCCCAAUUUUGGCUCGUUUUUUGCUCUUUUCGCUCCCCUAUGCUCACUUAAAUAUAGAAACAUGAAUUUAAAAAAAUACGAGCAUCAAAUUCACUAAUUCAUAUAAUAAAUCAUCGAAAAACACAUCAAGAAUGAGAUUAAAAACAUGUUACUUUUAUGGCUUAUCAAAUAUCCCCACACUUAAGCAUUUGCUUGUCCUCGAGCAAAAUCCUCAACUUACAAUUAAAAUUAAUCUUUCUCAACUUGUAAUUCUCAUCAAUAAUGUUUUGUCAUAAUUCAAAAAUAAUCACACAUUGAUAAUUCAACUAAAAGAGCCCUAAAGAUUCAAACAAUCCAAGUCAUACAUUUUUUUAAGACAUGAAAACAUAAGUAUCUCCCCUUAUCUAAGUAAUUACCUUUAACUUAAAAUCGACAAGGUUUUACAUCUUCACAAAGAUUCACUCAAAGUGUUUAAGGUUCAAAAAUUAAGCACUCAAAAGUCAAUUAUGAAAAGUCAUUACCAUAGGCUUGCAUGAAAAUCAAAUCUCCACCAUUAUAAAAUGAUAUGAUACACAAAUCAAAAGGUUUUUAAAGGGUUGUAACGGGGAUUGGGUUAAAGGUGUGGAUAAAGGCUGAAAAAGAAGGUUAUAAUCGAGAUCGAAUUAAUAAAUUACCUAACUAGAAAAAUAAACUAAUAUUGAUUAAUUAUAUUAAUCAAAAUUAUUUAAGAAUAACACGAGCUUCUUCUUAGAAUAUCUAACUACUAAGCUCAAAAACAUAAAACUAGUAAUAAUCAACAUAAAUGUAUUUUUUCACUUAUUUUUUUUCACUUUUUUUUUUUGAGAACAAUGGAUAAGAAGAGAAAAUUUAACAACUGAAAUAAAAGAAUAUAGUUAAGCAACUAACCAAAUCAAAUCUCGACAAAAAAGGAGUUAAUAAAACGGGAAACAAUUCUCAAUGAAUCAAAAAAAAAGUUAUGGGUUAAUAUUAAAGGGUAAAUCAAGAAACGAUUUACUAGGCUUAAAGGGGGUUCACUAAGGGCAAAUUAUGAAGGUAGGCUUAUGGGAUAAGUGGGUUAAAAACUAGGUGUCUUUAUCAUCUCAGUAUAUCAAAUCAAAUGUGUGGUCUUGACAUGUAUAAUCGAAGCAAGUUCUAGAAUUACCAAUCAGUAUUGACACACUCAUAACCAAUAAUUUAGUGAGCAAGAAAAGUGUAUGCUCUAAAGGCUCAAAAUCUCACAAAAAUUAUGGUUUUUGAUGUUAAUCUUGCAAAUCUCAAACUUCAAGGUAAUACUUCAGUUUAGGGAAACAACCUAAAUUUUUUAAUUCUGAAAAUAGACUUGUACUUAUCUUACUUGAUUCUCUAGUGUCUUAAAGUUUAAACAAUCAAUGCACAAUUACUUAUGAAUUUAAUCUAAAACACAUCAAUGAUAAUCAUAAAUCAAUUAGAAUAUAUUCUAAUAGUAAUGUGAGAAAAUUACUUAAACACAAGAUAUAAUUCAGGGAUUUUCUAAUAAUUCUACAGAUAACCUCCCCACACUUAAUAUGUACAUUGUCCUCAAUGUACAAACAUAUAUAACCACAGUAUAAAUAGAAUAUCAUAAGAGAGGGAGAAAACUGAAACUGCCCUGAAUAUUGGAUGAAAUCUUUAGAAUAGUGAAAAGCGGAAUUGCAGUCAAAUUUAAAUGUAACUCAUGAUUCCAAGCAAACUAACAAGAAAAUAAACACAAAUAAUAAAGAAGAUUAAGGGGUUAUAACUAGAUUAGAAACAACCAUAAAUCUUUCAAAAGAUAAUAAUGAAAAUAAGUUGAAGAGAAAAAAAUAAAAUAAAACAACUAAAAAAAAAUUAAAAAGAAAGAUAAAUAAUAAUAAUAAUAAACUUAAUGAUAUCAAUAAACUUAAAAGGUAAUUGUAAUGAUAAUAGUAAAAAAAUAAGAAAGAAAAAAAUAGAAAUAGCAAAAUAAUAAUAAUAAUUAUAAUAAAUUAAAAAUAUAAGUAUAAGAAUAAUAAAUUAAUUAAUUAAUUAUUAAAAUAAAAAUAAAUAAUAUAACAAUUAAAAAUAAAACAAAAUUAGGGUGAUUAACCCAAUUUUCACAUGGCCAUGGACAUGCCUGUGUGUCCAAGCUGUAUGGGUCACAUAGCUAUGUCGCCAGGCCGUGUGUGUUUCCUUCGCUUCUCCCAAGCCCAUGUGAGAUCCCACACGCCCGUGUGGCCAAGCUGUGUAACUCUCUGACUUUGAAAAAAAUUAGCUCCAGGUUUCACACGGCCUAGGACACGCCCGUGUGUCCAGGCCGUGUGGGUUACAUGGCCAUGUCACCAGGCUGUGUGUGUUUUCCUUAGCUUCUCCCACGUCCAUGUAAGAUCCCACACACCCAUGUGGCCAGGCUAUGUGGGUCAAAAACACACUUUUUUUUAGAUUUUGAAAAUUAAUUAAUUUAAAAAAAUCAUGAAAUAAUGUUAAGAAAAUUAGCAGUGUUACACUCAGGUUGUCUCCCGAGAAGUGCUUAUUUAAAGUCUAAGCUCGACUUACCUUGUAUUCGCACGAUUACGGUGGUUUACGGAGUCGAAACUCCUAUUUCUCAUUGUCAUUCCUAUUAUCAACAAAAGGUUUUAGCCGAGUAAUAUUUACCUUAAAAGUGCCAAAUUUAGAAUGAUUUACCUCAACUGUAUCAUGUGGGAAAAUAUUCAGUACCGUAAAAGGAGUUGCUUCGUUUGCAUUAAGCUCUGAAGUGGCGAUUUGAGGGUCCAUUUUAUCCAACAAUACCUGAUCGCCAAUCUUAAAUUGGUUUUUCCUAUCCUUAAGCUCGCCAUGGAGUCGUUUUGGUUCAUCGUGUAUUCUAGGUUUCUCCUUGAUGUGUGUCCGCCAUUCAUCUAGUUCAUCGAUUUGUAAUAUUCUUUCUUCAUUAUUUGUUCUGUUUUUUUUAUGUAAGCUAGACUGCGGCUUUGUCAUGUUUUUCCGAGGUGUUUCCUGCAAAGAAUGUUGAGCCAAAAGGUUAUUAACAUUAACAGUGCUCGUAAUAUCAUCUCGAUCACUAGAUAUCCUAACAAAAUCACGAGCUUGGAUUUUAAUCGUGUCAUCACCAACACGAAGUAUUAACUCACCUGUACCAACAUCUAUAAUAGUUCUAGCAGUUGCUAAAAAGGGUCGUCCUAAAAUCAAUGGUACGUUACUAUCUUCAUCCAUGUCUAGAACAACAAAAUCAACUAGGAAAAUAAAUUUAUCAAUUUUGACGAGUACGUCUUCAAUAAUACCCCUAGGAAAUUCAAUUGUUCUAUCUGCCAAUUAAAUGUUCAUCCUAGUUUGUUUGGGUUUCCUAAGACCUAGUUGCUUAAAUAUUUUGUAGGGCAUGACAUUAAUACUAGCCCCUAAAUCAGCCAAAGCAUUAUUAACACUUAAACUACCAAUUAAACAAGGAAUAGUAAAACUCCCUGGAUCUUUCAAUUUGUUGGGUAGUUUAUUCUACAAAAUGGCUAAGCACACUGCAUUUAGCUCCACGUGUGACGAAUAAUCUAACUUCCGCUUAUUUGCUAAAAGCUCCUUUGAAAAUUUAACGGAAUUUGGCAUCUGCGAAAGAGCUUUAAUAAACGGUAAGUUAAUAUGUAAUUUUUUCAAUAGUUUAAGGAAUUUAUUGAAUUGUUCGUUUGGGUGGUCUUUCCUUGUCGCAUUUGGAUAUGGCACAUGAAGUUUAUAUUCCUUACCGAACGAAUCUUGAUUAUUUUGGCUUACCUUAACCUUACCAUUGCUUACCACAGUUUCUUGCCUAGAUUCAGAUUCAGAUUCAGUUAACCCUUCUUCAUCUCGAAUAGUGAUCGCAUGAAGCUGCACUCUUGGGUUAGUUUUGGUGUUGCUUGGCAAGCUACCUUGUAGUCGUUCUGAAAUCAUCUUUGCCAAUUGACCGAUUUGAUUCUCAAGCCCUUGAAUCGAUGUUUGUUGAUUUUUGAGUGCUGUUUCGGUGUUUUGGAAAUGAGUUUCUAACACUGAAAUAAACUUUUUCAACAUCUCCUCAAGGUUCGGCUUCUUCUCUUGCUGGUAAGGUGGUUGAAAGCCUGGACCACCCCAAGAGAAGUUGGGAUGGUUCCUCCAACCUGCAUUAUAAGUGUUACUAUACGGAUUAUUCUGAGGUCUAUAAUUAUUACCCAUAUAGUUGACUUGUUCGUCUUCUAUGCUUAGGUUGUAAGAUCGAUUUUCUGGAUGGUUCCCUCCUCCAUUUGCGUCAUAUUGCAUCACUGAAUGUACCUGCGUAGAACCAGAUAAACCAUCAAUUUUUUCAUUCAAAAGUUCUACUUGAUUUGACAACAUGGUGAUAGUAUCAACGUUAAAAACACCAACUUCUUUCAUCGGCUUUGUCCUCAUGACUUGCCACUUAUAAUUAUUCAGUGACAUCUCUUCUAUAAACUCGUAAGCCUCUUCAGGUGUUUUGUUAUUCAAAGUCCCACCGGCAAUUAAGGGGUUCAAACCGUUGUAAAAAGUUUGAACCUGUAGCUAUAGAGGUAAUCAUGGUGAGGGCACCUUCUUAAUAAAUCCUUAUACCUCUCACAUGCAUCAUAUAAAGUCUCUAAAUCCAUUUGUACAAAGGAAGAGAUAUCAUUCCUCAAUUUGGCUGUCUUAGCCGGUGGGAAGUACUUCAGCAAAAACUUCUCGAUCAUCUGAUCCCAAAUAGUGAUAGAACCUCAUGGUAGGGAGUUCAACCACUGCUUAGUCUUAUUUCUCAACGAUAAGGGGAAUAACCGUAGGUGAAUGGCAUCAUCAGAAACGCCAUUUAUCUUAAAAGUAUCGCAGAAUUCUAGGAAAUUAGUCAAAUGAUUAUUUGGGUCUUCGUCCUACAAACCAUUAAACUGAACAAACUGUUGAAUCAUUUGAAUAGUAUUAGGUUUCAGUUCAAAAUUAUUUGUAGCAACAGUAGGUCUAAUAAUACUCGAUUCAGCCCCAGUUAAAUUGGGCUUGGCAUAAUCGUACAUAGUAUGAGGAGCAGGAUUCGGAUUUACAAGAUUUAUAGCAACCACAAGAGAUAACAGAUUAUUAUGAUUUUCUAUCAUCUCCUCAGUAUUAAUAAUAAUAUCCUCUUGCUCUUCUAUUGUACUUUGUUCACUUUGCCUUGCUUUUCUACGGUUUCUGCGAGCUGUACUUUCGAUCUCGCUGUCAAAUACUAGAGGGCCUGACGGGUUUCUUCUAGUCAUAAACUAAAGACACCUGUCAGAAGCAAAUAAAAGAAACGUUAGUAAAUUAAAAGUAAAACAAAAAAUAAAAUAAAAAUAGCUAAAGUAAUAAAAAUCUAGUGUUAGUCAUAAACUAAAGGAACCUGCCAGAAGCAAAUAAAAGAAACGUAAGUAAAUUAAAAGUAAAAAUGAAAUAAAAUAAAAAUAAAAAUAGAUAAAGUAAUAAAAAUCUAGUGUUCCUAAUAUUUUAGUCCCCGGCAACGGUGCCAAAAACUUGAUAAUUGUUUUAUGAAUCACUAAACUAGACUACAAUCACGACUAAGGCAAGCGCACCUAUCGAAUGGUAGUAUAGCUAUGGUGAGUCCAGAAUAUCGGAUCCGCAAUGACUAAAAGUACUAGUAUUAACUAUCUUUCUAUUAUUUAGCCUAAAAUAAAAGGGAUUUGUUUUAAUCUAAGAUUAACUAAACUAAUUAACUAAUGAAUGCAACAAAGAGUGAAGGAAAUAAUCGAAUAAACCAAUGAUAAAGACAAUACCUAAGGAAGAAUCCACCUAGACUUCACUUAUUAUUCUGACUCUGAAUUAAAUUCUUUAUUCACUUGUCUUGAUCCGUAGAAAUCCCUAAAUUAUGUUAAUAUCUCUUUCGAGACUAAGAAUAACUGAAUCUAGGUUGAUUAAUUGAAAUCUCUUUCUAAUUAAAACCCCUAUUGUCGCAUUAACUCGAUCUAUGGAUUCCCUUAUUAGAUUUUACUCUAAUCUGGCAGAUUUACGUCGUCCUAUUUCUAGGAUUGUAAUCAACUGCUUAAUUAUGCUAGAUCUACUCUUAAAUAGGGACUUUUGCUCCACUGAAUAAGCACAUCAAACUUGAAUUAAUAUCCUGAAAAUAUUAAGGCAAGAAUUAAUAACACAUAAUUAAGAACAAGAACAAGUACUUAUCAUGUAAUUCAGAAAAUUAAAUAAUAAGAUCGGUCAUAGGUUUCAUGUUCCCUAGGUAUCUAAGGAAUUUAGUUCAUAAUUUUUGGGAAAAAAUCCCAAAAAUAGGAAAACAACAAAACAUAAAGAAACCCAAAAACUUCGAGAGAAAUUGAAGGGAGAUCUUCAGUCUUGAAGGAUAUCCUGCUUCCGAGUUGAAUCCAUCAGCAUUCUUCGCGUAAUUUUUACUUUUUACUCCGUGUGCCCCCCUUUAGAUUCUCUUCUAGUGUGUAUUUAUAGACUCUAGAAUGCUUAGAAACCUUAAAAAUUGGGUUUUUCUGUGAAACAGGGAAGAAGGGUGCGAAAUCCACACAGACUGGCACAUGGGCGUGUGGCCAGCCAGUGUGGCUCACAUGGGCGUAUGGCCAGCCCGUGUGGAAAUGUCCAGGCCGUGUGGAUCCUGGAAACAGCUCUUUUUGCCCAAUUUUGGCUCGUUUUUCACUUUUUUCGCUCCCCUAUGCUCAACUAAGUAUAGAAACAUGAAUUUAAAAGAUUAGGAGCAUCAAAUUCACUAAUUCAUAUCAUAAAUCAUCCAAAAACGCAUCAAGAAUGGGAUGAAAAACAUGUUACUUUUAUGGCUUAUCAGAACUGUUUGUUUUGAUUAAAGGUGUAAACUUUAUAUUUUGAUUUUUGACUUCUUUUUGGUUUGUGAGAAUGUGAAGGAAAAUGAAAGAAAAUCCUUUAGGUUCUUUGGAAACUUCACCAUUUUAUUUUUUAAAAGAAAAGGAUACCUUUUCACACCAAAUACAUGGGAUCCUAUAUUUGAUUUUUUUUAACAAGACAAAACAUGUCUAAUCUGGUGCAGUAAAUGAGUAUUUCAUUUAAAACUUAUGCAUGGAAGGGUCGGGAGUUUUAUAAUAACAUAGAACUGGAAGUUUGUUCUUCAAGUUUCACCAGGAAGGUAAGAAUCUGUAUGUCAAGAACCCAAAGAAGCAAAGAAAAGAAGUUUCUCUUUUUUAAUGCAAAAAACAAAGAUUUAAAAGAUAAAAUUUUUCAAGAAAGUUACUAGGUUAAAGAAAAACAAAGAGUCGGAAGAAAAAUGACGAGACAAGUAAAGUUAAAAUGGGUGUCUUGGAAAUGCGGCACGUGGUGGUGUGUGAGUGGCCAUCGUUGCCACGUCAACAAAAUGUUAACGGUGUUAGGCUUAGGUACCGAACCGAUAGACAAAAAAGAAGUUUGGGUACCAAUUUGGAACAAAGAAAAUCAUAGGUACCAAUCUGGGAGAAGUGGACAAGUUCAGGUACUAAUUUUAUAUUUAACCCUUCUCGAUAUAAACUUUCAAAGAAGAGAGACAACUUAUAUAUAAAAAGCCAUUGGUUAUAUACCUGUUGUACACCUGGAAAAUAAUAUCCACUCUCAAAGUUUACUAUUAAUAAAUUUUGAUUAGAUUCAAAGUCUACUACUUGAGUUUAAUUUACUUACUACUUAAUAAAAUCGUCAAGACUCAACGUAGAACAAAAAAGGUACAUCUUUAACUAUUAAAUUGACUUGGUAUAUUGUUUAAAUGUUUGAGAUGGUCUUUUUUUUAAGUUUUGAUUACAUAGGUUACAUAUUGUUUUAAGCAUCUUAUUUAUUCAUGAAAAUGAAUAUUAACUGGUUUAUUUAUGUCGCUAUAGUAGGUUUUAUAAUUAAAUAAUAUAUUUGACUAAAACAUAUCUAGUAUGCAAAUUCGUGUUAAUAAACCAAUGAAUUUUUUGAUUAUUCAGAUUUAAUUUAGUUCAAAGAAUUGUUAAAGUUAGUAGUUCAUACAUUUUAUAUUAUUCUAUUUGUUAAUUAUUUAGAGAAAUGACAUGAGCAGUUGUAAAUGAAAAGUUCUACGAGCAUGAAUGAUUGGAUUUUGAAUUAAGUUUCAUGCAUGUUUAUGAUGAUGGCUAUGAAAGAAAAAAAAUGCUAGUUUUUUAUUAUGUCAUAUUUUUAUGUUUGAGAUGUGAGUUUUAUUGAUAUAUUUAAUUUAGGUUUGUUUCUAUAUAUUACCUAACUAGUUAUUCUUGGUAGUUAAUUGAUUAUGCAAAACUCUUAAUCUCAUAUCUCCUUAUGGCUAAACAAAAUAAUGAGUUAUUCGUUUCAUCAGUUAUGCUCCAUUCCCUAAAAUGAGUGUAGCAAUACAUAACAAUUAUGAAAUUUUAACUUUUCGUCAUUAUUGAAAAAUAGAUAAAAAGAAGAUAGACAAUUCAAAAUGUUUUCAAAUGUUUAUUCUUAGUACAGAAUGCUCAAUGAGUUACACUAAUUUAUCAUUCCUUAAAGCAGAUGAUAUCUAUAUAAUCCUAUUGCUAAGAAAUAUGAUAUAUGCGUAUAUUAUUGUCUGAAUUAUUUUUGCUCAUUCCUUGAAGUGAAUGUCUUCAAUAAAUAUAAUAAAUUUUAUAAUCAUUUUUUUAUCAUUAAAGUUAAUUUGGACAUUUGAAGAUUCUUCCAUAUUCCCUAAAGCGAAUAUUGCAUAUAAUUGUUUGGAAAUUAUGUUUAUUUUGUUGACUUAGUGGCAUUAUAGACUUUACAUUGAUUUAGGCAUUUCUAGUAGUAAAUGUCACAAUAGUACUUAUAUGUGGAUACAAAGUAAAAGGAAUGACAGUAAAAUUAUCAAUUUGCCACAAUUUAUAUUGAUAUUAUUAGUACAAUUGAAAUGCAUGUUAAAGUAAACCAAAAGCUUACUGAUACAAAUAUAUUUACUACUUGGCAUGGCUAGUUAGACCAUCCUGGAUCAUAUAUGAUCCGAAAAUUAAUUAAGAAUUCAUAUGGACAUUCAUUAAAGAACCAAAAAAUUCUUUAAUUUAAAGAAUUCUCAUUUGUUGCUUGUUCUGAAUGAAAAUUGAUUAUCAGAAACUCACUAGCUAAAGUUGAGAUUUAAUGUCUUGAAUUUCUGAAAUGAAUAUGGGCCCAUUCAUCCAUCAUGUGGAUGGUUUUGAUAUUAUUUAAUUUUGAUAGAUGCAUCUACAAAAUAAUACAUAUGUGUUAUCAACUUGUAACCUAUCGUUUGCAAGAUUGCUUGUUUAAAUAAUUAAUUUCAUAUUAUACAAUUAAGACAAUUCAUCUUGCUAAUGCUGAUGAGUUUAUAUCUUAGUCUUUUAUUGAUUGUUGUAUAUGAGUUUCAAAAAAAUUUGUAAAAAACUUGUUAUUUAUGUGCAUAAUAGUUUAGAGAAAUUAUUGAUUGAAAAUUUCUGAUUAAUAUCUAAACCAUUACUUAUGAUAACUAAAUUUCCUAUUCUAACGUGAAGUUAUAUUGAUUUAUGUGUUGUGCGCAUCAAACCAAUAAGUUAUAAAUACUCCCCAUUACAAUUGGUUUUUAGUCAAUAGCUAAAUAUUUCUCAUCUUUGCAUUUUUGUAUAUGCAUAUAUGUUCUAAUUGCUCCAUCACAACACAUAAAGAUGAGUGAGUCCUUAAAGAAAGUUGGGAAUAUAUAUUAAUUACAAGUCUUUUUGUAUUAUUAGAUGUUUUUUAUGUAUUGGAGAUUCAAUUAUGACAUGAUUUGUGGUUACUAUUUUGAUUUGAUAAUUUUCUCGACAUUAGGGGGAGAGAAAUAAUAGUUAAAUAAAAUCAACGCUUGUAUUUACAAACUUAAUGAGAAUAACCAAGUGUUAUAUAUCAUCUAAUGUUUUAAUUUGAAUCAAAGUCUUAGUAGGACAAUCAGUUAAAAUAAAUGAUAGAUUGAUCAAUUCCAAAGAUGAAAAUUCUUCUAGAUGGUCAUAUAGUGGAGGCGGGUGAUCUAGAAGAGACCUAAGACAUAACUAAUAACUAAAACUCUAGAAGAGACUUAAGUGCUUGAAAUUGAAAAUAAAAAUAAUGAAAAUAAAAAAAUCUUGAUAAGUUAUGUUAAUUCAAGAAAAUGUGGAACCGAUAAUAAAAGUAGUCGACAAUGAUCAUACAAUAUUAUUGUCGAAAUAAUGAAAUAAAAGGAGGAUCGUGAAUAAAUCUAUUAAGAAAUAUAUAUGUAACAGCCUGUUUUCAAUGAUGUCGAAAACAGUGGUUUCGGGACCAUAAUUUCUACGAUUAAAUUAUUAUUUUAGUAUUUAUUUAAUGUCUAAGGGAUUAUAUUAAGGUCUUACUACAAUUUCGUUAAGAAAUUUUGAUGUUUAAAUGGUUAAUUAGGUGAAAAGGACUAAAUCAUAAAAGUGUAAAAAUUGAGUUCUAUUAGCUAAAGCGGCUAAAUUGCUUUGGAAAUGAAAGUUAAAGGAAUUGAAUGGUAAUUAUUCCAUAUAUGUUGAUAGUUGAUGUACAUGGAUAGGUUUUAAUGAAAUUGUAAUAGUUUUUAAAUGUUAAAAUGGUAAUUAAACAAAUUAAACUUAAACUAAAUGAAACAAAAAUUGCUUCAUCUUCCUCACUUGAUCUCUCCAUCAAAAUUAAGAGAGGAGAUAGUCAUUUUUAUACUUUGAAGGUUCGGUCAAGCUUGCUUCUUGCAUGUAAGUGAUUCCAAGUCUCAUUUUUAAUGAUUUUUAUGUUUUUGAAUUCGUUUUAACUUAAUCUAGCUAGCCCGGGGAUUAAUUUGUAAAAUGUUAAAAGUUUUAGGGACUUUCCAUAGAUUUUUUUGAAUGAGUUUUGAUAUUAGUUGGUAGAUUAUGAAUCCUUGUUGAAAAAUAAACAUGUUUUGUUAAAUGAUUUUUGAUAAAUUUUAGAAUUAGGGAUUUAAUUGUUAAAGGUGUAAAUCUAUAGGCUUUGUUGUGAAAUGUUGGUAUUGAUGAGUUAAUUCAAGGUCUCUUGUAACAUUGGUUAACAUGGAUUUAGGUUAAAAUGGUUAGAUUUUAAGUUAUGAGCUUAAGGACUAAAUUGUGAAAAGUUAAAAUAUUAGGGGAAAUUUUGUAAUUUUUCAUAAAUAUGAAUUAUGGAUUAAAUUGAAUUCUAGAAUUACUUAAUUGAAUGAAAUUAUUUAUUUAGAUAAAGAUAAACCACAAUCGGACUUAGAUCAAAGAAAAGCUAAAGCUUUAGAUUAGUUCGAGUAUACUACACCCUAGUUAUCGAGGUAAGGUCGUAUGAACUGUAAUCAUUUUAAUGUUUACUAAGUUGUUUUAAUGUAAAUGAAUCAAUAUAUGAAUGUAUUCAUACUAUGAUGAAUUGACGGAUAUCGAGUCUUAGUUAAACCUUAAGAAUUCUUGGGAUACAAAUGACAUGUCAUUAAGGAUUUCAUAUUGUGGGUGCUGGUCUUGAAUGUCCUACCGUUGGCUGAGGUCCUGCAUUUGUUGCAGGUUCUCUUCAACUCAUGUGAGCAACAUCGUGUAGCUUACAUUCCAACCCACAACUCGUGUGAGCAUUGAUGUAAAGGAAAGGUUACGAUUAUUUGUAAAGGCACACUAUGUGUCUCCCGAGUAUCCGAUUUAAUUCUAGAUGGUUCAACGGGUAAGAAAAGGAAUAGAUCAAUAAGUAAGUUAAUGGAAAUAUUCAUGAUCUAUGAAAAGGUUGAUGCAUAUGUAAUGUAUCUUGUAAACUCUAUUUAUGGUAUAAAUGAGCUUAUAUGUAAUGUUGAUGAACCUACUAACAUGUGAGAUUGAUGAUGUUUGAAUAGGCUUAUUCUAAGCUGAUGGCAUUGGUAAUGGUUUAUGCUUAUUCUAUGAAUUGUGUAUCGAGGUGGUAAGUUAUGUUUAAGUUUAUACGAGCUUUCUAAGUACUUAUUGCUUACGUAGUUGUUUUCCUUUGUUUUAUAGAUCAUCAGAAACUCGAUUUGGUUAGAAGCUCAUCAGAGACCUAUCAUACUAUCCAACAAUCAUUUUGAUAGUUUUUGAGCAUUUUGGCCAAGGUUAAUAAUAGCAUGUAUAGGUAUUUUAUGUUUAUGGUUUAUAGAUGUAUAAAAUGAUUGAUUUAGUAUACUUAUGUCUUUAAAGUUUAUGUUUAGUUGACGAACUUAUAAAGCUUGUUAAGUAAAGUCUUGUUGACUACUUUAGGAUAAUUGAAAUGUGUGGUGUUUUGGUAUGCUUGAAAUGGCUUGAAAGUGGUAAAUGUGGUAUGAUUUGGUAGGUGUUGAAUUAGGUAUUUAUGUUUGGAAAAAUGGCAAGUUUUGAUAGUUGAUGUUUUAGUACAAUUGUGGUGCCUUUGAAUGGCAUAUUGGUUAGGUGAAUUAGGUUGUUUGAAAUGGCAUAUUUAUGUAUGUUUGGAUGAUAAUUGAACCCUUUGAAUGUAUGCCCAAAUGGUAAGAAUGGUUAGGUAGGAAAUGGUUUUGAAAUGACUUGAUUUUAGGUAAAUUUUGGGUUCACACAGCCUGGUGAGACGGUCAUGCGAGGCAUACGAUUGUGUGUCAUCUGAGGAUUUUUUAGGGUUCAAUACAAUGAGUUACAUAGCCUAGCACACGGGCAUGUGGGGCAACUCAAGAAAAUAUAGCAGCACAAAUCCAACUUGUUCAAGAAACGAAAUAAAACUAAACUAUUAAUGGACUGGCAGCAUAAGUGACCAAAAUAACUUACACUGCAAAUGGAAUAUGACCCCAGCAACAAAAUGCACAAAAUAAACAAUAGUAUUCAAAAAAAUGAAAGAGGAAGAGAAGGAAAAGGAAAAACAACCAAGAGAAUGGAAGAAGAAAACGGCAGGAUAGGGAAACAAAAGAAAACGUGCAGCAAAGGGAUUUGGUCAAAAAUAAAUUAAAAUAAAUUACAUAAGAGAUUUAAUUUGAUCUAAAUCCCACCCAAAUUUUUUUAGAAUUUAAGCUAAAAUCAAUAACUAACAAGUGCAAUCGACAAAAACAUUACACUCACGUGCAACACAAGAUUUGAACACAAGACCAAAGGGUAUACGGAAGCUUAAUCACUAAACCAGUAGUCUCAUUCUGGUUACAACCCAACGAAAAAUAUAAAAUAAGCCGUAAGGCUCAAGCUUAACAUAAAGACCUAAAGAAAACUUACAAGGCACUUAACCAACACACCAAGUCAAAUUAUUUAACAUGCUUGCACAAAAUAAAAUCAAGAGUUUCGGGGCAUUACAAAUUUGACCAACAACUCUUUCUUCUCAAAUGCUUCUAGGAAUUCAAAUUUAUUUGAAAUAUGGCUUUAAAUCCUUCAAAGGAUUAAAGCAAUAGUUAAACUCCUUAAACUUAAUAUCAUAUCCUUCUCUAAUAUUGAAAUGAUUAAAAAAGAAAAUUCUUCUAUAUCAAACAAAAAGUAAACCUGAAGUAGUCUGCUACAUAUGCUUCAAAGUAUGGAUAUCUUUGCUCAAAAAAGAUUGUUGAAUCAGUUUUUUUAAUUAAUAGUCAAUAAAGCAUGAAUAUCUUUUGAUUUGGAAUGGUGGUAAUGGUCAAAGUUCCUCAACUUGCUUGAUAGUCAUUCAGCUAGUUUCAUGAAUUAUGAUUGUGUUGUUUGGAUUAUGGGUUUUGGAACUAUCAUUUGGUUAAUUUGGUUAUGUAGAAAUGAUUAUGUGUUCAAUGUUAAGGAGGUUGAGACUUGCACAUUAGGUGCAAACCAAGAGGUCUACCAAGGUUCUUACAUCUUGGUCUGCUCCUUCCAAAGGAAUGAUUAAGUUUAAAGUUGAUAGCUCCGCUAUCCAUAAUCCUAGUCCAACCAGGAUUGGUAUGGCUAGGAAAGUUCUAUGGUAUACAUGAUGCUUUUUUAGUUGAUUUUUUUGCAAAUAAAGAAGCAAUUGUAACUUAUGUUGAUUCACCAUAAAAAAACUCCUAGAAUCCCAGUGAUUGUGGUUGUAGUGUAGAGUCCAAAGAUUGAGGUUCAUGAUUGAUAAAAUUAAUUCUAUUGAGUUCAGAGUUGGCAAAUGGAAAGGCUCUACUUAAUGAAUUAUUGUCUUAUUUCUUUAUGAAUACUUGUAGGUACAUGCAUGCUUUUACUUCAAAUGAUAUUCGUUAAAUUGGGUAGCUCGAUGAAUAUGUUUGAAAUGAUUGAAUGGAUUUUAACUAUUACAAGUGCUUUUGAGUUGUAUUAUGUAUUUUUAGGAUAGAAAGGUGUUUUGGAAUGGUUUUGGAGUAUUUUUAACUUGUAUUUUGGUUUUGUGCUUAUAGCCGGACGGAGGCCGGCAAGGACCCGACCUACCCCAAAAUGGAAAAUUUUUCAUAUAAGCUCUUUUAUAUUUAUAAGAUUUUAAAUUAGUGAUAGUAAAAUUGCACUUUGACCCCCUCAAAAAUGAUAAAAAAAUUCAUUUAAUCCUUUAAAAAUUUAUAAAGCUAUAGGCUAUUAAAAUGGUGAAAUUACAUUUUUACUAUCGUAAAAAUAUACAAUUUAAUUUCGACACCUAAAAAAAUUUUCUACUUUUGCCCCUACUUAUAAAUAUCGGAACCUAAAAAGUUAAAGACCAAAAUUUUCCUACGAAACUCGAGUUUUAGAACAUAUGUAGUAUGUAUUGGAACAUUGCUUGAUGGUAGCCAAAAAACUACAGUGUCCAGGCUAAGGUACUAAUAUACUGCCAUAGGCAUUGAUACCUUGUGCCCAAUCUAGUCCUAUUACACUGUUGUUGCUAUUUUGGACUCUUCGUGGAUCAUUUUGAUCUCAAACACCUCCAAUCACCCACCCACGUAAAGUUUCUAAAUGAUUUUAAUAUGUUUUAAAGCUUUCAAAAUGAUAUUAUAUUAUUGUUUAAGAUUUUUUAAAAUUGUUAUGCAUGCAUUCUGGUACUACCACCUAUUUGUACCAAACAUCAUAACGGGUAAAAGGUGUUACAAAAUGUGGCGUUCUACGUUUGAUUGUCUUUCAGACCGGGUGUAAGGUAUUACAUGAGCACAAUUAAAAACUUGCAUGCACUAGGGAGUUUAUUGUUGAGGACAAAAAAAUUGUGGCCAGUAAGAUUAAAGUUAAUUGUUGCGACGAGUAUUGCGAGGAAACUAAGAAGGAUUGAUGUUGCAUUGUACAACUGCGAUAAUGAUAUGAGAAGAUAUUUGUUUCUCCUCAUAUGAGAAAAAGAUUUCAUGAUCAACAAGUUUCUAAAAGUGCUUUUCACAUUCAAUUGGUGUUGGACAAGUCUAGAUAAAGGCAGAAACUUCUCGAUAUUUUGGACCAAAACCCCUAAGUAUCUUGAUUGUAAGUUCUUCAAGACUAAUUGGAGAACUAACUCAUAUGUGGUGGCCUUGAUUUGUUUUAGAUGCUCUACAACAUUUUUAGCUUGCAUUGUGACUCUAGUAAGUUGGUCACAGAGGCUGUAGAUUCAUGUGCGACUUUUGUUUGAAUAUAUAGUAUGUAGAAUGAUAAGUGCAUAAUUUCCAAUUUAUAUUUUAUACUUAUCCUCUUGAAUUACUUUAUUUAAGUUCUUAAUUAUAUUCUUUAGAAUUAUAUUCUAUUUAGUAUGUAUUUAGGGAAGUAAUUGGAGAAAAAUGAGCUUUAAGUUUAUUUUGGCAAGUUUUUGUAGACUAGACUUUGAACAAAAUUUCUUCAGUAUUUUAGUCAUAACUUAAGCUAUAGAAAUCCAUUUUGGACUCAUAAUAUAUCAUUUCAAAGGAAUUAAAAGAUCUAGCUGAAGUUAUUUCACGAUUCGAGUACAAAAAAUGUCAAGAAAGUGUCUAAAAAUGACGUGGAAGUUUGAAACGAGAAUCUGCCAAAAUUCUACUUUAUUUAAUUAGGGGAAGUUUUGUAUUUUCUCCAUUAUGUGAUUUUUUUUCAUAUGAAAGGACAUUAUUAGGUUAAUGCCUAGAGAUAGUCACCUUUAGUAGGUUUUUAUUAUUGUAUUUUAUUUUCUCCAUGAAUUUAUAAACUAUUUUUCUAAUAAAAAUGAUUUCAAAGUUUGAUUCUAAAAGUUUGUGAGAUCUAAUUGCUCUCCAUCUUUUUUUAUUCUUUAUUCUUUUAUUUAAAUUACAAAUAUUCAGGUUUGUUGAGUAUUGGUACCAUAUUCAAUUACUUAGAAUAUUUGUCUUAUCAAAUAGAAUAGUUAAAUCUGUAAUUAUUUAAUUGAUUUUAAUACAUGUGACAAAUAGCAUGAUUGGGUAUAAGCUAUGUAUGCAAUCCAUGUUAUGCGAAUAUGUGAUCUAAUUUAAAUGAAUCGCGCUUGUGUGUAUUUAUUGGUUAGAAUUAGGUCUUUUCUCAUUCUUAAUGCUAUUAAUAAGACUCUAGGCGCGAAGUUAAAUGGUUGUUUAUUGAUAAGGAGAAUAAUUUCAACGAGCUUCCUCUUAGUUAUCGACAAGGUAUGAAGAGAUUGGUUGCUAGAUGCGACAUCAACAACUAUAAUUAAUUUAUUAAAGCACGCGAAAAUUAUCUUUGCAUUGAUUAUCAAACUCACUAAUCAAAACUGAAUUUUAUCUUUGAUUAGACUCUCGUUAUAUUGAUUUUAUUAUAUUUUACUUGCCAAUAACAUUUUACAUAGUUUUAAUUUCAAACCCGCUUUUGUUUUUAUUUUGAUUUUUUACUAAAGAAAUAAAAUUAUUACCGUACACAAAAGGCCCCAUGCUUUUUGUGAAGUAUGAGUGGAAACAAUCGUGAAGGCACUUGAGCUAUCAACAUAAACAUCAUGGCUUGUUGAAUGAGUUAAUCUUGGCAAAACCAAAUAUGAUAAGAAGAAAUUGUUUCAGUGUGUUAUUCCCUUCAACAUGUUUUUGUAGAGGGAGUUUGGUGCCAUCAAGAUGAUCUUAAAAUCAUGUCCAUCUAACAGCAUCGUAAAUUCGAAGAGUUAGAACUACCUUGAAGCUUAAAAGGUGAUUCAGAAUUUGAAUUGUUGUAGGAGUAGCAGUGGUGUGGGAGGGGACUGUUGAGGGGUUGGUAACCAUGACUAAAAAGUUUGAUAUGGAAAAGAAAAGUAUACUUUAUUUAUUGAUAAUUGAUUAAAUUUAUACAAAAUAGGAAAACGAUAAUUAUUGAAUAACAAAAGGAAGCAACAAUUAAUUAAAUAACAAAAAAAAUUCAAAUAAUAGCUAUCAAUGAAACUGCAUUCAAAGACGCAUAAAAAUUGAAACAUACAAAGAAAUGUACUCUGUGAAAACUGAAACCAUAUUUCUAAUGUUAGUGGAGGUGUUCCUUCAAUCAUGUUUGAGAUGGGACCGACCAUUCAACCAUAUUCUCUUCAAUUAUGAACUGAGCAAUGCAAAGAUAAGUUAUCUGGAAUUUAUUUAACUCAUGCUAGGAAUUUCCUUUCUUCUUGCUGCUAAUUGAGGUAAAAGAAGUUGGUCGACAGCCGACAGGGAAAAGGAAUGUGUGCUUGUUUGGUUUCUUUAUGGAGCAUGACAACAAAUGAAGAAACGGUAAAAACUGCAACAUCUUGGACAAGGUAGGGUUCUCAAAACUGACUACCCAAUGUGGACUUGCACGUGGUUGCAGAGGCAAUAUCAUCUUCAGUUUUCACAGCAUUUUUCCUGAAUCCAAAUCACUUCUGUCUCUUCAAUAAUGCUCAAACUUUCAAGCAUAACAAAAAUCGUUGAUAACAUUGUUUCUUCUUGGAAUCUUAGCCGCACUUCUUCCUUAUCUUAUUGAACUUUAUGUACAAUGAUUUAACUGACUUUACUGUUUUAUUCUUUGGAUGGGAUCUUCCUCUAUAUAUCCUAUCCGGGGCUAAAAGAUAUGGGGAAUGUCUUUUUACAUGAUAUUCAAAUAAGGAAUCUUUAGUCAAUCUAUGUCAACACAAAGACAAAACACAUAAUAGAGAUAUCGUUCAAAUUUUGCAUUAUAAUUAACCGAUAAAAAUUAAAAAUUAGGUAUGAAAUAUGAAAAUCAAAUUUUUGUCCUGCUGUUCAUAUCUGGCCUUCAUUGAAUCUGAUGGCAACAAAAGAUGAGUCAUUAAUUUAUAUUAACAACUCUUGCUUGGGGUUAAUAUUAAGAAAUUAGAGAAAUAAAAUUUCCUAUGUCCCAAACACUAUGCUCCAAAAUAGUAGGGUAGGGUCCCAUAUAACGUCCAAACCAAUGGAGACAUGGGAAGGAACAAUAUAAGUGAAACAAAACAAAAUCUCUCUCUCUCUUAGCCAACUGUAACGCUAUUAUUCUGUUCAUUUACAUCACCCAAUCCAUUUAGAGGAACUCAAACCCGAACCGAUGAGAGUGCCUUGUUGAAAUGUUUAGCUUUGGUGUGAAGGUACUCGUUCCAAGUAACCGGUCGAUAGAGGGGUGGGUGAGUUGGCCCUACUAAUUUUGGAUGGGGUGAUAUUUCCACAGUAGACGGUGGCCCAAAUAAAUAAGCCGAGGAUAGCCGGUGAUGGCUACGGUUCACCAUGGCCCGGUGAAGAACACUCUGGUAUGACCCGUUGGACAGUAUAUGCAUAAGGUCACCAACGUUGAUCACAAGCCCCCCCGGUACCGGAGGAACCGCGACCCAUCCGGCUCCCUCUUUAAAGACCUGCAACCCACUAGUGCUGUUUUGGUAGAGGAUGGUGAGGAGAGUGGAGUCGGUGUGCGGGGCGAGACCCAUGGCUCGGUCCGGGUCCGGACAAGCCGGGUAGUAAUUCAACUGUAAAGCUGCUAAGGCCUCUUUGAAGUCAGUUUUUGGGCCGGCCCACUUGAUAUCCUCUUUGGCAAUUAUGCCUAGGGAGCCCAGCAUGAGCCACAUCAAUCUCCCGGCUAACUUUUUCAUUUCUUCCUUGUAUUCUUUAAUCACAUCACUGAGGAAGAAACAAAUAAAUGAAACAAUCAAAUUACAAAAGAAUCAGAAUACUGUAUGCAACAGUGAAGCUGCUAUUAUGCUGGUGAUACAACAAGCAAACACUUGACAAGUGGGUUGGUUUUUUUUUUUUUUAACUCCAUUACUACUGCUAAUCUACUUCGUGGGUCCAUAGCUUUCAUUGUAAUCUUUGCUAAUUGCAUUAAGAAAAGCAAAUGGGAGGGGGGGGGGGGUUGGGUUUUGCCACAAAAGAGAAAAAUAUCAGAACAAAGAGAUUCAAUAAUAAUCAGAAUUUGCACGUGCAUUCGCAUGUGUGCAAUGGGUGCUCACCAGUGGUAGCUGAAAUCUUGGGGCCAAAGUUGGCGAAAAUGCUCGUCUGGUGGCCCAACAAUAGUGAACCCCUCAGACCACAUAAGCUUAGAAAAAAAGGAGGAAAUCCUGGCAAAUCCAUAGCCGGAGACGCCAUCAGGAGACCUUGCAGCUUUAAGUUUUUGGUGAACUGGUAAAGAGAAAAGGGAGCGGCAAGUGUGCUCCACCAUAUCAAGGAGACUUGUGGAGAUACCAUGGUUGGUGACUUGGAAAAUUCCCCAAGUUUUGCAUGCAUGGCCAAUACCUUGAAGAGCAUUAGGAUCGUUAAGAUCGACAAGUGGCACUGAUUCAGUGGCGAAGGUUUCUGGGGAAGGGUCAUCGCGUUGAUUCCAUGCGUAAGAGUCGGGCAGUUCGUGGAGUGAGGUGAAGUCGGGGUGUUUGAGUUGUUGUUGGGGGUGGGCUCUAAAGGCGUCUGAGAACCUCGAAGGCAUUGUCGAUAUCAAAGAAAGGAAGAACCCGUACUUGCUAUACAAGGGAGAAACCCUGAAAUAAAUAUGGGUUGGGUGGCUCUUAAUGAGUUAAAAAGGAGUACUUUGCAGUGAGGAAACAGAGAAAAUGAGCGAACACAUAUGAUGGCUUCUAGUGUAUAUAUAGAGAGAGCACGAGACACAACAUCUAAUUCAAAAGUAAUAAUAUAAAACUUAAAAUAAACUCAACUCCUAUUAUAUUAUCCAUAACAAAAUAUUAUCAAAUUCCUCGUCUUCAAAAGUCUUUUUUAACUUUUAAACUUAUCUUUUUUGUCAAAUUAUUAUCAAAAUGUUUGAAAAAAUUAAUAUUUUUUAACUUUACUGAUAUGGCAUAAACAUAGAUGACAAGAUAACAUUUAAUUAAUUUUUUAAAAUUUUAAAAUUUCAAAAAAUUAUAAAAAUUAUUUUAAAAAUUAAAAAUCAUUAAAUUAUUUAAAAAUAUGAAAAUUAUAAAAAAAUAUUUUUUAAUAUUUUAGAAAAUUAAUUAAAUGAUGACAUGUCAUCUAUGUGGCAAUCCAUGUAUAUUCCACAUUAGUAAAGUUAAAACAUGUUAAUUUUUCAUUCAUUUUAGGAUGAUUUGACAAAAAAAUACAAGUUUAAGAGCUAAAAGAGACAAAAAUUAAAUGGAAUGUUAAAAUAACUUUAUUUUUUUGUAAAAUUGGGGAAUUAAAAAAUUAUUAUAACAAGUAAUUAUUAGGUGAUUAAGUCUUACUUUGAUUGACAUUAUUGUAAUUCAAAUACCCUGAAGUGAAUUAUAUUAUCAACUUCCUUUACUUUAAGAAUUGGAAGUUAGAAAGUAGUUUAGAAACUUUUACAUUUUGUAACUAAGAUUAGCAGGGUAAUUAUAUUCUCUUCUUUUCUUUUCUUUUCUUUUCUUUUUUUAUUUUUCAUAUAUGAUUUACAAAACAUGUUCGGGGUUUAUAACUGUUUCUCCCAAUAAUAUUGUUUAUAAUGUUUGAACUAGACCUGUUCAAUAGUUGAAUAGCUCGUCCGGCCCAAUAGGCCUAACCUGACUAGGGUCGAACCUAAACAAGGAAUUUCGCACCUCAGCCAAACAAAUUCAAUUUAAAUAAUAUUUUUUAAAAAAUUUAAAUUUAAUUAUAAAAGUAUGUAAAAGUAUCAAUUAAAAAUAUAAUUUUUAAUAUUUAUUAUUUCUGGAAUAGCGAAAUUGACUUUUUUGGUGAACUAAAUUGACCCGAAAAUGGACUUAGACUUAGAAUUUUUUGAGAAUCAAACCUCGGCCCAAUCCAAACCAACCGAUGGACACUUCUUGUUUAAAAUUAUAUCUCUCAUUAAUAGUACAAUAUAAUUUAUCAUUACACCCAACACUUAUUGAUAAAAUAAAUUAUCUUUAUAAUUUAAUAAAAAAUCUCAAAAUAAAAUAAAAUCUAAUUAAAAUCAUUCACAAUUAAGGGAAUUCAGAUUAUCACAAUAACCUUAAUUUCAAAUCAUUUUAUAUCAAAAUUUUAAACUAAAGAUAUUAAAAUUAAGAUUCAGCGGUCAUAAAUAUUUACUUAAAAUUAUAUAUAUAUGCAACAAACUUUUUUUCCUACAAACACUUAACACACCUUUUUUUAAUUUUUUUUAAAUCACAUAUAACAUUUCAUAAAAAAUCUUUUUAAUUUUUUUUUUAAUUUCGAAAUUGAACAAAUUAAUCUCUUUCAAAAUAACUGAAGCAAUUUAAUCUCUAUAUUGUAAACUGCUUGUUUUAUUUUGUUUUAUUUUGUCGUAAUCAGGGUAUCCACAAUCAAUAAUAAUGAUUAAUCUCCUUAUCGUGGGUACUCUUCGUAGAAGUAAACGGUUGAUCAUAAAAUAUGUUAUAUCCUCAUAAACAAGAAUCAAACCUACAACCACAUGUUUAAAGAAUGAAGUAAACAACUACUACAUACAACUUAUUUUUUCUCUAUGUGUUUAUAACACAAAUAUAGCACAUUUUUCCCAAUAUAGUCAAGUGGAGGCAGUUGCCUAUAAGAGACAAAACGGUGGCUCGGUGUCCAGGACUGCUGUAAUGUUGUGUGCUUACCAUCACUAAGAUUUUACGAUUUUACGAAUAACAUUAACAAAAGGACAUGUACUUUUAAGGCUUAAUUAAGUAAUGUUGGUUAAUUUCUAAGCGGGGAUGAUUGGACUACAUGGAGCAAGAGACCCUUAAGGUAGCAAAAGUUGAGAGCAUUCUACUGUUGAAAGAAUAAAGGGUAGAGCAAUAGAGGCUAUAUACCUUUUUCGGGGGCUUCCCGAUAGGUCAACUUAAGAUACUACCUUUUCUUCUCCUUAUCUAAUGGGUUAGUGGAGCAAGAAGCAGAGAAUCUUCUUGUUUCGUCAACGGACACUCUUUAUAGGCAGCUGCUUCUUUUCUGACCUUAACCUAUUUCCUUAUUGACAUGUAACCAUAUUACAAAUUCUACAAAAAGAAUGAAUCAAAUUAAAAAACUUCAUGAUGGAUCAAACAUAAUUUAUUAUAUAUUUAAAUAAUUAUUCAAAAGAUCAAUAUUUUUAAAAUUUUAUUUGACUAAUCAGUUGAACCAAUUAAAUUAAAAUUAUUUAAUUUAUUGACUUCAAUAUCUCAUAUAAUCGAGAUUGGACAAAACCGUCACUAUUGAAUCAGAAUUUAAAAAAUUGGGUAUAAAAUUGGAUAAAUUAAUUUUGAUAUUAUUAGGAUCAAGAUUGUCCAAAAUUGAUACUUCGAUAUUUAUUUUAAACACCUAUUCAGGCAAACUUUUGAAAUUAUCUAAACAGUAUUAAAUGUUGCCAUUUUUUACUUCAGCCUUCACAUGUAUUUCUCCGUAGCAAAUGGACUCCAAGACAUGUGAUAUUUUGUUUCAAACCAUGACUAUCGAAAGUGAUGGGUUAAAGAAGACUGAAAUCGACAUGCUUUAUAGUAUUUGGUUUUCAAACUUUAUCUAAAGACAAGUUUUGAGAAUUUAAUUACCCAGGAUUAUUAUGCUACUAAUAAUGAUCUUAUCUCUACUUGGACUGAUAGACUAGACUACCAUUUUGAGCCUAUAAAUAGGCAACUAGUUUGCUAUGAAGUUGCAUCUUUUUUUUAGAGUGACAUGCCUAUUUGCUUAGAAAUUUUAUAGUGUUUUACUUUUUUACUUUUGCACUCAUUUUAUAGGUAUUAUUUGUCUAAACUAUUUGUAAUUGAAAGAUUAGAGUGAGUGAUUAUAAUAAGUUGAGGUCAUCUAUUAGGGUUGUAUUUAAUUUUUGUGAAAUGGUAAAUUGGACGUUAGCUAAUGAGAUAUUGAAUUAAUUUUUUAUUAAAUCAAUCACUAAAUAAGGCUCUCUAGAGUAGGAUUGUUUCUAAAUUAUGUUAACAAAAUUAUUUGUUUUGUUUACUAUUCACUUUUGUUUACUAUUCACUCCCUUGUUCAAACUCGUGUCUAAUCAAUUUGUUUAAACAACAAGCUGACUAGUUUAUUUAAUAUAUGUUUUUUUUUCUUUGGUUAAUUUGACUUAUAUUAUUUGGUUUUUUCUGUUAAUUUUUGUUUUAGAUUAAUAUUUGGUAUAUUAGCAGUGUACCUUUUUUUAGUUCCACAAGUAUACUUAAAAAACUAUCACAUGUCUCAUUUCUUUUAUAUAUUUAUUUUUUAAAUAUUUUAUCAUACUCUAUUGGACACUUCUCAACAUUCUAACCUUGCAUGUGACAUUGAUAGCUAAUCUAGUGGUGACAUGUGGUAGCCUUCGUAUACUAUGUGGUGGGCAUAAAUUAAGAAAUUAAAAAAUCUUUAAAAUUAUAUAAAUUAAUAAAAAAAUUUGUUUUUUUCACAUAAAAAAUGAACUUGGACACAUGAUUGUCCAAACACAUUUGAAUCUAGACAAUAAUUGUCCAGAUUCAUUCUAGAUGUAUUUUUUAAUAAGUUCAUACAUAUGUAUAUUUAUAAAAUAUUAAUUUUUAGGUUAUUAUUAUUUUUUUAAAUAUACAAUAUAAAAUUAUAAAUUUAUGAAAAUAUAAAAUUAUGUCCCAUUAAAAAUAUACAAAAGUGUAUAAUAUUUUGAAAUAUAUAUAAAAAUUUAUAAUAUAUAAUAUAAAAAUUAAUAAAAAAUUAUAAAUAUAUAUACUAAAAAGCAUGUCUAUAAUGAAUACAGAAAAAUAGUUGUCCAGAUGAAUUUAAAUCUAGUUAACUAGUUGUCUAAAUUCAUUCUUAAUGUAAAUUUUUUAUAUUUUUAAUAAUUUAUAUAAUUUAAAAUUUUUAUAUAUUUUAAUUUUCAAUUGAUAAUAAUAAUAUAAACAACAUGAUAUUUUAUUUAAAAAAAUAUAAACUUAUUAAAAAAUACAUCUGGAUUGGACAACCACUUAUCUAUGUUCAUUCUUGAUGUGAAAAAGAAAUUAUAUUUUUUUAUUAACUUAUAUGUUUUUAAAUAUUUUUUAAUUUAUGACCGUGACAUGGUAUACUGAGAAGCUAUCACAUAUCACUAUGAAAUUGACUAUCAAUGCUACAUCAGCAUAAAUUAACUGUGUUAGUACAAAAAUAUCAACUUAAAUAACAAAAUAUAAAUUUAAGUACCACCUAAAUAUUUUUAAACAAGUUCGAAAUACAAAUUACAUAUUAACUUUUUUGACAAUGAAAACUAAAAAGUAACUUUAGAGAAAAGGUCGGACCUCUUCCGUCACCACUUAAUCCACCCGUGGGGUAGAGUUGUGAAUAGAGGUAGGAGGGGACAAGGAAUGAUAGGAGAGUGAAAGUUUUGUACUAAACAAAAGGAAGGACAAAAACGGAAAAGACCAUCUUGUCCUCUACAAUGCCCGUAUUGAAGAGCAUCUCAAUCCUCAAAAGAGGGUAAAAAUGAAUUGAACAAAAAAAAGGGAAAAUGAGAAAAUGGGGGCCUUCCUCUCCAUGUGCCUUUGUCUUGUCCUCAAGUAGAAAAACAUCUAUAUCAACCACCCCCUAACUCAUCUCUCUCCAUUAUCCACCUUUACUUGCCUAAUAUCAUCCAAUUGCCCUCCUCUUUGUCCUUUGUGGAGUAAUCCGAUUAUCCCAUUAGCAUUUAUUUACUAAGUAAAUUUUAUUAUUUUUUCUUUUUCUUUUUCUAUUUUAAUUACAUUGCUGUAAAAUAAAUUAUUUAUCUUUUUUCAUACAAAUUAUAUUUAGCUUCACUUGGAAUUCGUAAUGCCCUGGCUUUUUUAUUUCUGUUUUGUUAGUUUUUGACACAAAUAUCUGUCUGCUUUAGUGGUUUAGUGACUGGGUGUUUGUGUGAGGUCUUAGGUUAAGUAUCACCCUUGGUAAUUUUUGGUUAUUUUUUAUCCAAGCCUUAUCUUUGUUCAAUGGGCUUAUAUUAAAUUUCCUGUAAAAUCAUAUCAGAAUGAACCUGCUGGUUCAAGUGGUAAGGGGGUGGUAUGUUGGAGGUCAUAUAUUCAAAUCUGUGCGCGAGCGUGGGUAUUAUUUUUGCUCAGUUGCAUGUGAGAGUUUCGGUGGAGUUGGGUUUCUGAGAAGGUUGAUUGUUAAUAGGUUAGUGGGGAGAGAUUUGAGGGAUUUUGGGGAGUUAAUAUGGUAUUAUCUUAUUUUUAUUCUUUUUUUCAAAAAAAUUCCCUCUCUUUCCAGGAAAGAUUGACGUCCACUUUUCUUUUGUCUUUGCUCUACUCUUUUGCUUC